AGGCUUGGAAGGCUCCGAAAAUUAUUCUUAUCUAGACGUAAGUUCUGUAAACAAGGUAGACUACUCCCAAUAUCAUUAGGCACUUCCUCUAAAUUGUUGUCCACCAAAAUUAAGUCUCUUAAAGAGCGUAAGCCUCGUAAGGAAGGUAGCUGCAAAGGACACUUCAAGUAACUCAAAGAUAAGCACUCAAGCUUCUCCAAUCGUACGAUGGAAGGUGGUACUUUUUUUAUGGCCGUCCCAUCAACAAAAAGAGUGACCAAUGAUGCCAUUUUUCCCAAGUGCUUAGACAAGCUUCGGAAUCUUGAACAACCAUCGAGAACAAGAGUUUUGACAGAUUUCGACUUGUAGAAACUCCUUGGGAGAGCCUUAAGCGUUUUACAGUCUUUCAAAUUCACCAACACAAGACUCUUGAGAUCUCCGAUGGACUUGUGAACUUCAGCCAACCUCUUACAGUCUUUGAGUAUCAAUUUCUCAAGAUUUGGGAGUUUCGAAAAGUCUGGAGAUUGUGUUAGAUCGUGGGAGUGGCUGAGAUUCAGAAUCUUCAACUUAUUAAGCAACUGUUAGGCAAAACCAUAUUCAAAUACAAAUUUAAAAUCCAAAAAGAAGAUAAAAAUAAUUCCUAAUUUGGUUCAGGUUACGCAUUGUACUUACCCCAGAAUACUCACAAAGAACUUGUUUGAGGCUGCUGUACCGCAUGUCGAUAGCGACUAUGUUUGGUUGACACAGUUCUAUUGGUAUGAACUCCAAUGGGAAUCCAUGCCAGCAAAGCCAUCUUAAUUUUUUGGAAAGACAUUGGUAUCCCCCAGCGAGCCGAACGUAGUUUAGUUGGAGCAAUCUCAGUCUCUUCAUAUUUCUAAACGCCCCAGUACUGAAACUAGUCUCUUCAAGACUUGGCAAAUUCAAAGCCAAACCGUCAAUUUUUUCAGUUCCCUGCUAUCAGAAAAAAUAGACUCCAAAUAAGAAAAGGCUUUGCAUGAAAAAAAUUUAGAUUACUUACAUAUGCUUACACGUUUAACAUAAAGUUUGAUUGGGAAGGUACUUACAGAUUUGUCUAUCAAUACAUCAUUUACAUCUUCAGGAAGCCACAAUCUACUCCGUUCUCCAGGGAAAUCGGGAUUUUCUGCAUGCACGAUAUCUCUGCCCAUAUCCCGAAGCAAAUCAUGCAUCAUAAUCUUGUUUUCUCUAUUAAUAGUUACAAGGCACCGGUCAAGGAGGACCUCGAUUCCUGUUGUUGCAUAAAAGCCACAACCAUCCAAGAUUUGCAUGACAUCGUUCUUGUCCAUUCCAAUAAAAAAACAAGCUAUAUCGAGGAAUAUCCGCCUCUUGUAAUUAUCAUUUAGCCCGUCGUAACUUAUUUUCAGUUGUGCCUGAAUUUCUCCACGAGGAAUCAUUUUCAAUUCAUCCAAUAUACUUCUCCAUUCAUCUACACUUCGUUUGAAAAGAGUAGAUCCUAAAACUUCAAGAGCCAGCGGCAAUCCUCCACAGUAAUUGACAACUUCUCUUGCGAGCACAAGAUAUUGACUAGGACAACAACUACUUCUGAACGCAUGCCAACUUAGGAGCUCAAGAGCUUCUUCCCAGUCCAUUCCUUUCGCCCGAUAUAUCUCAUCAACUGCAAAUUCUUUUAGCACACGUUCGUUUCUAGUUGUGAUGAUGAUUCUGCUCCCCGGGCCAAAGGAGUGGCAAUUUCCAGCUAAUUCACGUAGCUGCUUCACAUCGUCUACAUCAUCAAUUAUGACAAGUACCUUUAAGUGUUGAAAUCUUUCCCCUACCAAGGCGGUCCCUGCAGCAACACUGCUUACCUUUGUCUUGGUUUGCAAGAUAUCAGAAAGAAGUUGUUUUUGCAAUUUUUCUAGUUUCUUUUCCCGCACUUUUUCAAGGAAACAUUUACCUUCAAACCUUUCACAAAAUUCGUUAUAAAUGGCUUUAGCAAUCGUUGUUUUACCUAUUCCACCCAUGCCCAAAAUUCCAAUCAUGCGAACAUCUUCCGAAUCUUCGAUGUGUAAAUAAUUACUGAUAUCUUGCACUCGAGAAUCUAGUCCGACUUGGUAGGGCGCUACGUCUAAGUAUGUGUUGUUUAGCUUCCUAGUGACUUCCUCAGUAAUCAUCCUGAUAAACUUUGCUUCAUGCCUGGCAUUAGUCAAGUUGAGAAGCAAAACGAAGAUUGUUAUACAACCACAAGACGAAAUUGAACUAAUACACAAAAUUACUUAUCAUGACUACAGAUUUUAGUUAAGACAAUUUUCUUUGAGAUGUUGUGUUUAAACUUAGCAAACAUCAAUUAAAUUUAAAUUUAAAAAAGAAACACAAACAAACAAAAACAGCCUCCCUUCCCUACGCAGCCAUUCGCCGGCGGCUUCCCUGCAGUGAUUAGUGUAGCCUCAACAGUUUAAGCUUUAUUGUAUGAUUUUAUUAAUAGAGGACUAAGGAAAAUAAUACAUGAUAUUGACAAGCAAAAGUACGUUAAGGCCUUAAUUCAUAAAAGAAGGAACUAGUAAGUACCCGUCCAAAGUGUUUCUGAGAUCCCAGCCAGACAAAUUCGAAGCUUCAGUAAGAGCAGUUCUCCACCUCUCUUCCUUCCACCUCUCUACCUUAUUUUCAUCUAUAAGUUCCAGAAACAAUUUUCCAAAACUGUCAGUCUGUUUCCUGACAUGCGAAGGAUCAACGUCAUAGAAUAUCGGCAAAACCAAUUGCCCCAGCGUUUUUCUACACUCCAUGAUCUUAACCAGCUCCUCGAGGCACCAGCCGGAGUUCGCAUACUGUCUAGAGAAGACGAUGAUAGAGAUCUUAGAACCUUGGAUUGCUCGUACAAAUUUGGUUUUUAAAUCUUCUCCCUUUUUUAGUUCUUCGUCGUCAAUAAAAGCGUUGAUUCCGGCCCUUGUCGAUGCUUCAUAAAGGUGGCCCGUGAAGUUUUUACGUGUGUCUUCGCCUCUGAAGCUUAUGAACACAUCGUAAAGCCAACCUUUUGAGGAAGGGGACGAGGACAUUUGCUCGAAAGACAAGGCCGAGGGAGCAAAAGAGGAAGAUGAGGACAUCAAAGACGACCGGAAUUGCGAUGGGCGAAGUGGUAGGAUACGAACACCAGUACCAUGAUUAACAGCUCUUCUUAUAAUUAAUAAACCCCGCCACAAAUAUAAGCGGUGCAGUUGACUGAAGAGGGCUGAUUCGGUAUGGGAUCCCAAAUUCCAAACGGAAAAAUUUCGGGACGAGAUUCUGAAACCCACCGAACCGAAAUUUCGGGAUUUCCGAAAAAUUUUCGGGAUUUCGGUACAGUUUGGUAUUUCCCAAAUCUCCUACGCGGAUUGUCGAUUUGAAACCUCUGAUUGUUGUAUCGGCUCUCCGUGGUUGGCUGCAAGUCCCGAUUUCACAGGGAGACUUCGAGGCGGAGGCGAAGGAGCUAGGGUCUGCUAGCUUCGAGGAGGAAAAAAACGAGUUAGAGAAGAACCAUAUGAUUAAAAACUCCAAAUUUCAAACUAAAUGUAACACGAAAUUGAAAACCCCCAGAUCCAAAACCCCAUAAUUCAAAUGCCCAAAUUAAAAACGAAUUGAAGCCAGACUUUACCACAUCAAGAUUACCUGAUGAAGACAAGAAGGUUACCUUAAUGAAGAGAGAAGUGGAAGGAAGCAGAGGUGGCUGUAUUGAUCAUCGAAUGCAGAGGAAGUUGUCAAAUGCAAAAAGAAAAAUGGAGGACUGGAUGUAGUGUGAAGGUAAGGGGGAGAGAGCGAAAGAGUGGAGGUCGAGAGAGAGAGAGAGUUAAGGAGUGAAGGUUGGGUUUGGGCGGAGUAAAGAACGCAUCAAUCAUCGAUAUCUGUAAGCAAUGACACAUGCCUUGUCACAAAAAAUUAAUUAAAAAACACAACCAAAAUAUCUGGAACAUGAAAGACAAAAAGAAUAGAAAAGAAAAGGCAGAGAAACAAAUGCUGAGAUUGCACGAAAGAGAGAGGGCGCCUAUCCAUCACAAAAAAAUAAUUAAAAAAUACUCAUCACACACAACAAUGCAAACCUUUAGCAUAUUAUUAUAUUUCGUAGUCUGUCGUUUUGAAUGGAUAAUGGCAAAUUGCAAUGAUUCAUAGUUGAUACUUACCCUUUCUCUCUAACCAAUUCUUCAUCAUUUUUUGUCCUUUUGUUUGUCCAACAACCCAUUACUUUAUUCCUUUCACCGUACAAAGCAGACAAUACGAACCGAAUCCGAACCUGAUGACAAACGCGAAGCCCGGAAGGACAAAACAUACUUUUUACUGUAGCUACUGUCCGUCCAAACCGAGUUAGGAUUCUCUUCUUUCCUUUUUUCAUCCUCUUCCCUUACAUUCUUUAUUUUUUUUUUUUUUUUGUAAAAAAUUAAUAUAAGAGAUUAACGUGUUGUUAGGGAAAGGAAAAAAAGAUGGAAGAGAGUCUUAGGUGCAGUUUGAGAUUGAAGUGAUUAAAAAAAAAAGUUGGGAUGAAAAAAGGUUGAUAGGGGUUUUGAAUUUUGGUAAACAUUUCAAAACAGUUUUAUUUUAAAGAUUCACAUGAAAAAAAAGUUAAAAAGUGGAAGCUGCAUUUUGCAGCUUAAAGAAGCCUCUUAUUAUACAGUACCAAGUUAAUGAAUUUUUUCAAUUUGCCAAUACUGCCCCCUCCUUUCUCCUUUCUCCUUCUCCUGAUUCCUACACUCUGCACUCUCUCUCUUUCUCUCUCGCAAAACACUCCGCACGCCCCUCUUCCCACCUCUUCCUCCUCCUCCUCCUCCUUUCUCUCCGUCGGUCUCAGCGCCACACCGCCGUCGCCUUCCAGGUACCAGGUACUCGAUUUGCUUUCAAUUUUUGUUGUAAUUAAUUAAUUUAAUUUUUAGGUUGGGGUUUGGCUGCUCUCUGAUGAUGAACCCAUUUUUUGGGGUUUUCUGAAACAAGGUUUUGUGUGGCAACCAACGAACGAGCUCGAUCUCAUUGAUUAGGUAAACAUAACUGUCAAGCUACUGCCAUUUUCACCGAUGCUCAUAUCGAGCAGAAGAAAGUGUCCAAUGCCAUUUGGCUUUUGAUCUCUCUGCUCAGUACGACGCCAUUCCCACUCCAGUCAAGUUGAUUCGCUGAAAUGUCUCAGGUAUGAUUUUUCACCCAGGCCUUGAAAAGUUUCUUUUCAAUUCUUCCAAACUUUGAAUAUUUUUUUUCCUGCGUUGUAUGGUUCGAAAAUGAACUUGUGUGGUUGUUGAUUGAAAUGGGAAUCACAAUUUAUCUUUGUUUUGGGACUCUCUGCAUUUCCAGUUCCGCUUUCCGCAUUUGUGGGUACUAUGCAUAGUUGGCCUCCGAGUUGUUUGAUUAAAUGCCUCAAAGAAGUAUAUGGGAAAUUGGGAAUCAUAUUGGACUACUGCAACCUGCAAAGGUUCUAAUAAAAGGACCUUCAAGUUAGGUCAGGUGACGCACUCAACUGCUUCAGUGAUUGGUAAUACUUUCUUCUUGUGUGUGCUGCCCAUGUUAUUCAUUUUGGUUUGUAUAUUGCAUUAUGUUGAAUAAAUAAGCAAUACAUAAGCAACUGGUUGUACUUAAGGACAAGAAAAGCAUUUAUCAGUUGAGAAGAUGAUGAUGAAUUGCUGGACAACAAUUCAAUUGAUGUUAAUUUAUGAUUUCCUUGUAGCUUUUAUUUAGCAUGAGUUUGACUAUGACUGCAAACUAUAUUUAUAAUUGAAUGGCCUUUGCCUGAAACAGUUAGCAGACUCACUGAUGAAGUGAAGACUUGGAAACUGAGACGCAUAGAAUAAGUGAGACAAAUUCAGGAACUCCUCAUCCAGCUGAAUAUGUCAGUGCAAGGAGUCCAGCUGUUUCUGGUAGUAGGAGCUGAAAAGGUUCAUAAUGCAGUAGGAAGUCUGGAAGUGUUCCGUUGAUAUGCAGUGUUUUAAAUAUAGUUAUGCCAGAACGGAUUGCGCCUUAUAUGCAAUGAAAUGUGUUCUGAAAAUUGUUGGUGGUGUUGGUGUAAACCAUUUUUAUUUAUUUUUAAACAGAUGUUGCACUUUUGAGUAAAUAGGGGACAGUCAUCGAGCAAAUUCCACUUGUAUUCUGUAUAUGCAGAUGUAAUGAAAAUUUUUGUGAAAAUCAGUUAUCGUUGUAAAGAUUUUGUGUUUCGGAUUUUGAAUAAUCUAGUAUUGUAAUGAAGUAGUUUAUCAUACUAAUUAAUAUUUAAGAUAAAGUUUAUAAAUAUUUUACUUUUACAAAUAAAGUAUUGUUGUAAACAUUCCUAGUUUAAGUAUGAUUGUGUAAAUCCUAGAUAAGAUUUGAUUCUAGUUAUCCUUUCCUAUUACAACUUGUAUUACUUAGAGAAGAAGGAAUAUCUUCUCUCCCUUUACUACUAUAAAUAAAGGCACAAUGUAGGAGGGAUAACAACACACACAUUCCCCUACAAUUCUACAAACACACAUCUCUCUCCUCUCUCUCUCUGCCGCCGGCCCUAGUCCCUCUGUCAGAUAAAAUAGACCACAACACGUUAUCAGCACGCUCUUCACGCUGUGCUUAGAAGAAUUUAAAGAGAAUUUAUUCGUCUACAAUCAGGGGAGUAUUACGUUUCAAUUAUUUUUAAUUGAUUAAAUCUUGAUUUUAUUGAAUUCAUAUAUUGUUAUUGAUUCAAUUUAUUUUUCUUCUUAUGUUGAACGUGAUACAAGCUUGAAGAUGAAAGCCGAAAUUGAAGAAAUAAUUUUUUCUGCAUCAAACCAAUUCAUCCAUAUCAUCACGCAAUCAGGUUCUUUCCAAACAACGGCUUUUAACUCGAUAUUUUGCAAGCCCUGAUAGCAUGAACAUUCACCAUGAUGCAUGACCCAACUUUACGUUUAACGUAUUUUAGAUUCUACAUAAAUUGUGUAUGCUUCAUCAUCAAAAUUGCUACAAUUAUGUGAAUUUGAUAUUUGUCAUGAAUUGAAUCCUACAUAUGUACAUGCAUUGAAACUAUUAUUUGCAUAUGCAUCAACGUAAAUAUGUGAUUCAUUAAAAUUAUACAUGCAUAUAAUAUAAUUGAAUACAAAAAAAAAAAAAAAAAAAAAACGAAAAUUUUUUUUUUUAGGGCUGCACACAGCAGCCCAUUCCCCUCUUCUCACCCCGUGGGCCUGUAAUCCCACCCGAGGGUUCUUGGCCUAUAUUUUUAGGCCCCGAGAUUUUAUUAUUUAAUUUUUUUUUUAAAUAAUAUGGGUUUUUAUAUUUUCACCCACAUUUUAAUUUGGUCCCGAAGACCAAAAAUAAAUUAAUUCACUUAUCAUUAUACAAUAUUUCUGCAUAUAUUCUUUGCAUAUUUGUUUGCAUAUAUAUAUUUGUGUUUGCCUGCAGGAAUAUAUGAACCUGAAGUUCAUAAUUACUUUGAAACCCGAAGUUUCUUAUACACAUGCCUUGUUUGAAAACCCGAAGUUUUCACUUAAAUAUAUCACCCAUGAAAACCCGAAGUUUUUCAUGCAAAAUUAAACCAAUACAUGUCUAUUAGAACCUGUAUGUUCUACUCCUAUGUGAAUGGAUUGAUUUUUCUCCAUUACACUAACCACAUCUUGUCCAUCUAUUUUGUGAUAGGAACAUGUCGAACUUGAACAAACUCGACUUCACCGCUUUGGAGGUUUCUGGAAGGAACUACCUCAAGUGGGUUCAAGAUGUGAAGCUCCACCUCACUGCAAAGAACUUACGUCCUGCUAUUGAAGAAGCAACAGAUAAACCUGUUGGCGAGGCUGAAAAAGCCACUGCUAUGAUCUUCAUCCGAAGACAUAUCCAUGACGCUCUACAAACUGAGUACCUUGCUGAGGAGGAUCCACGUGCAUUAUGGGUCGCUUUGGCUGAUCGUUUCGAUCACCAAAAGGACAUAUUCUUGCCUGAAGCAAGACACGACUGGCAACACUUGCGCUUCCAAGACUUUAAGUCUGUGAAUGAAUAUAAUUCUGAAGUUUGUCGAAUCCGAUCACUUCUCAAGUUUUGCAAUGAAACUUUGACUGAAGAGGAUCUCCUGGAGAAGACCUACUCGACCUUCUCUGCUUCUAAUAUUGUCCUGCAGCAACAAUAUAGAGCUCAGAAGUUCACUAAGUUCUCGGAUUUGAUCUCUGUUUUACUUCUUGCUGAAAAGCAGAACCAGCUGUUGAUGAAGAAUCAUCAAGCUCGACCUACUGGGGCUACUGCUGUGCCUGAAGCACAUUAUAGCACUAAUCAGCACCCAAAACGCCAAAAGAGACGUGGUAAGGGCGGCCAGAAGCCAUCCCACCAAGGUCAACAGAGCCAAGGCCCAUCCAAGGGAGGAAACAAAGCCCAGAAGCGCCCAAACCUCGCUCCCAAGGCCCCGAACUUCAAGAAUAAGGGCAAAGCACCUGCCACAAUGAAUGACGAUAUGUGCUAUCUGAAGGAAUUAUUUUGUAAAACAUGUUCAUUUGAGCAACAUCAUAUAGCAUGCAAUUAACAAUUAAAGGCGGAAUCAUGCUUACAUGCACUCAAAACAAAAACAUUUUACCCAUGAAAUUCAAAGCCUAGUAGAUUGGUGAACCAAUAAUCAACUCAAAAAUAAGUGAGUUGAAAUUAAUACCUUUGUAGAUUCCUCUUUGCAUAAGCAAAGGCUAAUCACCCAAAGAGAUAGGGGCCUUCAUUCCUUGCUUCUUAGAUCCAUGGAUUUGUAUGGAAGAAUAGGUUCUCCAAGUUCCCAAAAUUGAGAACCUCUAAGUCUCUACACCAAGGAGAGAUUGGAUGAUGAAAUGAGUUGACCUUGGAGUAGUAGGAUUGCUAGAUGUACCCUCCAAGGUGUUGGCCUCUUUUAGAGAGAAAUGGAGAGACAAUUCUCACCCAUUUUUCCCUAAAAUAAACCCAUUUUCACUUAAUGAAUAUUUAGUUAUAAAGUCAUUUAUAUAGUCACUUCUUUAAGUGACCUAAAUAACCAAACAACCCUAAUUCAUCACACUAUGGCCGGCCAUUUAGGGGAUUUUGGGCUUUUGGGCUUUAAUGAAUCUUCAUUCAUUAAAUUGUCAUACAACUUAAGUUAAUGGGCUUGACGUUCGAAGCCCAUUGGGCCUUAAGGUCCAAAACUAUCCCGAAGUCUUUAACGAACUUAUUCGUUUGAUUAAUUAACAUAUUAAUUAAUCCUUGCCAUAAAUAAAUGAUUAAACCAUUUAAUCAUUCUUACUCAUUUCCGUUUUAAUCUCCAAUCUCCACCUUUCACGGUGUGCGAUCCAUUAGGUUCCUUUUAGCGAGGUAGUGGGCGAUUAAAAACCAUUUUACAUCGAUUGUGAAUUGAAACUAUUUUCAAUUCUCCUUUAGUGAUUACACACGUUUAGGGCUUCCACAAACCAUGAGUGACACCUAGCCGUAUGUCAUGGUUACCCAAGCUAAUCAGAAGAGGUGGAGAACCUAUUCAGUCUGGGAUUACAAAUGCAAUACGGUCCUUCUCUAAUCUAAUACUCUUGACCACAUUGUUUGGUUUGAUAGUUUAUUUUCUCAUGUCUACUAUCCAAUGUGUGUCUUGUGCUUAUAUGAUUACCUUGAAUGUGAUUAGGAACGCAUUCCCAAAUCUCAUUCAUACUCUGGCCAGAGAUUCAAAUCAUAUCAGAGAGUAUUCUCCUUCAAACGGUUUGAAGGUUAGAGAUCCCUUGUUGCGCAUUCACUUGUCUCCAUAGCUAAGCGGCUUGACCCCAACGAUGCCGUGGACACCCUCCUGGUGGGAUGACUUUGACAUAAUCAAAGAUCAAGGUCUUAACCACAAGACAACUAUGAUGAUGCCUCAGGUCAAAGGACUACUUUGCAUUAUCCCAACCAUGAGUUCUCAUGUGACAUGGAAUAUGAAGAACUCUUCGUUGAUCGCGUUCAGUGAACUCAUUCUCUAUUGAGCACCUACCGUACUUGUCUUGAUGUCACACACACCAAUGACUAGAGACUAAUCACUCUCCCUGAGAGAAGACAUAGUACGUACCGAUCUUGACGGACUGUCAAUGCCCAAUUGGCAAUCCUAUGAUCAGGAACGUUUAGGAUGUGUCUACGAAAGAAUGGUCUCAAGAAUCUAACUUCAUUAGAUUACAUUCUCCCAAUCACAUAUUCCUUGGACUUUAUUGUUUAAGCAUAUAACAUUUAUAUGAGACGGCUCAAACAAUAAUGUAUGCCCUUUAUAUGUUAAACUGGAUUAGUUUAACAUGUGAAAUGUCCGUAAAGUAUCAUCACAUGAUUGGCUUUAGGGCACAUUUCCAACAAUCUCCCACUUGCACUAGAGCCAAUCAGCUUGAUCAUCAAUGAUGAUAUCUCUUCUGUAGUCAUUUCAUAAAUGGCUGAAUAGUAGGCCUAGACAGUGGAUAUCUAUAUGUGUUAUCCAUAGAAGCAACCUUGAGAAUACCGACGUCACCAUUAUACAUGAUUCUCAAUCAUGUGGUUCAGUCUCUCAUUUGUGUUCGGAUCUUGAUGAGACCUUGAUUCCCAGGCUUGAGCUAUCGCCCCAUUAGUGUCAUACACUUUCUGGUUGGAACCGAAUAGAGAGUUCAUAAAUGAACUUUCCCAUCCAAACAACAUUGUUGUAAACUUCUAUAUGGCAAUAUAUCUUGCAUUCAUAAUGGAACACACUAAAGUCAUUACUUUAAUGUUUCCAUCCAAAUAUCUCUUUAGUCAUAAUAAAGAGAUAUUCGUUUAUCUCUUCAUUCAUAAUGAAGAAACAUCCAAUGAUGGAUUAGAUUCAUAAUCUAAUACAUUUACGCUUCCAUUACGUUACUUUGAUUCUUCCUCGAUCUUUGAGGAAUUUAUCCUUUAGUAUUUCUUAAAUACUUAAGGACUCACUUGACAGUUGCCAUGGUUCUGAUCCUGGGCUUGCACUGAUAUCAUCUUAUACCGUUCUAGGUACAACUCAUAUCAAUGUUUUUCAUACAAUAUGAAAUACAUAAAUCACCUUUGUGCAUAUGCAUAAAGGAUUUUAUUUACGCAUUAUUUCUUUGGGAGUCAAAGGGGUACAUUCCCUUUGAGAAGGGCAACUUGCUAGUCUCACUAGAAUCGUCCUUUCUUAUUGAAGUUUAUCAUCAUAUGAGAAACUUCCUAGCAUCCAUUGUCUAUUAUUAGGCAUUGAUAUAAUCCAAUUAUAUCAUGAAAUAUAUCAUUAUAGAUUUCCAUCCCAUGUAUAUAGACUAUAUCUCCCAUAUACAUUCUAUCGUUUAUAGAAUGCUUAAAGUCAUAACUUUAACGAAGAAGUAUUCUUUUCAUUUCCAAAAUUAAUAUAUCAUAUAUAUUUAAAUUUUAGGAACAUGAUUAACUCCCACUAAUCUUUUGUAAAACUAGUAAACAAAAGAUUCAUUUAUAUCUUUAUGAGAAAUCAAACGAUUUGAACCUUUUCUCAUAAAAUGCAAAUAGCUCCCACUAACUUGCUAAGAUCCAUGAUGGAUGGAUCUCUACAACUUACAUGUCUUGUGAUUUAUAGUUUUAGACAUAUAUUAUCAAGACUAUCUUAAUAAUGGUUUCGGAAACCCAUAUUAUGUCCAAACAUUGAAUCACCAUUUAGUUGUAGUUAGCAAUCUUCGAAUUAAUUGAAACCAAGACUAUCUCAAAGAUGGUUUCUUCAAAGUCAACCAUUCUCUUUGAUUGUAGUCACCUUAAGCUACCAAUUAGCUAUGAAGGUUUCAUUAUUUCGAGUCAAAUGGUACUUUACCAUUUCCUUGAGUAUAUAUCGUAUAUGCACUCAAUGUAGUUAUAAGGAUUUUCAUUCUUAUUUCUUUCGAAUUAAGAGGGUGCAACUCUAUGACAUAGUCAUAAAGUUCAAAACCAUUCAACUGAGACGGUUUAUAAAUCCUUAUCGACUACCUUGGAGCUUGUGGUAUAGGAACUAGGUUGUUAUAUUUGUUGAUUACUUUCUUGUCUCUCAAAGAACCCAUUCUUUGAGUUCUAUCUCUCGUUCAUUUGCUUUUAGGCAAAUCACAUUGUAGAAUUACAAUGAACUACCCAACAAAAACAACAUUUGUUAGUUGGUUUAUAGAAGCGAUAUCCAAAAGUUAUUUUAAGGAUAUCCUACAAGAUUAUUAUCAAACAAAUAUUGCUUGUUAGCACACAAUCCCAAAUCUUUAACAUGCUUAAGAUUUGUCUUUCUUUCCAACUACAUCUUAUGGAGUCAUGAAAAUAUUGGAAGAUCUUCUCAUUGACAAUCAUAUUGUUUUAGAAGUAUAUAUCCUAUAUAUGGGUAAUAGAUAACAUCUAACGAACUAAAUCUUAUUCAAGUUCGUUCUUCUCCUAAUGGAGAAAUACAUUAUCUUAUGAUGCUAUUUCCUUGAUAUCUUUCAAGGAAACUUAUCUAAAGUGUUACCUUUCCUUGGAUCAAAUCUAAGGAGGUAAAUACUUUAGAUGUCUUACUCAUCAACUUACAUUUCUUGAAUUCUUUGAAACAUUUUUCAAAGUAUUCGGACUUGUGUUUAUUCAAAAUAAACUAUAGUCCAACCGAGAGUGAUCUUCGGUGAAUGUUAUCCAACAUGAGUAGUAUUAUGUUUGUGGACAAGUGCCACUAACAUUUAAGUGAAUUAACCUCAACAACUUUGUGAUUCUUUCUUCUUUCCAAAAGAAUAAAGAUUCGAACAUUUCGCCUCUAUACAAUUUUAACAAGAAGGUAUUGGAUCCGGAUCUAACGAUCCAAAGCGUCCAUUUAUGACCAACUCGUAAUUUAUGUUUUAGAGGUAUCACAACUUUAGUUGGGAUUAGUCACUACCCUGCAACCUUUUGGGUUUUAAGCAUCAUUAUUUUCUAAACAGUUAACACCACCAUAUUAUCUCUACUAUAAAGAUAAUUAAUUAGAUUACCAUAAUCUAAUCAUUGAUUAAUAAAGAACAUUGUUUUGUCAAACAAAACAUUUAUCCAUUUCACAUAGUGACGGAAUUUAGUUCCUUAAAAUUGGAAUAUAAAGACAAUCUAUGUUUUUCCAAUUUCUUUGGUGGUUCAUAUGAGGAAGUAAGUACCAUCUGCUUUCGCAGAGAUCUACAUUUGAUUCACGCUUCGAAUGUGAAGUACUUUCUCUUCUCUCAUUAAUCUUCUACUUCUUAUUAGCCACACUUUUACAACGAUUGUAAAACAUAGUCACUAAUACGGAAUCAAGCAUUCAAGUAGAAGAACCAACUGUUUUGAACUUUUCAAGAACAAUUUACAACACCUUCGAAAAGUGUGUUCUUGACACUUGCAAGACAUUUCUUGCAAAUACCCCUUCCAAUGUCCAUCCUUUCAUAAAGAAAGUUUGUUCCCUUGGAGUUAUUUAUCUUCUUUAUUUGACUUUCACCUUUGACUACAUUAGUCAUGGUCCCUAAACUCUCACUAUCUCUCUUGAAACCUUUUUCAAUUGUGUUAUACACAUCAAACAAUUUUGGAGAGCAUGUGGUUUAUUGUUCACUAUAUAGUUUACAAUAAACUUAGUGAACGAUUAGGAUAGGGAAACAAAGGUGAAGUCCUUGCCUAGUUUCCGUCUCGUUAAGUGGUUUAUCACUUCAACACUUAAUGAUUCAAAAUCAUCAUAAGUCCAUGUUAAUGGACUAUUUUUGUCAACCAACCAUUAUGUUCUAAACAUAAUUACAAACCUUCAAGAGUUGUACAAGGCAACUCUCAUUUCUUCAUACAACAAUUUGUAAGUGAAGAAACAUGGCACAUAAAGUGUUCAUGCCUUUGUGCUUUCUUCUCAAGUUCUUUGUUCAUUUAACAAAGAAACAAGCACUAAGUGUUUGCAUUGACUAAGAGUUGUUCAAAGCAACUCCUAUUUCUUCAUACAACAAAUUGUAAUUGAAGAAUUAUGACAUUAAAAGUGUUGUCCUCUUUAUGAUAGACCUUUUCUAACAUAUUCUUCUAAUGAUACAUUAUCAAUAGUAAGAUUGUGAGGAUGAGACUACUUUGGUACUUUUACAAGCCAUUAAAGACAAUCUAUGGUUUUGUAGUACCAAGUCCGUAAACUAAACGUUCGGUUUUGUCAAGUGUUGGAUAGCGUUUGCAAAUAUAUUGGUAAUCAAAUACAUAACGAAUAUAAAUUGAUUGAUUUUAAGCCAUUUGAUUUGGGUCUUUAAAUCAAAUAGCACCACCCACUAUUUUUGGCAAAUUCCAUAUCCCUCAUAGGAAUUCGAGAGUUUUGGAUGAUGAAACUCCUAGUAGGUUAUGGGAGGCUCACUAUUACCAAGCCCACCUCACGAUGAUACGAUAUAUGGCUAGCAACAAUAAUAAUGAGAGAGUACGCUUACUCAUUUGCAACUCAUGCAAGUACCCAUCUUAUUUGGCCUCUAGAGAAUGUAACCUCACAAUGAUAUGAUAUUGGUUCCAUUGCACUUAGUUAAGUUCUUCCCACCAUGCUUAGUGUGUGAAGGGGUUCAAGAAUAGCCUCACGAUGAUACGAUAUAUAGCUAUCCUCGUUGCCUACACUCACCUCAUCAUAUGUAUAUGGAUUCCUCCUGAGUAUAAGCAUGCACUGUGUACUCCCCCAUGAUAGGGUGAAGCCGGUGUACAAGUCAUAAACGAUUGGAUCCCACCACGGUGGAAGGCCACGAAGAGAUAUUCUAAACAUCUCUCGCUUAUCAACUUAAUAUUGGUUUGGUUGAGGGUUUUAGGUCUCAUCACAUAUAAACAUACAUUUUAAUCUCUAUUAAAACUAUUUUGGUCCUAUUACAACUAUUGUUCCAUCUCAUUGUUUUAGUUGUACAUAAUACUCCCACUAUGCUUUUAAAACGGUUUUUAAAGCAAGAGUAUAUGAUACUACUAACAUAAACUUUGCAUUCAUUUGAUGGACUACAUAGUUGUCUUAGGGCCUAAGGAUGAUUAUGAACCUUUGUUUAGAUUCAACACGAGCCUUGUGUUGAACCUCGGUCUAGGAAUGAAGAUUGAUUUUAGUUACGCGUUUAAUCACAUUAAGGCGUGUUGUCUUAUGGGCGUUGGACCCAACUACUUCAUUUUCAUGCAUAUCGUAUUAAAGCAAGAAAGAAGUACUUCAAAGUAAAGGUGAGCUUAUGCUCAUUACAACAUUUGCAUAUAACAAAUUACUUUAAAGUAAAGAAGAGCUUAAGCCCUUUUACAACAUUUGAUCAAAUCAAAUUACAACCAAAAUCUAAUCUACACAUUCCCAUGGUUCAAACAAAUUUGAAACGCCUUUCACAUAGCUCAAUUAUAUUAGGCUUAGGUUCAUAAUCACCCUUUAAUUAAUUAACACUUUUACUAAUUAAUGAAUGCAACAUUUUCAUUUGGUUUUUGUAUCCAUAAAAUUGAUUUAAAUGGAGCUAAACAAAAUGAAAAUCCAAUUCUCAUUUAAAGAGACAAAACAAUUUUGUUCUCAUCCUAUUUGGGCCAUCAUGCAAUUAACCUCAACUUUUGGGCCAUAUUGCAAUAACAAAAACUUUUGGGGUCACUUUGUAUAAUACACAAAAGUCACAACUUCAUGUAAAUACAACUAGAACCCAAACUUUUAAUAAUGCAAAAACAUCAUUAAAGGAUCAAAACAAUUUUUCCUUUAGCGUUUUUGGACCUAAACGUAAAAACGUAAACUUUUGGGCCAAAGUGCAAAUACACAAAAGUAUCAAAACUUUAUGUAAUUGCAUAAAAGCCCCAAAAGUACUCCCUUUGAGGGAGUGGCCUGUUUUAGGGAAAGAUAAGGUGGGAGUGUGUGUUGAUUUGUGAGUUUUGUCAAAAACAAUCAUGCAAGUAUAUGUAAGAUAAGUUUUUGAAAUAAUUCAAUCACAAUUAUUUCAAUCAUCAUUUAUACAAAUAUCUAACACUUUAAAUACAUAAUAAAUCAUUUAAAAACAUAUCACAUAUACUUUAUGAAAUAAUUCAAAACUUUGAAUCAAUACACCAAACCUUUUUGUUCUUGGCAAGAACAUCAAGAACAAUGAAGAACAUCCAUGAAAAACCCAAAUUUUCCAUGAACUUUUUCCACCCAAAAACAUUCCAAAACCAUUCUUACUUAAGGGAAAUAACAUCUAACCAAACUAGGGUACUUAGGGGUUCCAAAGAACACAUUAAAACACUUUUAACAAGUCAAACAAGAACCCAAAAAUUCACCCUUUGAUUUUGGCCGAAUUUUCCCAAAAGCAUGGCACCAAAUUUUAGCUCCAAUAUUCAUGCUCAUAUGAACGACAUCUACAACAUUUGAGAUAGCAAAUUUUCCAACAAAAUUUACUUUCAAAGAAGCAAGAAUAAAGCUUGUAACAAUUACAACUUUUAGAUCAUUAACUUAUGAACUACAAAACACAAAAGGAUUCACCAACUACUAGACCUAGGCUCUGAUACCACUUGAAGGAAUUAUUUUGUAAAACAUGUUCAUUUGAGCAACAUCAUAUAGCAUGCAAUUAACAAUUAAAGGCGGAAUCAUGCUUACAUGCACUCAAAAACAAAACAUUUACCCAUGAAAUUCAAAGCCUAGUAGAUUGGUGAACCAAUAAUCAACUCAAAAAUAAGUGAGUUGAAAUUAAUACCUUUGUAGAUUCCUCUUUGCAUAAGCAAAGGCUAAUCACCCAAAGAGAUAGGGGCCUUCAUUCCUUGCUUCUUAGAUCCAUGGAUUUGUAUGGAAGAAUAGGUUCUCCAAGUUCCCAAAAUUGAGAACCUCUAAGUCUCUACACCAAGGAGAGAUUGGAUGAUGAAUGAGUGACCUUGGAGUAGUAGGAUUGCUAGAUGUACCCUCCAAGGUGUUGGCCUCUUUAGAGAGAAAUGGAGAGACAAUUCUCACCCAUUUUUCCCUAAAAUAAACCCAUUUUUCACUUAAUGAAUAUUUAGUUAUAAAGUCAUUUAUAUAGUCACUUCUUUAAGUGACCUAAAUAACCAAACAACCCUAAUUCAUCACACUAUGGCCGGCCAUUUAGGGGAUUUUGGGCUUUUGGGCUUUAAUGAAUCUUCAUUCAUUAAAUUGUCAUACAACUUAAGUUAAUGGGCUUGACGUUCGAAGCCCAUUGGGCCUUAAGGUCCAAAACUAUCCCGAAGUCUUUAACGAACUUAUUCGUUUGAUUAAUUAACAUAUUAAUUAAUCCUUGCCAUAAAUAAAUGAUUAAACCAUUUAAUCAUUCUUACUCAUUUCCGUUUAAUCUCCAAUCUCCACCUUUCACGGUGUGCGAUCCAUUAGGUUCCUUUUAGCGAGGUAGUGGGCGAUUAAAACCAUUUUACAUCGAUUGUGAAUUGAAACUAUUUUCAAUUCUCCCUUUAGUGAUUACACACGUUUAGGGCUUCCACAAACCAUGAGUGACACCUAGCCGUAUGUCAUGGUUACCCAAGCUAAUCAGAAGAGGUGGAGAACCUAUUCAGUCUGGGAUUACAAAUGCAAUACGGUCCUUCUCUAAUCUAAUACUCUUGACCACAUUGUUUGGUUUGAUAGUUUAUUUUCUCAUGUCUACUAUCCAAUGUGUGUCUUGUGCUUAUAUGAUUACCUUGAAUGUGAUUAGGAACGCAUUCCCAAAUCUCAUUCAUACUCUGGCCAGAGAUUCAAAUCAUAUCAGAGAGUAUUCUCCUUCAAACGGUUUGAAGGUUAGAGAUCCCUUGUUGCGCAUUCACUUGUCUCCAUAGCUAAGCGGCUUGACCCCAACGAUGCCGUGGACACCCUCCUGGUGGGAUGACUUUGACAUAAUCAAAGAUCAAGGUCUUAACCACAAGACAACUAUGAUGCCUCAGGUCAAAUGACUACUUUGCAUUAUCCCAACCAUGAGUUCUCAUGUGACAUGGAAUAUGAGAACUCUUCGUUGAUCGCGUUCAGUGAACUCAUUCUCUAUUGAGCACCUACCGUACUUGUCUUGAUGUCACACACACCAAUGACUAGAGACUAAUCACUCUCCCUGAGAGAAGACAUAGUACGUACCGAUCUUGACGGACUGUCAAUGCCCAAUUGGCAAUCCUAUGAUCAGGAACGUUUAGGAUGUGUCUACGAAAGAAUGGUCUCAAGAAUCUAACUUCAUUAGAUUACAUUCUCCCAAUCACAUAUUCCUUGGACUUUAUUGUUUAAGCAUAUAACAUUUAUAUGAGACGGCUCAAACAAUAAUGUAUGCCCUUUAUAUGUUAAACUGGAUUAGUUUAACAUGUGAAAUGUCCGUAAAGUAUCAUCACAUGAUUGGCUUUAGGGCACAUUUCCAACACUAUCGUUGUGGUUCCAAGGACCAUUGGUCCCGUAUUUGCCGUGCUCCCAAGAAGGUUGUGGAUGCAUAUCAUUCUCGUCGUACGAAGUUUGAAUCAAACUUCCUGCAAGUGGACGAACCGGAGACUACAAAGAUGGAGGUUUCUGAUUUUCAGGAGGAUACCACUCCUAUGGAAGAUUAGAAUCUUAGACAUAGACUUAUUUUUCAGUUAAAAUAAGACAAUUGGGGCCGAAUUCCACCUUGUGGCCGAACCCCACCUUGUUUUUUGGUUGAUUUUGAACAAUUUUCCUUUAUGUUUUGGAUUAUUAGUUGGCGAUUUAUUUUGGAUAUUAAGUUUUUAAUCCUUGAAUAAAUGAAAUUAUUUUGAAUUGAUACUUGUUUUUAUAAACUUUUAUGCAUGUGACCGAUUCAAAUUAAUUUUUCAUUCUAGGUAUGACUAGUGGGAAAGUUAGUUGUCUGGCAGAUAGUGCAACCACGCAUACUGUUUUGCGUGAACGCAUCUAUUUCACUAACUUCGUACCUAAGAAUGCACCUCUGACAACCCUCUCAGGCCCAUCCAACCUGAUCGAAGGAUACGGUAAGGCACAUAUAAUGUUGUCCAAUGGUACAAUCUUGACCAUUGCUGAGGCACUCUAUUCUCCACGUUCCGGAAGAACGUUACUAAGUUUCAAGGACAUUAGAGAUAACAAUUACCACGCUGAAACCCACGUAGAAAACGGAGUUGAAUUUCUGUGCGUAACUUCCUACGAAUAUGGCCAGAAGCGUAUUCUAGAGAAGAUGGAGCGUAACCCGAGUGGUCUGUAUACUACGACCAUACGCCCCAUAGAAUGCCACUAUGUGGCCGGCCCUACCACAGGGACCGCGCACGAAAUUACACUUUGGCAUGAUCGUUUGGGACAUCCUGGACGAAUAGCGAUGCGCCGUAUCCUCAAAACUUCACACGGGCAUCCACUAACCCGAAGCUUAGGUUCGAUCCAUGAAAUUGCAUGCCAAACAUGUUCUAUGGGAAAGCUUAUUACUAAGCCUUCUUAUGACAAGAUUCGUUCGAAUCCUCCCAUUUUUCUACAACGGAUUCAGGGGGACAUUUGUGGACCGAUUCAACCUCCCUGCGGACCAUUUAGAUAUUUUAUGGUUUUGGUUGACGCUUCUACACGUUGGUCACACGUGUGCUUGUUGUCCACAAGGAACGCUGCAUUCUCCAAACUGUUGGCUCAGGUUAUCAAGCUCAGGGCUCACCACCCUGAUUAUCCGAUCAAAUCUAUUCGAUUGGAUAAUGCUGGAGAAUUCACAUCUAAAACUUUUGAUGACUAUUGCAUGUCGGUUGGGGUUGAAGUUGAACAUCCUGUACCCCAUGUUCACACCCAGAACGGCCUGGCAGAGGCUUUCAUUAAGCGUUUACAAAUGAUUGCUCGAUCGUUGGUCAUACGUACCAAGCUCCCGAUCGCUGCUUGGGGCCAUGCAAUAUUGCACGCAGCAAAGUUGGUCCGCCUGAGGCCUGUUGCGACACAACCAUUUAGUGCCCUUCAGUUGGUCACCGGAUGCGAACCCGACAUAUCGCAUCUGCGCGUUUUUUGUUAUGCGGUCUAUGUGCCGAUCUCGCCGCCCUUACGUACAAAAAUGGGGCCUCAGCGAAGGAUGGGAAUCUAUGUCGGAUAUGAUUCUCCUUCGAUUAUUCGUUACUUAGAACCUUUGACAGGCGAUCUGUUUACCGCUCGUUUCGCGGAUUGUCACUUCUAUGAGACAGUCUUCCCGUCGUUAGGGGGAGAUAAGAACAUCAACGUUCCUAAUGAAUGACGCGAAUUAUCGUGGACGACUCCCACUUUGUCUCAUUUAGAUCCCCGCACCGCUCAGUCUGAAGCUGAAGUGCAGCGCAUAUUAGAUCUCCUGAGCAUAGCUCAGAGCAUGCCAGAUGCUUUCACCGAUCUAGCGCGCGUGACAAGAUCACAUAUUCCAGCUGCGAAUACGCCUGCAAAGAUGGAUGUACCAAAUGUACGACGGACUACCCUCCUGGAAGCCCGGGACGCCAAUUCUGGCGAUCCACGUACAUUAGCGGCUAGCCAAUCAUCUGCCCCUACACAAAAGCGUGGCAGACCCCUUGGUUCAAAGGAUUCACACCCCCGGAAGAGGAAAACCACGACACAAGGUCCUAAAGAGCCUACCGUGAAUCCGACUAUCGCUUACUCAUUUUACCCAACUCAUGAGGAAAUUCUAGAUUAUGGAAGCGUCCUUGAAGAGACGAAUCCUCCUCCCGAGAAUCAUGAGAUUUCGGUCUAUUAUGCUAGCUUAGAUGAUGUGUGGCGUAGAAAUGAGAUGAUUGUCGACGAUGCAUUAGCAUUUGCAGUAGCUACUGAGAUCAUGUUGAGCGAUGACAUUGAACCGCGUUCCGUUGAUGAAUGUCGACGUAGAGCUGAUUGGUCAAACUGGAAACAAGCAAUCCAAGUCGAACUUGAUUCACUUGCGAAACGUAAGGUGUUUGGACCUGUAGUUCCUACUCCUCCACAUGUGAAGCCCGUUGGCUACAAGUGGGUUUUCGUUCGGAAGCGUAAUGAGAAGAACGAAAUUGUGCGUUACAAAGCUCGUCUUGUAGCACAAGGUUUCUCACAACGCCCCGGGAUUGACUAUGACGAAACUUACUCACCCGUUAUGGAUGUGAUUACUUUUCGAUACCUUAUCAGUUUGGUAGUUUCCGAAAAACUGGAUAUGCAGCUGAUGGACGUAGUAACCGCGUAUCUCUAUGGGGAUCUUGAUACGGAAAUUUAUAUGAAAGUUCCCGAAGGACUUACAUUGACUGGUUCAAAUAUUUCCAAACCCCGGAACACGCUCUCAAUUCGGCUGAGGCGUUCACUAUACGGUUUGAAACAAUCCGGAAGAAUGUGGUAUAACCGUUUAAGUGAGUAUUUGACUAGUCAGGGAUAUGUGAAUAACGAACUAUGCCCUUGUGUGUUCAUUAAGAAGUCACAUUCCGGAUUUGCGAUUGUUGCAGUAAUAUGUCGAUGACAUGAAUCUCAUCGGAACUCCUGAAGAGCUCGCGAGAACUGUUUCGCACCUGAAGUCGGAAUUUGAGAUGAAAGAUCUAGGUAAGACUCGAUACUGUCUCGGUCUCGAGAUAGAGCAUUGUUCGGAUGGAAUCUUAGUACAUCAAUCGAACUACACCCAGAAGGUGUUACGCCGUUUUAAUGAGGAUAAAGCGAAGCCUUCGAGUACUCCUAUGGUCGUUCGUACGCUAGAUGCAAAGCGAGAUCCCUUCCGUCCGAAGGAGGAUGAUGAAGAGAUUUUGGAGCCUGAAGUUCCUUAUCUAAGUGCGAUAGGCGCUUUAUUGUACUUAGCUCAAUGCACUAGACCCGACAUCUCCUUCGCUGUUAAUCUUUUGGCAAGAUACAGCAAUGCACCAACACGCAGACAUUGGACUGGCGUGAAAGACAUCUUCCGUUACCUUAAGGGUACUACGGAUUUGGGCUUAUUCUAUCCCUACGAAUCCUCGAGUGAUGCCGCACCCUAUGCUCAUCGGGUUGAUUCUCGCCUUGUUGGUUAUGCCGACGCUGGAUACUUAUCUGAUCCGCACAAGGCGCGUUCUCAAACGGGUUAUGUCUUUACCGUUGGAGGCACCGCAAUAUCUUGGAGGUCAACUAAACAGACCUUAGUUGCCACUUCGUCUAACCAUGCUGAAAUUCUCGCCUUACAUGAAGCAACUCGGGAAUGCUUUUGAUUGAGAGCAGUAGUGGGCCAUAUUCGAAGCUCCUGUGAUCUUCAUCCCGCCGUUAAUGCCCCGACGACGAUUUUUGAAGACAACGCAGCUUGCAUCGAACAGCUCAAGAAGGGUUACAUCAAAGGAGACAACACCACACAUAUUGCGCCGAAGUUCUUCUUUACACAUCAACAACAAGAGCAUCAGAAGAUUGAAGUCACGCAAAUCCGAUCACAAGAUAAUCUGGCCGACCUCUUCACCAAAUCACUACCGAAGGCGACGUUUCAAAAGCUUGUUCAUGGAAUUGGUAUGCAUAAACUUUCUGAGUUGUAACUUUGCUAUUUCUCUUUGGAAUUAUGUCAAACUCAGGGGGAGUAUCUUCUAGAUACUUGCUUGAUCUUAAUGUACUCUUUUUCCCUACGAUUAGGAGCAUUUUUUCCCACUGGGUUUUUUGCUACCUAACUAGGUUUUAACGAGGAGGCACCCACCUUGGGCUGGUCAUAUCCCUGAUGACGUCCUGUAGACGUUUCUUUUGACUUUGCAUUUCUCACGCAUUUUUCCUUAAACUAUGGAUUUUGUCCCUACUUGGGUUUUUGCCAUAGCCUUAGGGUUUUUUUAGUGAGACUUACUACUUAUGCAAGUUCCUACCUUAUUGAGAAUAAGCGUUGUUCCUUGGAAUCAGUGCCAACGAGUCGACUUCCUCAACUUCUGCAUGAUGCUGAAUCUACCUUGAGUAUUUACCCACUCAAGGGGGAGUGUUGUAAACAUUCCUAGUUUAAGUAUGAUUGUCUAAAUCCUAGAUAAGAUUUGAUUCUAGUUAUCCUUUCCUAUUACAACUUGUAUUACUUGGAGAAGAAGGAAUAUCUUCUCUCCCUUUACUACUAUAAAUAAAGGCAUAAUGUAGGAGGGAUAACAACACACACAUUCCCCUACAAUUCUACAAACACACAUCUCUCUCCUCUCUCUCUCUGCCGCCGGCCCUAGUCCCUCUGUCAGAUAAAAUAGACCACAACAAGUAUAUUUAGUAAUUCACCUUUAUUGGUUAAGAAAAUUAAAUUAAUGGCACAUCUAGUAAUAUACCUUUUUUUGUCAUUUUACACCGUCACAGCUGUUUUACAUAAAAGUUUACCAAAUACUAUCAUACUGUUUUUUUUUUCCAAAAGAACUUUUACAAAAAAAGUUUAUCAAACACUAUGCUGCUUUAUUUCACAACUGUUUUUUUUUUCACAGCACAGCAGAAGCAGUUUUUUUUCAAAGCACAGCAAUACCAAACCAGCCCUUAGUUGGGUUUGUUUGCUUUUUUUUUUCCCUGGCUUUUCAUUUCUCUUCUUGCUCUCGCUUUCUUCUUUGUCCUUCUGUGUCGUUCUCAGAAGUAAUUUCGUUUUGCUCUUCAUUUUUUUUUUCCGCUGCUUCCAAAUUUUUGUUCAAUUAUUGUGGUAUUUUUGUGUGUUGUUGUCAGGUUUUUCAUCAGUGAAAAAAAAAAGGCAGCACUUUAGGUUUCUUUCAUUGUGAUAUUAGUUGUUUGGAGUAACUUGUUUUUAAACUAAUUUGCGGUUUUGCCUUGGUUUGGGGUUCUGAUUGGUGCUAAGAGGGUUAGUGACAGAGUUUAUAUGUUUUUUUGCCCAUUUUUAUCCUGUUUAGGACUUUUUGGUGCUAGGAUUUUUGAGCUUUGUUAUUUACCCUUUUGUUUUUUUUAGUUGCUUGAUUUGUUUUGCUGGUUGCAUUUGCAAAGAGAGAACAACAUCUUAGAUAGUUUCUGUGCUUAUGAAACAUUUGAGGGUAAGAUUCACAUGGUUAUUUAAAUCUAUGGGUUUUGUUUCUUCAAUUUUAAAAUGGAGAAAGCUUAACAUGAAAGAGAGAAACUUAUUUACAUUUUAACGGUUAAGAAUAAUUAUCUGGAGCUUUCAUUUUUAUUUGGUUUAAUUUCAAUUCAUGUACAUAUUCCCUAUAAUUUAUUUUCCGUUUUGUAUGAGUGUCUACGUAUUAUAAAUAAAAGAACUGUACGGAGUUGUUUCUCUGAAGUUUUACUUCGUGUGACAUUUUACCUAGAAAAUGAAUAUUAUUUUAAGAAAGGAUUGUAUAACAAGUAACAACCCAUAAAAUGUGGCAUUAUGUGUGAGUGGGCUCCUAUACCUCAAUGGCUAUGUGACAUGAUUUCCGCGCGUUUCUUUUUCAUUGUGCGUGCUUUUCUUUAUUUGUUUAUUGAGUUUUCUUUGAUUCAUUUGAUCUACCUAGAAGUAUCUAGCCAAUUUCCCUCUUAAACUAUCACAAACCUAAGCCCCCACUGCUGCCCCGUUUACCACAUUUCACAUAAUUUUCCAUUGAAAAUAUCUCCAUUCCGGUCAUUGUAUGUUUAUUAAUUCUUCAUUCAUCAAUGUUAUUUGUUACUUUUCAAGAUAUACGUUUGUUGUCUUUCCUUUCUCAAUGUUAUUUGUUACUUGUCAAGAGAAAUGUGGGUAAACAACUAAACAUGCUGGUAGAAAUGAACUGCUUUUUGUUUUUUCAAAAAAACAAGCUGGUUGCAAAGUCACGAAGUUUCAUCCUUCCGCAAGCUAGGAAGACCUACAAAGGCAUUUCAACCUCUCUAGCCACCAUUAUGUGAUUCACCAACAUCAGGAAUCGAACAAUAAUUUCAUCGCAAGUUUCCAAGAAAUGGAGGGAGAGAAAAAAUGGAGUUCGUCUUAUGUAACAAUAGUUUCCAAGCAAUUGUAUCAGAAAUCUGUAAUUUCCUUAUAGACUACGUGCGUUUCAUCGUGUCACAACUAGAUGUGAAGCACGUUUUCGGUCAUUCUAAUCUUACAACUAUACAAUAGUUCCUAAAUGUAAUCAAACUGUCAAAUGCUUGGUUAGGGAAGGAAGAGAUUACUAAAGCAGGUCAUCGAAAGCCGGAGGAGGGAAAAUAUCACCAGUAAUAGGACUUGAACUUGAUUAAAGCUCAUUGAAGAGACAGAUCAUGGCAUCUGCUCCAUGUUUGAUAAUCCCCACACAAGACGGGAAGCAAAACCGGUAAAACCUAAGCAUUGAUUAGUCGAGAUCCACAAAAAUCUGCAACAAGUCCAGAAGGUUGAUCAGAAUAGAAUGAAAACCAAAAGCAUUCAGAGUUGUAGUUUAGAUGGCACCAACUAUUUCAGCACAAUUCGCAAAUGUUUUAUCCAAAAGAGACUAACCUCCAUAUCUGGCAAAGGGUCGUAUGACUUUUUCUCUCUUAUGUUAAACACAGUAAUGCCCGUGAUCCUCUGAACUCCAAGUUUAGUGGCAAUCAGGUUCUGCAUUAGAAAACAGCUACUCUAAGAAACUACUCAAAUAGAUGAAAGUAUGAAGGGCAAAUAUUUUUCACGGUAAUAAUCUCAAUGUUAUAUUGCCGAAAGAUGACUGGUUACAUUUAGGUUGCGGGGUUCAGAGAGCAUCAUCUCCAUUGUGAUUAUCAUUUACCAAAGAUGUUUCAACUGAAUCUAUAACACUAUGUUUGGAUGAGGGAAAUAAACUUGGAAUUUGGAUAAAAGUCAGAAUUUAUAAAUUGAUAUGCACCAAUUACCUUGUUUGGAUUCAUAAAACAUAGAAAUUUAGAAUUUCGCGUGCCAGAUUGAAAUUUGUGGAACCAAACGCCUCAACCCUCGGCAAAACCUGUUUGUGAUUUCAAAUUCAUAAAUCAUGGUUCCUAAUUUAUCUUUCAUCAUGUUAAGUAAUCUAACUCAUGCGGUCUCAAAGUUCAGAGAGUAUACAGGAUCUGUUAAAAUAUUGAGGUCACUAUAAGCAAUCGAAAAUGAAAAAAGGCACCGACGAAACCUACAAGAAGGGCUUGAACAGGAUAUCACCAUGAUAGCAUCUAAAAUCGUAUGUUGAGUAGACUUUGGGGCAUACUUGUCAAAAACAAAAUUUGAAAGAUGAUUUAAAGCAUUACCACAGUUUGAAGACCAUUAAUCACAACAACAUUCUCCUCACGUGAAUCAUCUUGUGAUAAACAAACUUCGAAAGGGCCGAGUUCCUUAUCUGUCUCAUUUGCUAAAUUCAAGUGUAGCUGCACGAUGUUUUUACUUGCUCAGUUCCAAAUCAUUGUAUUAGUCAGUGACUAAUAAUAAUUCCUUCACCCAGCCUUUAUUUCCUUUAGAAUUGCUUAUAAUUGCAUCCUUCAGCCUUUUAUUUCGUAUAAAAUUCUCUAUAAUUGUGGUCACUUAGACUUAUUUAUCUUGAAGUUCUCUGUAGUUGCUUACAAUAAAAUAAAUAACUACAAUAUUUUAAAGACAAUAUGACAUAGUUUCCAAGUACAUUAUGACAAUAUUUAAAAGACAAUAUGACAUAUUUUAAACACAAUAUGACAUAUUUUAAAGACAAUAUGACAUAUUUUAAAGACAAUAAGACAAUAUGACAAUAUGACAAUAUUGAGGUCAUAUUUUAAAGACAAUAUGACAAUAUGACAUAGUUUCCAAGUACAAUAUGACAAUAUUUAAAAGACAAAUAUUUUAGUAUUUGUUUUACAAAGUACGGUAUUUUAUAAAUAAUUAUAUAUAUAUAUAUAUCAAAUAUAUAUCAAAUUUCAGGUCCCUCUGUGAGGUGAAGCACAUUGCCUAGGCGGGGCUACCAUGAACCACUUCGCCUAUGCCUUUGCCUUUUAAAACAUUGCCCCAAACCCACAGAAGUGUUUAGGCCAAACGUUGCAUCUCUUUCAGACAUCCUGCGCUUCCUCGGCAACAGGCCAUCGACUCCAUAAUAAACAUCACAACUUUCCAAAGAUCCGGAAUCAGGUGGGUGUGAAGAAUUACAUAGCUUGGUGUUAUCAUCUUGAGGACCCAUAUCAUCUGGACCAGACCAAGGCUCUCCGUACAUAUUGCGCCUUCGCUGCUCUUCGGCUGGAGGGCGGAGUUCUAGCUCUCGGAGCAACAGACCAGCAGCAUCUGCACCUCUAGGCCGGGGCAUAUUCUGUAUAGCCAAUCAGAAAAAAUAUUGUCAAACAUGACCAUUUUUCAGCGAGUAACUUUCAACAAGAGAAAAGAAUAUGUUAAAGAUUAAGAAGUUCAACAGUCAAUAGAAAACCUGAAUAUGUGGAACUAGUGCUGGUUCAACAGCCGUUGCUUCAGGAUCAAUGCCUGAUAACGUUUCACCAGAUGCCUGCCAUGGCUCUGGUACCAAAGCAGAUGGAUUUAACAACCUGGCUUGCUUGUCUAGAACCAUUGCCCUAACUUCUUGUGCAUUUGUACCUUCAAGUAGCCUGCACUUUAACCUGUCGAGACACUGCAUCAAAACAGAUAUAAUUUUAUGAGUCCUUUUUCUAGGUGAUUUUUUUUCUUGGUAAUCUUUUGCUUGGCAAGUAGAACUGUUAACAUCUCUUGCUUGUACUGUCAAUUGGCUUUAACAGCAAAAGUCUUUUUUCUUUUUCUUUUAAAUUCCAGAUGAGCAUGUUCGACACUACCAGGCCAUUCAUAUAAGAAAAAAUUAUGUGUCAUGAAUUCAUUUAAAUUCAGCAUAUUUCACUACUUAAAGGUCGUACCCAGUGCACAAGGCUCCCGCUUUACGUAAGGUCUGGGAGAGGUGAAUGUCGGCUAGCCUUACCCCCAUUUUAUGGAGAGGCUGCUCCCAAGUCUCGAACCCGAGACCUACCGCUCAUGGGCGAAGGCACUUGCCAUCGCACCAAGUGCGACCUCUUAUAUUUCACUACUUGCACAAACAAAAUAUAUUACAUCAUAUGUCUGAAAUUUUUUAUCAAUAUUCUAGAGGCGCGCACAUGAGUAAUUAUGAACAAAACAUCUCCGAGAUUGUGUAAUAAACUGUUAAUGCAUCAAGAUUUAUAACACUGUAAAAUGCAGCAAAUAAUUUCACUAAAAUGACACCUUUGGUCCUAAUUGUCAUGAAAAAAUUAUUAUGUACAAGAAAAUUUAUAAGCAUCUUGAAAAACCUGCGUCAUAGCUAAAAACUUACAGGACCAAAUCGUUGUCUGCGUUGAGCAGAAGGAAGAGAAUGAAAAUUUGCAUCCAGUACCGCAAUGACACUGUUCAGAGAAACUGCAACGAACAAACAAAAAAACACAAUCAGAAGGUUGUGCACAUCAUUUACAAAGAAAUUUUGCAUGAAACGCAUAUAUAAAAAAUUGGAGACCUAUAAUUUGUUUCCUAAUUUUUCAAGAAAUACUUUGCUAUUCAUCAGUCACACGACAAUACCACCAAAAAGAAUCCAAAGUUAUUACCAAUGCCAUCCUCUGCAGCACUCCGCGUACAGCCAACAACAUCCGACCAAUCAACCCCAACGAAAAGACUCCGCCAAAACCUGCCAUGGUGACCAUCACUCUAUUGAAACUUGAACAUCCACAAAAAAUCAUUUCAGGGAUUCAAGGUUCAUCAAGGUGGAAGAAGUACCUUUCGGCAAUGGCCCGUUCCCAGGUUGACGAGUUUACCUUCACUUGGCUGCUUGGAACAGCAGGAGGAAGAACACGUAUUAUUUUUAAAACUGUACGGUCCUUACCACUAUCAUGCCAAACAGAAGCUGAACAGCAGCUUGUCGAUGAGAAGGCAGGGGUAGCAAUUGCAGAUCCAACGUUAAUCUGGUAGUUAUCAACAGGUGCAAAGUUCGGACCAGAGAAGAUGUGGACCCCACCCCGGAGGAAAGCAACAGCAAUCUCACCACCAUGAGCAGAAUAGACUAUUCGAGCAAGUGUUCUAACAUCACUUGGCAGGUCAAAAGGAUCAAAACUGACUCGUUUUACUUUCUCUAUGCCAGAAUCAGGAGUCUUCCUUGCAUCAGUGGUUGCUGUUGUCGCUGCUGCUUGGUGACUUUUAAAAUCAUUAGUUGGUUGUAUGCUUGUGUCCACUUUGGAUAGCCAAACAGUUUGCAUUGGUGCCUGCCCACCAAAACUGGAAGUAGGAUUUCCAAAGAUUUGGUGAACAAGAGGCUGACGUGAUGAUUCCCAGCUUUGUACUCUCCAUCCUGUAAUUGAUGGACCCUCAUCUGGAUCAUAAGGAGACAUGUAUUGUCCUGCACUCAUGAUUCAAUUCAUGCAACUACUAUAGUUCAGACGUAUUUCUAAGAAAACUUAGUUUCUAAUCAGGAAAAAAAAGGGUUGUCGUUACCUAACAGGCCAGAUAGAAUAGAACUCUAAAUAGUACAACAGAAUCAAAGGUAAGGUAAAGAUACCAACAAAAAAAAAACAGUAAACAGAAGGCAGAAAAGAUGGCAAGGAGAUCCAUUCAAAAGGUCUUGCAAUAAUAAAGCUGAAAAAGUACUUUUCAAAAGGUGAGAAAAUGCAUAAGACUACCACUCAACAAGAACACAGAAGUAUGGAAACAAAGAUUGUACGAAAACGAGAAAUAAUGACACACUGGUUUAUGUUGUUCAAAAUUAAAACUAACAAACCAAUUUUCUGAGAAAUUUUUAGGGAAAAAGUACAUCUGGAUUAGAAAAGAUUAACAAAUAAACAAAUAAAUGCAUGCUUCGUUACACCAACAACUUGCAAUUGAAUUCCAAACACAAAGAAUAGAGAAAAAAAAUAAAGGUUUUCAAGGAAGAAGACAAUUAGUACCCUCAACUACGACAACAGCUAUGACAGAACCACCACGGGUUGGAUCAAAGGCAACCGCAGUAACUCCAGAUCCCCUUGUAGUGGUAGUUGCAGAUUGAGAUGCAGCCUCGGGACUCACAUAUGCUGAAAAAUUAGAAACUGGAGAGGAAUGAAGUGGUACAGUAUCACUGAAAUCUGGAUCUGUCUGCUUUCCCCCUUGCUUUGCUUCAACUAAUAGAUAAUCUUGCCAGCUAAACAAAUAUGUAGCCAAAGGGGAAAAACCUGCCCAAUUGGGUGGAUUCAUUGAAGGUGGGACCCCAUCAGUUGUGCUAAUCUUUGGAGUUGCAUGAAAUCCAUUUCCUAGGCCAGGAGCGACCUCCCAAACAACAACCGUAGAUGGGUUUACAAUUGGAACGCCUGCGACAUGCAUGGCACCACUGUCUGUUAUGAUAGCAUCAGCUGCCAUGAUCCCACUAGUCCCAGCACCCAAGAGUCCCUUGCUUGUUUGAAACCACUUUGGUGCAGCACUAGUCGGAUUAGGAGGAUACUGGGACCAAUGAAGCUGAACAGAGCCUGAAGAGAAAACAGAACAGACGCACAGAAAACUGGGCCACCGAGCUGAAACAAAUAACAAAAUAUUGCAUCAGAUACCAAUCGAACACCAGCAGAAAUAAAAUGGAAAAUAAGAUAGCUAGAAAUUAAGAGACAUUGCAAUGAAGGAAAAAAAAAAACCUGAAUUUUGAGACUGCUGUGAAAGAGAUUUUUCUUCAAAGGUUGACUUUUCAUAAAAAAAAAAGAUUUAAAAAAUCAUUAACCAUCAACAUCAUCUGAAAAAGGAUACUGCAGUCACACCAGCAGAAAUAAAAUGCGAUCUACAUAUAAACAAUAAGCAAUCUAAUAUGUUACAUUUCAAAGAACAAAGUACAUUCAGAUGGGCAGAACAAGAAACACAAACAUAUCCUUUAAAUCAGAUGAGUAGCAUACAACAAAAUUGCUUACUGGGGACACUCUGGACAGCCACUUUGUAACAACUGCAAUAUCCUGCUGCCAUUCAUGCUCUUGUUGCCAGCGGCUGGUAUCGUGUACGAGAUUAGCUGGCCCCUAAGCAGAUAGAUCAAAUAUAGAUCAAAUAUAAACAUUUCAUCAUAUUAUAAAAUAAAAUAGAAAGCAAAAAUUGGCCAAGAUUAUUGCAAUUUAGGUUAAUGGAAAGGCCACAUCAAAAGCUUGCAAGGGGAAAAGGUUAUCUGCAUAAGAAGAAAUCAGUACAACAAGUCUAGCUUACUUGAGAAGGCCGAGUCCAGAUUGUUACUCUCCCAUGGAAAUUGGCAAUUAGUAAGGCACGAGGGCAAGAAGUAGGAGACCAUUCAAUAAACUGAACAGAAUCACGAGGAGAAUCUGCAAAAUGUAUUCAAAACUAUCAUGGUUCACAGAAUUAGAACCAACAUUUAGGAAAGCAAAAGCAAAAGCAAAACAUCAAAGGUCUUCCUAACCAAGCAUCGAAUGAAAAAGACAUGCAAAAAUAUAUGCCAACUGUCAGGAGACUUCUUCCAAUAUUUAGGGAAUUGCAUCCAAAUGAGAUGGGAUUUGAACACUUAAUGAGCUAGCAGGUAAUAACUAUUGGACUGCGGAUGCUAAAAAACAACUUCGUAUGCAAGAGUUGCUUGGAAAGAAAAAGAAAUUUGACACAUUGUAGAUGUUCAUAGCAAAAGCAUAUUGGCAUUAAGCAAGUCCAAAGAGAAUUAUAAAGCCUUCAUAGUUAAUUAUCAAGCUAUUCACUGAAUAAGUUGCAGUGAAGAAAACUUAGGCAAAGAAUCUGAAGAACCAAAGGCCCAUAUAAAAGCAAAUAAAUCAUCUAAAUACCUGCAUUGACAUUGAACACUGCACGCUCAGUUGGUCGCUCUGGGAUCACGAUAUGUAUGGGAAUCCCAAAAGGUACAUUUGCAUUUGAACUACAGAGAAGGCCAUAACAAAAAGAAUUGUCAUGACUCAUAAUUGUACACAAAUGUAACUAAUUAAUAAGAGAUGAAAUAAAAUAUAGGCCAAACUUAAGCACGCUUAGUGCCCACCAACCAGGCUUCCUACUUUUUACUAGUGAUUCCUUGAUGAUCCAUUUGGACCCUAUAUGAAUAUGCUCUAUUUCUAAAAGUAAGCUGUAACUACAAUUCUUAAAAACUUCUUUUUAUGGAAGUACAAUUCUUAAACAUUCUAGAAAGAUUCAUCCUUUUCUUUGCAUCACGCAUAUUAUCACACCAGAACAAAUCCCACAUUUCAUGACGCAAAACUCUCAUGGUCAGAAAAAAAGUGAGCAUAAACAAGCAAUACAAACCUUGGAAUACUUGCACACGUUUCUGAUGCACAAGCGAUGGCAUUCAGCUUCCCGCACCAUGCAACAGCACUGGAGAAACAACAAAAAGACUACACAUAAAGCCAAAUCAUCUGUACGUAACUUAAAACAUAAAUGUACGAUGGCCAGGGCAAUUUAGCAGUGUCAUGGUAUUAAGGAAGUAAUAUCUAUUCCAACUAGCUUUCCUUUAUGCUUCUCAUUUCCAGAGUUCUAGUAACCUUGACCAUAACAAAGCUGAUAGCUCGUACACCUCUCAGACUAAGGCAGGUAAUUCUCAUUUCCAGCUUUAUUCACAUCAUGGAAAGUUAUUGAUUGGCAACGGUUCAUAGGGCAAUGGCGUAACUAAAUCAAUAAAGACCUAAAAUUUCGAAACUACCCGCCAUAGAAUCCCCCAAUAUCAAUCCUUCUCUCUCCACAUUUCAAAUUCAACAACUUUUCUCUCCUUCCCAUCUCGUUAUACACUAUAUAAUCACACUUUCUUGCUUCAUUUCACAAUAUUUUGAAUUUUUCUCCGUGAACACAAAACUACAGAGCUCACACCAGUACAAAUAUUCUCAUUUUAUUCACAGUCCCGCUUCGAAACCAAAAUUUAAAGACAAUUCACCCAGAUGCCCCCCACCCCCAACAAAAAGAAGCAUAAUUCAAUGAACAAAACUCAAAAUUUAACAGACUGGAGCUCGAAUUUCAAAAUUCACCUAAAAUUGCGACAAAGCUCGGGGACGCGCAUCUUGUGCUGCAAAUUGGACCUGGGCUGCUUGAGCCUGAUACAGAAGACGGCGGCGGGGUUGACUGCGUCAUCCUCCAUGGGAUCGUCUGGCUCGUCGACCGGCUCUUCCUCUUCGUCUUCUCCUCCUCCUCCAAUGCUCUCAAUACUCCCCGUUUCGGGCUUGUCGGUCUCAGGGGAAUGAGCCACAGGCUCGUCGUCGGAGCCCUUCACUUGACUCAUUACCCCAAAACCCUAAAAAAUUACAUAAACAACAAAUCACAAUUGUGAAUUACUAACCGUCAUUAAAAUUGUUAGUAGCAGAUUAGAACAGAGUCAAAUCUAAAGCAUAAUUUUGAGCUGCCAAUAUCAUUGGCUGCUCUUCAGAAGUUUGGCAGGCCAUAGGGUGCUCAGAAAGGGUUCCUGGCAAGAAAGAAGCGAAUAGAAGCAAAUAGCUGGGUGACAAGUCCCGGAGAAUGACGGGAGGAGGCAUGCGCUGACGCUUACGGUUGGCGACUACAUGAGAAGCAGAGGGCUUCUCUGAACAUAUUAUAACCUUAAAUGCGUUAAUAAGUUGAAUUAAACCACCACAGAAAUAAGAAAGUUCAAACAGAGAGAACAUAUUAAAAACAGAUCAAGGUAAGCAAAAAAAUACAGACUGUAUCUGCAAACUAGCUGAUUAAACCAGAAAGUUUCCUAGCUUACGUAGUCGUCGUCGUCGUCAUCAUCAAGGUUGUCAUCAUCCUCAUCAUUAGCAUCACCGUCUUGGUCCUCCUCCUCCUCAUCAUCAUCCUCAUCAUCGUCUUGGUCCUCCUCAACAUCAUCGUCAUCGUCAUCGUCAUCGUCAUCGUCAUCAUCCUCAUCAAUAUCCUCAUCAAAAUCAUCAUCUUCGGUAGAAAUUUCUUCUAGGGCCCGUUCGUAAGGGAUGUAACGGUAAACAAACGUACCUUCUCUAGUCAUAUGUUUGUCGCAUCUUAAACGUACCCCUAUUUUCUUGACCACAGUAUUUGGACAAUGUGCAAUAGCAUGGACCAAAACCGAAUCGCCUUCUUCCAAAUUGAACUCAGUUUCCGACCACGAUAAAUUUCCCAGCCAAGGACAUCUUCAAUGGAACCAAGCUCUCCUAUUUCGACACAAAAACUAGUACGCUUGGUGCGAUUAAUAACAUAAACAUAAGACUUCCACAUAUCAUCAAACGAGAUGGCGUCAUCAUGAGGAACACAAGCCACACACACAGCCAACGCUUUUGCAUUACAACCAAUUUCCUUAGGCACUUCAAAAGAGACUUGGGUACCCUCGUUGACAUGGUUGAACCAAGUGGGAAUUUGUCUUCCUACAAGAUCCAUCCAUCCACCUCCUCCUGUCCAUCCCUAUACCAUGUUGAAUAAGAUUUGUGUGAGUAAUACAUACACAACACGCAUAUUUGCGAGGGAGGAGUGUGUGUGUGUGUGGAAGAGAGAGAGAGAGAGAACCUGUAGCGUGCUAUCCUUAAGAAGGUAAUCUGUGACUUUGUUGUGUAUUGGCAUAUCAAUUCCGUGGCCCGAGUUUAACACGCUUUCCACGCCUGGAAACUCAAUGAGUUUGGGGGAACCGAUAUUCACGUAUGUCGACAUGCCUGAAAAAUCUGGCAUUCUUUCUAAUGCAGAGCAGUCGUCCAUCCCCAGGUGCUCCAAACGUUUUGGUAAAUCUGUGAUCUCGACAAGGUUUCUGCAACCAUUCAAGAAUAAUGUAUGAAGCUUGGAGAGGCCACUGAGGCUUGGAAGGCUCCAAAAAUUAUUGUCACCUAGAUAUAAGCUGCAUAAACUAGGUAGACUACUCCCAAUAUCAUUAGGCACUUCCUCUAAAUUGUUGCCCGCCAAACUUAAGCUUGUUAAAGAGCGUAAGCCUCGUAAGGAAGGUAGCGGCAAAAGACACUUCAAGUAACUCAAAGAUAAGCGCUCGAGCUUCCCCAGUCGUACGAUGGAAGGUGGUACUUUUUUUAUGGCCGUCCCAUCUGCAUAAAGAGUGACCAAUGACGUCAUUUUCCCCAAGUGCUCAGACAAACUUCGGAAUCUUGAACAACCAUUGAGAACAAGAGUUUUGACAGAUUUCAACUUGUAGAAACUCCUCGGGAGAGCCUUAAGCGUUUCACAGCCUUCCAAAUUCACCAACACAAGACUCUUGAGAUCUCCGAUGGACUUGUGAACUUCAGCCAACCUCUUACAGUCUUUGAGUAUCAAUUUCUCAAGAUUUGGGAAUUUCGAAAAGUCUGGCGAUUGUGUUAGAUCGUGGGAGUGGCUGAGAUUCAGAAUCUUCAACUUACCAAGCAACUGUUAAGAAAAAUCAAAUUUAAAUUCACAAAGAAGAUACAGAUAGCAUAAAAAUAAUUCCUAAUUUGGUUCAGGUUACGCAUUGUACUUACCCCAGAAUACUCACAAAGAACUUGUUUGAGGCUGCUGUACCGCAUGUCAAUAGCGACUAUGUUUGGUUGACACAGUUCUAUUGGUAUGAACUCCAAUGGGAAUCCAUGCCAGCACAACCAUCUUAGAUUUUUGGAAAGACAUUGGUAUCCCCCAGCGAGCCGAACGUAAUUUAGUUGGAGCAACCUCAGUCUCAUAUUUCUAAAAGCCUCAGUACUGAAACUAGUCUCUUCAAGACUCGGCAAAUUCAAAGCCAGACCUUCAAUUUUUUCAGUUCCCUACUAUCCGAAAAAACAGACUCCAAAUAAGAAAAGGCUUUGCAAGAAAAAAAGUUAGAUUACUAACUUACAUAUGCUUACACGUUUAACAUAAAGUUCAAUUGGGAAAGUACUUACAGAUUUGUCUAUCAAUACAUCAUUUACAUCUUCAGGACGCCACAAUCUACUCCGUUCUCCAGGGAAAUUGGGAUUUUCUGCAUGCACGAUAUCUCUGCCCAUAUCCCGAAGCAAAUCAUGCAUCAUAAUCUUGUUUUUUCUACCAAUAGUUACAAGGCACAGGUCAAGGAGGACCUCGAUUCCUGUUGUUGCAUAAAGGCCACAACCAUCCAAGAUUUGCAUGACAUCGUUCUUGUCCAUUCCAAUAAAAAAACAAGCUAUAUCAAGGAAUAUUCGCCUCUUGUAAUUAUCAUUUAGGCCGUCGUAGCUUAUUUUCAAUUGUGCCUGAAUUUCUCCACGAGGAAUCAUUUUCAAUUCAUCCAAUAUACUUCUCCAGUCAUGUUCACUUCGUUUGAAAAGAGUAGAUCCUAAAACUUCAAGAGCCAGCGGUAGUCCUCCACAGUAAUUGACAACUUCUCUUGCGAGCACAAGAUAUUGACUAGGACAACAACUACUUCUGAAAGCAUGCCAACUUAGGAGCUCAAGAGCUUCUUCUUGAUCCAUUCCUUUCUCCCGAUAUAUCUCAUCAACUUCAAAUUCUUUUAGCACACGUUCGUUUCUAGUUGUGAUGAUGAUUCUACUCCCAGGGCGAAAAGAGUGGCAAUUUCCCACUAAUUCGCGUAGCUGCUUCACAUCGUCUACAUCAUCUACUAUGACAAGUACCUUUAAGAGUCGAAAUCUUUCCCUUACCAAGGCGGUCCCUGCAGCAACACUGCUUACCUCUUUCUUGGUCAUUUGCAAGAUAUCAUAAAGAAGAUGUUUUUGCAAUUUUUCUAGUUUCUUUUCCCUCACUUUUUCAAGGAAACAUUUACCUUCAAACCUUUCACAAAAUUCGUUAUAAAUGGCUUUAGCAAUCGUUGUUUUACCUAUUCCACCCAUGCCCAAAAUUCCAACCACCCGAACAUCAUCUGAAUCUCCGAUGCAUAAAUAAUUACUGAUAUCUUGCACUCGAGAAUCUAGUCCGACUUGAUAGGGCGCUACGUCUAAAUAUGUGUUGUUUAGCUUCCUAUUGACUUCCUCAAUAAUCUUCUUGAUAAACUUUGCUUCAAUCCUGGCAUUAGUCAAGUUGAGAAGCAAAACGAAGAUUGUUAUACAACUACAAGACGAAAUUGAACUAAUACACAAAAUUACUUAUCAUGACUAGAGAUUUAAUCAAGACAAUUUUAUUUAAGGUGUUGUGUUUAAACUUAGCAAACAUCAAUUAAAUUUAAAAAAGAAACACAAACAAACAGAAACGCCUCCCUUCCCUACGCAGCCAUUCACCGGCGGUUCCCUGCUGAGAUUAGUGUAGCCUUAACAGUUUAAGCUUUAUCGUAUGAUUUUAUUAACAGAGGACUAAGAAAAAUAAUACAUGAUAUUGAUAAGCAAAGGUACGUUAAAGCCUUAAUUCAUAAAAGAAGAAACUAGUAAUUACCCGCCCAAGGUGUUUCUGAGAUCCCAGCCAGACAAAUUCGAAGCUUCAGUGAGAGCAGUUCUCCACCUCUCUUCCUUCCACCUCUCUACCUUCUUUUCAUCUAUAUGUUCCAGAAACAAUUGUCCAAAACUGUCAGUCUGUUUCCUGACAUGCGAAGGAUCAACGUCAUAGAAUAUCGGCAAAACUAUUUGCCCCAGCGUUCUUCUACAUUCCAUGAUCUUAACCAGCUCCUCGAGGCACCAGCUGGAGUUCGCAUACCGUAUAGAGAAGACGAUGAUAGAGAUCUUAGAACCUUGGAUUGCUCGCUCAAAUUCGGUUGUUAAUUCUUCUCCCUUUUUUAGUUCUUCUUCGUCAAUAAAAGCGUUGAUUCCGGCCCUUGUCAAUGCUUCAUAAAGGUGGCCCGUGAAGUUUUUACGUGUGUCUUCGCCUCUGAAGCUUAUGAACACAUCGUAGAGCCAACCUUUUGAGAAAGCGGACGAGGACGAGGCUUUAUCGGGGACGGAGAUAUCCAUUUGGCGAAAGACAAGGCCGAGGGAGCAAAAGAGGAAGAUGAGGGCAUCAAAGACGACCGGAAUUGCGAUGGGCGACGUGGUAGGACAUUAACACCAGCACCAUGAUUCACAGCUUCCCCAAGCUCGACCAGUUGUCCAUUGCCUUCAUUUUCUGGCGGAACUAUUUUCUUCUUCUUAUAAUUAAUAAACCCGCCACAAAUAUACACGGUGCAGUUGACUGAAGACUUGAGAGUUGUGGUUCUACACCCCAAAUUCUACGAGGUGCCUUUUGUUUAAUCCAACUUUCAACUUUGGUAGCGAGUGCCAAACGCAUAUUUACAGGGCUCUCACUUUCAAUAUUGUUAAUAUAAAGGAAAAAUAUAUAAUUAUAUACAAUUUGGUAUAAAAUUAUCAAGGUUAUUGAACCUACAAUCUUUAUCUAUUUAUAUACAAUUUGUUAUAAAGCAAUCAAAGUUGUUGAACCUACCGCCUAUGUAUAUUUAUAUACAAUUUGGUAUAAAAUAAACAAAGUAGUUGUGGAAAAUGGCAUCAAGGACGCGUUUCUUUUUCAUUGUGCGUGCUUUUCAUUAUUUGUUUAUUGAGUUCUCUUUUAUUCAUUUGAUCUACCUAGAAGUAGCUUGGCAAUUUCCCUCUUAAACUAUCACAAACCUACCGAAGUCCCACUCCGGCCCCGUUUACCACAUUUCACAUAAUUUUCCAUUGAAAAUGUCUCCAUUCCGGUCGUAGUGUGUUUGUUAUCUUCCAUCGUCAAUUUUAUUUGUUACUUUUUAAGAUGUACGUUUGUUGUCUUUCCUUUCUCAAUGUUACUUAUUACUUGUCAAGAGAAAUGUGGGUAAACAACUAAACAUGCCGGCAGAAAUGAACCUUUUUUUUUUUUUUUUAAAGACAAGCCGGUUGCGAAAUCACGACAGUUCAUCCUUCCGGAGGCCAAGAAGACCCACAGACUUUUCAGCCUCUCUGACUAUCAUUAUGUGAUUCACUAGCAUCAGGAAUUGAAACAAUAAUUUCUUCGCAAGUUUCCAAGAAAUGGAGGGAAAGAAAAAAUGGAGUUCGUCUGAUGUAACAAUAGUUUCCAAGCAAUUGUAUCAGAAAUCUGCAAUUUCCUUAUAGACUACGUGCGUUUCAUCGCGUCACAACUAGAUGUGAAGCACGUUUUCGGUCAUUCUAAUCUUAGAACUAUACAAUAGUUCCUAAAUGUGUAAUCAAACUGUCAAAUGCUUGGUUUGGGAAGGAAGAGAUUACUGAAACAAGUCAUCGAAAGCCGGAGGAGGGUAAAUGUCACCAGUAAUAGGACUCGAACUUGAUUAAAGCUCAUUGAAGAGACAGAUCAUGGCAUCUGCUCCAUGUUUGAUAAUCCCCACACAAGACGGGAAGCAAAACCGGUAAAACCUAAGCAUUGAUUAGUCGAGAUCCACAAAAAUCUGCAACAAGUCCAGAAGGUUGAUCAGAAUAGAAUGAAAACCAAAAGCAUUCAGAGUUGUAGUUUAGAUGGCACCAACUAUUUCAGCACAAUUCGCAAAUGUUUUAUCCAAAAGAGACUAACCUCCAUAUCUGGCAAAGGGUCGUAUGACUUUUUCUCUCUUAUGUUAAACACAGUAAUGCCCGUGAUCCUCUGAACUCCAAGUUUAGUGGCAAUCAGGUUCUGCAUUAGAAAACAGCUACUCUUAAGAAACUUCUCAAAUAGAUGAAAGUAUGAAUGUAUAUUGCUGAAAGAUGACUGGUUACAUUUGGGUUGCGGGGUUUAGAGAGCAUCAUCUCCAUUGUGAUUCUCAUUUACCAAAGAUGUUUAAACUGAAUGUAUAAGGUGCUGGUGAAAUUAUUCUCCGUACCAGAUUGAAAUUUGUGGAACUAAACGCCUCAACCCUCGGCAAAACCUGUGUGUGGAUUUCAAAUUCAUAAAAUAGUUAUAUAAUAAAGAGUGAGAUGCUAAAUAUUUGGAAUUUAAAAGUAUGAAUUCAAAUAUGUAGUCCUUGGUUCCUAAUUUAUCUUUCAUCAAGUAAACUUAUGUAAUCUAACUGAUGGAUCUCAAAGUUCACAGAGUAUACAGGGUCUGUUAAAAUAUUGAGGUCACUAUAUGCAGUCGAAAAUGAAAAAAGGCACCAACGAAGCCUAUAACAAAGGCUUGGACAAGAUAUUACUAUGAUAGCAUCUAAAAUCGUAUAUAGAAGCAGACUUUGGGACAGCAUAAAAUGUUAUAAACUUGGGGCAUGCAUAUCAAAAAAUUGGAAAGCUGAUUUAAAGCAUUACCACUGUUUGAAGACCAUUAAUCACAACAACAUUCUCCUCACGUGAAUCAUCUUGUGAUAAACAAACUCCGAAAGGGCCGAGUUCCUUAUCUGUCUCAUUUGCUAAAUUCAAGUGUAGCUGCACGAAGUUUUUACUUGCUCAGUUCCAAAUCAUUGCAUUAGUCAGUGAGUUCUAUUAACUGAAGAAUGACAAGAGCAAGACGUAAAUAUGGGGAUGAAUUGUGAAGCAUGAAGUUCAACAGUCACUAGAAACCUCUAUUAGUGAAUUUCAUAGACAAUCAAGCUGCAAUAAUCUAAUGAACAAGAUAUAUAUAUAUAUAUAUAUAUAUAUAUAUAUAUAUAUAUAUAUAUAUAUAUAUGACACCAAAAAGAAUGAAAAUUACCAAAAAGGGUCUUUCCAACUUGAUGGCAGAUGGCUCCUCCACAACAUGCAACUCAAUAUCCUUUCGUGUUAUGGGCUGCACAAGAGUAUGUCAAGAAUAUAAGUUUAAUACCACUUUAAGCUCUAGCAUGUUGAACUUACCUCUCAUAAUAUAUCCAAAACUUAACAAUUAGUAAAGCAUUCUAAAGUCCCUGAAUUCCCUGCCGAGUUGAAAUAAAACUAACAAUAUUUUAAAGUUGAAAAAGUAAAAUCAAACCAUAUUUGAACUUCCCACUUUCUGAUUAGAUGGAAUUUUCAGGCGAAAAGCCAGAACAAAUAUAAACACCCUGCACAUCUAAAGUGAAACAAAAAGUAGCGGACAGCAUUCUCGAUAUAAUAUAAUGUGAUGAACACUCACAGUUCCCAUAAUUUGCUGUGUUUGUAGGCGACCAGGUUCGCCCAGAUUAGUUCGCCAUGUUAUCUGAAGUUUACCAAGAAUAUUGCUUCCCUCAACUUUCCCUUGGGUUGAACCAUGUGAUGUUAACUGAAAAAGAUAGUUAUGAAUUCCUCCACCGGAUUCGAUGAGAAUUGGUGGCUUAAAUAUCUCUCUGCCAUUAACAAAACGCAGAAGAAUAUGAAGAAAAGAAGAAAGAGGAAUAUGAAGAAAAGAAAAAUAUUCGACAGAAGAAAAUAAACCAUAUUCUACCUUGUUUGAGAAUUCUUUUCGGAAUGGUGUUCGUCAGAUUUUAGGAUUUUUGCACUCCAAUGCUGAGCGGGCUCAAACUCAACUUGUUCCAUAAAAAGAUUUGACUUUGUAUGGUUUUCGAUGCAAGCUUCUAAAAGCGUGAUUUCCUGUGAUAGAAUGCAUAAAAGGAUUUGACUUCGUAGGAUUUACAACGCAAGCUUCUAAAAGCAUGAUUCCUGUGAUAGAAUGCAUUUAUCACAGGAGGCUAAUUUGUUACAGGUUAUCAACAAUAUCAGAGCAGUUACUUAGGCUGCAGAGAAUAGAAUUAAAAUACAAGAAGAGGAAUGCUGUUUAAUGAAGCACAUACUUUGGCAUCCGUAUAACACAUACGAGACACUACGUCUAAGUUUAAUCCAGUGUGGCAUAUUCAUACAUCGUCAUGUUUCCGGUGAAAAUCAUCAAUAUGUAUCCAAAAGGCCGAACUUACAAACUUACAAUCAAUAUCUAAAUGAACCUCAACGUACCUUUAUAACAAGGACCUGAAAAAUCAAAGUCAAAUUGUUAGUCUUAGUAGGAUUAACGAAAUGCGGUUGUUUCACACAUGUGAAUUGAAAUUUUGAAUUGCACAUGCAAAUUCCACGGCGUGUGCAAGGAAAAUACCUUCGUCCUGACAGAAAGCGGAUUGGAAACAAUGAAUUUGAAGAACUGUGGUAGAUAUUUACGCUCACCAUCACCGUCAUAGUACAAUGCAGUGCAAACCAACCUACAGAGAUUACAAAACCUUAACAUAAACAAACAACAAAAUCAUAAAACACGAGUUUCGAGGACUGAGGAAGAGAGCUUACGUGUGAGCUCCGAGUUCCUUGACAUCAUGUUCAACAAUGAAGUCAUAACGGCCGCCUGCACGUAUGGAUUCAACCGGCGAAUUCGACGUGUCCAACAGCACAAGUCUCUGCCUUUCUGUUUGCAUUUCCGACUGCAAUUAGCAAAAUUAACAGAAGAUUAAAAAUUGCACUGAAUUAAUUCAACAUCGAAUAAUUAGGGAAUAAUGGAAAAUAAAGUCCAAGAAUUUGAGAUGAAAACCUUGAUUAUAAUGUCCUUGACUUCGAAAUUGGAGCUGUUAUUGAUGCUAAUAUAGCUACAAAAUGUCUCCCCUAAGUAUAUUGCUCUACAAAAUCACAACUUUAUUAACAAAUCAAGAAAUUAAAAUGUGGGUAAGGAGAGAGAGAGAGAGAGAGAGAGAGAGACCCGAAGGCUUGGGGGAGGACGAGGAGGCCAGAGAGGCCAAUGGAGUCGGAGGGGUGGUGGAGGAGGAACCGGGUGCGGUAGGUGAGAUCCGAGGAGUCAGAGGAGGCGGAGGAGGAGGGGUUCAAGGAGUCGUGGACGUCGAGGAGGCGGGGGAGUUGCGCGGCUGCCAUUGGGUCGUCGAAAACGUCCUCGCCGACGACGAGAUCGGCGGGGUCGAGAAGGAGGGGAAUGGGGUCCACCUGGGAUGAGGGCUUGCACAGCCUCAUCACCCGGAAGGCCAGGGAGUGGGGUCCACCUUGACCGCUGCUCAUCGCUGUUUCCUCGUCGUCGUCGAUUCGCCGGCGUCCGUCGCGAUUAACCGAAUUUUCGCGCUUCUGAAAUGAGCAACACUUUUUUCAACGGCUUUUGUUGUGUUAACAGUAACUCCUCGUCGUUUUAACUUUAUACCACUUGGGAAACUCCGGUGAAUAAAUAUGAUGGCGGUAAAAUGUAUUUUAACGAGAAACGUAUAUAAAUGUUUUCUUUUCUUUGAUUAAACAGUGGAGGUAUUUGAACUUGAGGCUAAAUUGUUUCAGCAUUGAAAAAUAGAAAUAUCAUUAGAUUAAGAGCUAGUUAAUAAACUCUGUAUAAUAUAUUUAAAAGAAAAUUACGUUUAGAGUAAAAGUUAGUUAAUAGAUGCGUAAGACAUAUUCAAAAUUCACUUUUAAAAUGUCACAACCUGAAAAACGAACUAUCAUUAAAAUAAGCAAUGUUUAUUUAAUACGAGACCAAGUAGUCUGAAAGAUAAAGGGUGGACAUUUAACUCUAAGAUUCACUUUAAGAAAUUGAAUAGUGAAAAUUGUUUCAAAAGUUAGGCUACUUGGUAGGCUGGACUACCGAAGACAAACCCUAGAAUAAGACUAAAAGCUUGUUUUUUUUCCUGUGUGAAAAAAAAAAUAGAGGGAGGAAAGUUUACCCUGUUCAAGGCCAUGACAUACCACAAGCUUCUUUGAUAUUGAAGGAGUAAGAGGGAUUGCCCACCAAUAGAGAAUGCCGACAACGAUAUUCGAACCUAAGUCUUGAUCUAACGAACAAAACGAUCAUUACCAACUCAACCAACCCUCGUUAACAAAGCUAGAAGCUAGAUGAUAAUCGAGCACAUCUAUGGAGUCAUAACUUAAAAUUGUUCAAAGAACUUUAAAGCGAACUUUCACUAGAUUAAAAGUUGGUUAGUAGACACGUAUAACCCACUUCCUAAGGCCAGACAAAAAUAGCUAGAAGGAGUUGAAUCCCGUAGGCUUUUCUUCCUUUCACACGCUCUAGUUUAUUUGUCCCUUAAUUUUCCACGUAACAAAAACCUUUCUACACACCCUAACACCAACUAAUAAGAAAUACACAAAAUUGUAUCAAUUGUCUCGGUGCUAUUAGGAAUGGAAAGGCGUUUGUAUUUUUAACUAACAACUAAAAUUGUAUCAAAUUAUUCAUAUGAUGCUUUAUUAAUUAUGACCAGGAAAAAAGAGAGUAAUAUGUUGAUCUGCUUCAAAAAAUUUACAACAGACAAUACAGAAACCCUACCAACCCACCUGACUUUGACACCCCCCACGCCCGGAAGAAUGGCAAAGUUCAUGCUAUUAGUACUCUACUGUUAAACUACAAAACUAGCAACCUAAAUAAUCAAACGAGCCUUUCAGUCCCGUAGGAACGAAAAUUCACGAGAGGAUUUUGCCGAGGCUACCGUCUCAACGACGUUCCCCAGCGGCAGCUAUUAACAUUUGUACAUGCGUGUCAUAAGUUAUGUUCUCACUACAGGUCAAAUGGAUCCAUCAAGGUGAUCAGGGCAAGAAUUUACAACCUGCAAAAUAGAAACCCUAUAAGAAUGAAAACUUGGCAGCAGAUGCAGAGAUAUGGAGAGCUUUCCGAAGCAUUUUUUAAAACAAGACAAAAAGUUUAACCAGUAUGCACAGCAUAUGACUCAGUCGUCAACUAUCAGCAAUACCACUCUGUCAAUGAUCAGCAAUGGUUUAUGCAUGUGUAAAAGAUUAGGAGCUCACCUAAUAAAUAGUACAGUCAGUUCAGUCAUCUAUACAACUCGAACCCAUGUUCCGCCACACAUAGGACAGCAAUAAGCCCAGCGGCUGAUCCACCAUGUCUCCCGCCCAGUUUGAUUCGGUGGAGUAGUAGCACCUGAGGAAGCAAAAGCUGAAGUCUGCCGCAAACAUCUUAUGCACUGCAUGCACACGAGUAGAAAAUAAGAUUUAAAGAAUCACAAACUAUUAAGAUGGGGAAACAAAAAGCAUGGACUUUUCAUAUCAAACCUUGUACCAAACCCCUUCUAGACCAGUCUUCCAUACGGCAGUAACAACAUCUCUCCGUGAUCCCAUUAUACCAAGAUAUGCCCCCAAACCCACUGAAGUGUUUAGGCCAAAAGCUGCAUCUCUUUCAGACAUCCUGCGCUUCCUUGGCCACAGGCCAUGGGCUCCAUAAUAAACGUCACAACUUUCCAAAGAUCCGGAAUCAGGUGGGUCUGAAGAAUUACAUAGCUUGGGGGUAUCAUCUUGAGGAUCCAUAUCAUCUGAAUCAGACCAAGGCCCACCGUACAUAUUGCGCCUAUGCCACUCUUCGGCUGGAGGGUGGAGUUCUAACUCUCGGAGUAACAGACCAGCAGCAUCUGCACCUCUAGGCCGGGGCAUAUUCUGUAUAGCCAAUCAGUUAAAAAGAUUGUAACUGUGAGAUUUCAGAUUGUAAUUGACAAUAAAAAAUUAACUAAAAUUACUGUUCAGAAUUUUAAACAACCAGUAAACAAGAAAGUUAAUCCUCUGACAGAAUAAAGUUGCAGGCAUUGACUUUAGCAGCAUUAUUAACAAGAGCAGAAUCCGUGCAACUCCCAUCAUCAUGAAUGGUAUUUUAGGAAAUACAACUAUACCUGCAUAUGAGGGCCAAGGGAUGCUUCAACAACCUCCGGAAGUACAGUAUAAUUGCCAUCAAUAUAAUGCAGCCGAACCUGAAUGUUGCUGCUUCCCACCUGAGAAACCGGCAAUGAAUGUGCCAGGCUUGCUGUUCGCCGGCAAAGAUCCAUAAGGAUGAGGAAAAGGACUUUCACCUGCAGGACAGCAACAGAGUGCAUUAUGUCAUUCUACCUUCUGCUUAUCAAUUUUCUUUGAUGAACAGAAUUAUCCAAUUAAUUGAAAUGUCCAAAAAUGAGACAUUAACAUUGAAAAUCCCAAUCACAGUUCACAAAUCAAAUGAUAUAAACCAGAUAUGGACAACUAAGGCAACAUGUAAUAUAUUGUGAGAGAUCUUGGAAGAAGAGAGCAUCGAUUUCUACCUCCUCAAAAGUGUAACCCUGACCAGCAUUUCCAGCACCCAAUCUUGACCUUCCAGCAGGUCCUUCUUCAACUCCUUUUGCUCCAGGUAUCUGACCGGGCCGAGCUACCUGACCCUCUUCCGGUCUGACCAUGGUUGUAGAUGAUUUUGCAGAAACAGAACUGACCUCAUCCGCCUUUCCAGAUGCACCAGGCUGUGGCUUUUGCAUAUUUGCAUCAGUAUUUCUCUGUGCUCCCCCAGAGAAACGGGGUAGCUGAGCUCGCCGAAAGAAAAAACAGAAAAGCAAAAGCUGGCAUAGCCUAUGAAGGAAAUGGCAAUCCCCAAUUAGCCUAACAGCAGGUGUGCCAGGAAAUGUUCCUGUAUUGAUACUUAUUGGCAUGAAGGAUGACGGUCCACUAAUGGGGUUUGGAGCUGAAUUGGAAACUCCAUCAGAGGUGCUACUAAUCUUUGCAAUUGCACCUUGAACCCAAGCUUGCAUCUGGGUGUUUCCUGUUGAUGUUGGUGUUCCACUUUGACCCCCUGAAAAACGUAGCACUACGUUGUCAAAGAAAUGCUGCAUUGCAGACAAUGCAAAAUAAGAAAUAAAUAUAUAAAUAUAAAAUUUGAAUGAUGCCCAAUUCUCCUAACAAAAUAAUCAGCAAACACCUCCUGAGUAAGUCUAACUUCCAAAUGGUUUUGGGAUUUAGAACAACCAUAUUUGGUCAAUCCUGAUGUAAACCAUUAUUUCAAUGAGAUUUUUUUUUUUUUUCAAACUUCCUUUGCAUCUGAAUCCAAUUCUAGAAAAAACAUCUUUGGUUUCCAUAAAGAGUAGAAGAAUGCAUACUGACCCUGACUGGUUGCAGGAGAAGCCGAACUUUGGGUAGGACUAGCCACCAUAUUGCGAUUGCUGCCAGCUCCAGCAUGGCUCGCCAAUGUGCGACAAAAACUUGCAUAGCGCCGCAAGCGAGUGAUGAAAUGUGAAGCUAAAUCAAGAACUGCGUCGACGUAAGCCUGUGUUAUGUGGAUAGAUUAGGCAAGUGAGAUUUGAAGAAAAAUCAUAAACAAACAAUAUCCCAGCACACGUGAGCUGACUGGAGGAAGGUUCAAACAACAAUCUCCAUAUCCAUACUUGGGAUUUAGAAGCCCAAACUAGCGCAUUACUAGUCUUUCUAUUAUUUAUUUCAUAGAAAUGUGGGCAAGGGCAUAACCCACAAUCAUGCACCUAUAUGACUGGAUUCCACAUUGUUGACUAUAUUUAAAAUACAUUUAGCAAAAACCACCAAUUAAAAUGCAAGAAACCACCAAUUGUUUGUCAAACGUGACCAUUUUGCGGCGCAUAACUUUCAAGAAGAGAAAACAUAAGUUUAAGAAGUUUAACAAUCAAAAGAAAACCUGAAUAUGUGGAACUAGUGCUGGUUCAACAGCCAUUGCUUCAGGAUCAAUGCCUGAUAACGUUUCGCCAGACGCCUGCCAUGGCUCUGGUACCAAAGCAGAUGGAUUUAUUAACGCUGAUUCUAUUCCCUUCCCAAGCAUAUCAAGCAACAACCGGGCUUGCAUGUCUAGAACCAUUGCCCUAACUUCUUGUGCAUUUGUACCUUCCAGUAGCCUGCACUUUAUCCUGUCGAGAUUCUGCACCAAAACAGAUAUAAUUUUCUGAGUCAAUCACCAAAAGUAGUCAACACAGAUGUGAAACUGAAGCUGCAACAAUAAGGAUGCGUGAACCACUUAACCCUGUCCUGAAAGGGUGAACCUAAAAAAGGAUAACAUACAUGCCAUGCAACAGCAUGAAACGUUGAUUGAAAACUUGAGUCUUUAGGCCAAAAAGUCAUGCGCAAUGCCUCAGCUUCUAAUUAUAGCCAUUUCCCAUUUUAGUCAGUUUCCCAUGCAAUCUGUCUUAAAAUAUUCUGAAACACCUUUCUUAUGACACGCCAAGAUACUUUUACAGUUACAAUCUCCAUCAUGGGAAACAGGGAGGCCAUCUAGGUGAUCUUUUGCUUGGCAAGUAGAACUGUCAACAUCUCUUACUUGUACUGUCAAUUGGCUUUAACAGCAAAAGUCUUUUUUCUUUUUCUUUUAAAUGUCAGAUAAGAAUUUUCAACACUAACACUACCAGGCCAUUCAUAUAAGAAAAAAAUUAAGGGUCAUGAAUUCAUUUAAAAUUCAGCAUAUAUCAAUACUUGCACAAACAAAAUAUAUUAAAUCAUAUCUUAAAAAUUUUAUCACAAUUCUAGAGCCGCCCACUAGAGUAAUUAUGAACAAAAUAUCUCUGAGAUUGAGUAAUAAAAUGUUAAUGCAUCAAGAUUUAUAACAUUGGAAAAUGCAGCUAAUAAUUUCACUAAAAUGACACCUUUGGUCCUAAUUGUCAUUUACGUACAUGAAAAUCUAUAAGCAUCUUGAAAAAUCUGCGCCAUAGCUAAAAACUUACAGGACCAUACUGUUGUCUGUGCUUAGUAGAAGGAAGAGAAUGAAAAUCUGCAUCCAGUACUGCAAUGACACUGUUCAGAGAAACUGCAACAAACAAAAAACCACAAUCAGAAGGUUGUGCACAUCAUUUAUGAAGAAUUUUUCUAUAAAACACAUUUAUAAAUUAUAAUGGAUUGGAGAACUAUAAUUUGUUUCCUAAAUUUUCAAGAACUACUUUGCUAUUUAUCAGUCACACAACAAUACCACCAAAAAGAAUCCAAAAUUAUUACCAAUGCCGUCCUCGGCAGCACUCUGCGUACAGCCAACAGCAUCCCACCAAUCAACCCCAACCAAAAGACUCCACCAAAACCUGCCAUGAUGACCAUCAAUCUGUCAUAACUUAAACAUCCAUAAAAACUCAUUUCAGGGAUUCAAGGUUUAUCAAGGUGGAAGAAGUACCUUUCGGCAAUGGCCCGUUCCCAGGUUGACGAGUUUGCCUUCACUUGGCUGCUUGGAACAGCAGGAGGAAGAACACGUAUUAUUUUUAAAACUGUACGGUCCUUACCACUAUCAUGCCAAACAGAAGCUGAGCAGCAGCUUGUCGACGAGAAGGCAGGGGUAGCAAUUGCAGAUCCAACAUUAAUCUGGUAGUUAUCAACAGGUGCAAAGUUCGGACCAGAGAAGAUGUGAACCCCACCCCGGAGGAAAGCAACAGCAAUCUCACCACCAUGAGCAGAAUAGACUAUUCGAGCAAGUGUUCUAACAUCACUUGGCAGGUCAAAAGGAUCAAAACUGACUCGUUUUACUUUCUCUAUGCCAGAAUCAGGAGUCUUCCUUGCAUCAGUGGUUGCUGUUGUCGCUGCUGCUUGGUGACUUUUAAAAUCAUUAGUUGGUUGUAUGCUUGUGUCCACUUUGGAUAGCCAAACAGUUUGCAUUGGUGCCUGCCCACCAAAACUGGAUGUAGGAUUUCCAAAUAUUUGGUGAAGAACAACAGGCUGAAGUGAUGAUUCCCAGCGUUGCACUCUCCAUCCUGUAAUUGAUGGACCCUCAUCUGGAUCAUAAGGAGACAUGUAUUGUCCUGCACUCAUGAUUCAAUUCAUGCAACUACUAUGGUUCAGACAUAUUUCUAAGAAAACUUAGUUUCUAAUCAGGAAAAAAAAAAAGGGUUGUCGUUACCUAACAGGCCAGAUAGAAUAAAACUCCAAAUAGUACAACAGAAUCAAAGGUAAGGUAAAGAUACCAACAAAAAAUAAACAGUAAACAGAAGGCAGAAAAGAUGGCAAGGAGGUCCAUUCAAAAGGUCCUGCAAUAAUAAAGCUGAAAAAGUACUUUUUAAAAGGUGAGAAAAUACAUAAGACUACCACUCAACAAGAACACAGAAGUAUGGAAACAAAGAUUGUACGAAAACGAGAAACAAUGACACCUGGUUUAUGUUGUUCAAAAUUACAACUCUAACAAACCAAUUUUCAGAGAAAUUUUUAGGGAAAAAGUACAUCUGGAUUAGAAAAGAUUAACAAAUAAACAAAUAAAUGCAUGCUUCGUUACACCAACAACUUGCAAUUGAAUUCCAAACACAAAGAAUAGAGAAAAAAAAGGUUUUCAAGGAAGAAGACAAUUAGUACCCUCAACUAUGACAACAGCUAUGACAGAACCACCACGGGUUGGAUCAAAGGCAACCGCAGUAACUCCAGAUCCCCAUGUAGUGGUAGUUGCAGAUUGAGAUGCAGACUCGGGACUCACAUAUGCUGAAAAAUUAAACUGGAGAGCAAUGAAGUGGUACAGUAUCACUGAAAUCUGGAUCUGUCUGCUUUCGCCCUUGCUUUGCUUCAGAUAAUAGAUAAUCUUGCCAGCUAAACAAAUAUGCAGCCAAAGGGGAAAAACCUGGCCAAUUGGGUGGAUUCAUUGAAGGUGGGACCCCAUCAGUUGUGCUAAUCUUUGGAGUUGCAUGAAAUCCAUUUCCUAGGCCAGGAGUGACCUCCCAAACAACAACCGUAGAUGGGUUUACAAUUGGAACGCCUGCGACAUGCAUGGCACCACUGUCUGUUAUGAUAGCAUCAGCUGCCAUGAUCCCACUAGGCCCAGCACCCAGAAGUCCCUUGCUUGUUUGAAACCACUUUGGUGCAGCACUAAUCUGAUUAGGAGGAUACUGGGACCAAUGAAGCUGAAUAGAGCCUGAAGAGAAAACAGAACAGACGCACAGAAAACUGGGCCACCUAGCUGAAACAAAUAACAAAAUAUUGCAUCAGAUACCACCGUUCAUACAUUCUAUAAUAAAAAAAGGGGAAUAUAAGGAAACUUGAAAUUAAGAGAGGUUGCAAUGAAGGAAAAAAACCUGAAUUUUGAGACUGCUGUGAAAGAAAUUUUUCUUCAAAAGUUGACUUUGCAUUAGAGGAUGUACUUGAUUUUGAGGAAAGCCACCUAUACUGGUUCAUAAAAAAAAAUCAAAAAAAAUAUUAACUAUCAACAUCAUCUGAAAAAAGGAUACUGCAGUCACACCAGCAGACAUCAAAUGCGAUCUUCAUAUAAACAAUAAGCAAGCUAAAAUGGUACCUUUCAAGGAACAUAAUACAUUCAGAUGGGCAGAACAAGAAGCACAAACAUAUCUUUAAAAACCAAAUGAAUAGCAGACAACAAAAUUGCUUACUGGGGACACUCCUGACAGCCACUUUGUAACAACUGCAAUAUCCUGCUGCCAUUCAUACUCUCGUUGCCAACGGCUGGCAUCGCGUACGAGAUUAGCUGGCCCCUAAACAGAUAGAUCAAAUAUAAACAUUUCAUAAUAUUUAUAAAAUAAAAUAAAAAGGAAAAUUGUCCAAGAUUAUUGCAAUUUAGCUGUUAGUGGAAAAGCCACAUCAAAAGCUUGCAAGGGGAAAAGUUAUCUACAUAAGAAGAAAUCAGUACAACAAGUCUAGCUUACUUGAGAAGGCUGAGUCCAGAUCGUUACUCUCCCAUGGAAAUUGGCAAUUAGUAAGCCACGAGGGCAAGAAGUAGGAGACCAUUCAAUAAACUGAACAGAAUCACGAGGAGAAUCUGCAAAACGUAUUCAAAACUAUCUUGGUUCACAGAAUUAUAACCAACAUUUAGGAAAGCAAAAGCAAAACAUCAAAGGUCUUCCUAAUCUAGCAUCGAAUGAAAAAGACAAGCAAAAACAUAUGCCAACUCUCAGGAGGGAAUUGUCAUCCAAAUGAGAUAGGAUUUGAACACCUAAUGAACUAGCAGGUAAUAACUAUUGACCGCGGAUGAUAAAAAACAACUUCGUAUGCAAGAGAGGAAAAGAAUUUGACAUAUGUAGAUGUUCAUAGCAAAAACAUAUUGGCAUUAAGCAAGUCCAAAGAGAAUUAUAAAGCCUUCAUAGUUAAUUAUCAAGCUAUUCACUGCAUAAGUUGCAGUGAAGAAAACUUAGGCAAAGAAUCUAAAGAACCAAAGGCUCUUAUACAACAACAACAAAGCCUUUUCCCACUAAGUGGGGUCGGCUAUCCAAAGGCUCUUAUAAAAGCAAAUAAAUCAUCUAAGUACCUGCAUUGACAUUGAACACUGCACACUCAGUUGGUCGCUCUGGGAUCACAAUAUGUAUGGGAAUCCAAAAAGGUGCAUUUGCAUUAGAACUACAGAAAAAUCCAUAACAAAAAGAAUUGUCAUAACUGUACACAAAUGUAACUAAUUAAUAGGGAGAAAAUAAAAUAAAAUAUAGGCCAAACUUAAGCAAGCUCAGUGCCCACCAACCAGGCUGCCUAGUUUUUACACUCCAGAGAUUCCUUGAUGAUCCAUUUGGACCCUAUACGAAGGGAGGGAAGAUGUUCUAUUUUUAAAAGUAACUACAAUUCUUAACAUUAUAUAAGGAUUCAUCAGUUUCUUUUCAUAGUGCUUUCUGAGGUCCAACUAAGAAAAAUAAUUGCCAGGUUCCAUAAUCACGCAUAUUAUCACAAACAAGCAAUACUAACCUUGGAAUACUUGCACAAGUUUCUGAUGCACAAGCGAUGGCAUUCAGCUUCCCACACCAUGCAACAGCACUGGAGAAACAACAAAAAGACUACACAUAAAGCCAAAUCUUCUGUACGUAACUUAAAACAUAAAUGUAAGAUGGCCAGGGCAAUUUAGCAGUAUCAUGGUAUUAAGGAAGUAAUAUCUAUUCCAACUACCUUUCCUUUAUACUUCUCAUUUCCAGAGUUCUCGUUACCUUGACCAUCACAAAGCUGAUAACUCAUACACCUCUCAGACUAAGGCAGGAAAUUAGUAUUAAAACUAACGAUUGAAUUACAAAGUGAAGAGAGGAGGUUAGUUCUCCUGAGUUGGAAGAAUGAAGCGGCCAUUAUCCAGUACAAAAAUUCUCAUGUCCACCUUUAUUCACAUCAUAGAAAGUUAUUGAUUGGCAACGGUUCACAGAGCAAUGGCGUAACUAAAUCAAUAAAGACCUAAUAUUUUGGAACCACCCGCCGUAGAAUCCCCCAAUAUCAAUCCUUCUCUCUCCACAAUUCAAAGUCAACAACUUUUCUCUCCUUCCCAUCUCGGUAUACACUACAUAACAACAAUUUCUUGUUUCAUUUCAGAAAAGUUUGAAUUUUUCUCCAUUAACACACAACUACAAAGCUCAAACCAAUACAAAUAUUCUCAUUUUAUUUGUGGUACCGCUUCGAAACCAAAAUCUAAACACAAUUCAAUCAAAUGCCCCCCACCCCCAAUAAAAAGAAGCAUAAUUCAAUGAACAAAACUCUAAACUUAACAGAUUGGAGCUCGAAUUUCAAAAUUUACCUAAAAUUGCGACAAAGCUCGGGGACGCUCAUCUUGUGCUGCAAAUUGGACCUGGGCUGCUUGAGCCUGAUGCAGAAGACGGCGGCAGGGUUGACUGCGUCUUCCUCCAUGGGAUCGUCGGGCUCGUCCACCGGCUCUUCCUCUUCGUCUUCUCCCCCUCCUCCAAUGCUCUCAAUACUCCCCGUUUCGGGCUUGUCGCUCUCAAGGGAAUGAGCCACAGGCUCGUCGUCAGAGUCCUUCACUUGACUCAUUACCCCUAAACCCUAAAAAAUUAUAUAUACAACGAAUCACAAAGCAGAGAGAGAGAAGAAUGUGAGUGGUGGAAAGUUGUAAUUGAAGGCGACAGGUAUCACUGUUUAGAGAGAGAGAGAGAGAGAGCGAGGAGAGAGAGUAGUGGGGUUGGUGUGUAUGUUUGAAAAUGUUGAGAGAGAGAAGAGAGUGGAUUGGAAGAUUGAAUUUUUGUUUUCUGUUUUGGCUUUUGAGGGCAGAGGUUUCAGGCAAUUUUGGUUCAUAUUUUUUUAGGGUUUUUGGGUGGUCGACAAAGGCAUGUGAUUCCAAAACCCAAUUUCCAGGCGUUGGUGGUGUUGGUGGUGUCGGAUUUUUAUUUUAUUUUUUGGGUGUCAACAUCUUGCCUUCUUGGAUUUUUAUUUUGGGAUGUGCUAUCCACACAUCCUAAAUUACUUUCCACACAUCCUUGUUAAUUUCUGUCCGUUAAUCUUCUUCAAUUCAUCCGAUCCGACGGUCAAAAAUUAAAAAGGUGCGUGAGAAGUAAAACGGGGUGUAUGAAUAUCACACCCCUUUAUUUUUUGAGCGUGAGUCGCGUCACUUAUAUGAUCAUACUAACAAAUAAUGAGACUCCUUUUAUUGGAGUGUGACCGGCUUAAGGUCUUGUGGAACACCAACGUACAGACAAAGUAACGAGUCUAUUUUUUCGAAUCACAUCAGUCAUACAAUGACGAACACACAAAUAAUCACGAGUUUGACGGGUAUCUCACACACCGCGUGGCGUCCAAACCAAAGACUUUCUCCAAUUCAUUGGUCCUGUGUGUGGAAUGUGUGACCAAGGGAGGAGCUAUGUAGCCUUUGAACAUUUUGGUAGUACAUAAUUUGAGGCUUGUGACAAUUAGCCCAUGCCAACCAGCUUUCGAUAUUGGGUGGGUGUUAUCAACACACUCAGGGUCCGUUUGUUUGACCGGAUUAGGGAGGACUGGACUGGACUGGACUGUAGUCCCUUGUUUGGUCUGUACCAGGAUUAGGUUUAAUGGGAUUAGGUCUGACUCGCUAGGAUUAAACCCCUCACUGGGAGUUCUAAGCGAAGCACCCCGAUCACCCCCGGACUCGUAAGACCUCUGCGCUCCUGCGCUCCUGCGCUCCUGCGAGAGAGAACCUCGCUCAACCUCGAUCCUCGCCGUGCUCCCUCCUUGCCCUGCUCCCUCAUCGUCGUCCUCCUCAUCCUCAUCUCUGCAUCCUGCUCGCCCUCAUCUGGUAAACUUCAAAUCCGACAUUAUUUCUUCGAUUUUUUUUUGCAGAUCGUGAUAUUACUGGGCUUUAUUUGAUUUAGGUGUUUUGGGUUUGAUAAAUUUUCAAUUAUAAACCUCUGCACUUGAACAAAUUAGGGUUUUGAUUUUUAGGGUCAAAUUGAGAUUAGAAUUUUCAAUCAUAGCUUGCCGUUGCUCUGGGCUUCGAUUGAUGGUUGAUACAUGCUUUUUAAGUUUGUAUAUCUUUUGAUUCUGGUUUUCUAGGGUCUGUAGGUUUUAGAUUUUAAUUUCUUAACCAGUCAAUUGUUGAUUUGGAUUAUAAGUUACAAAACAUUGUUGAGUUAUUGCAAACACAAAUGUAUACACAAACGAUCCUGGCUAUAUUACGCCAACAAUCAGGGGUUUCCCUAUCAUAUGUUGCCAGAGCGUAUUCAAACAAUCUGUUUUGUUUGGCUGUCCAAGUCGAAUUGGAGUGUGGGGAAGAUAGCUUGCUAGGUGCCAUGAUUACUUGUCAUGAUUACUGCUACUUGCAGAUCAAUCCUCUUGGCCUUCUUUCAGGCUUCUCCACUGAGCCCUGUAGUUAUCUUUCAUGCUUGAAAGUAACUGAUAGAAAGUAAAUAUGUAAUAUGUACCAUUGAUGGGAACUAUUUGUGACACUAGACUUCAUAUGGAACACUAUCCAACCUUAUUUGGUUGACAAUCACUGCUUAGUCUUAAAUUGAGCCAGUCAGGUGAGGAGUGGUUUCUUCCUUAUUCUCUCUUCUGGGUUGGCAGUGGCACGAAAUAAGAUUGCUUCUGAUUGCUCAAUAUCUGUUCCAUCUCUUUCCCAAAUGGCAGCUGCUUAGCCUCUCUCUCCAUCUGCUUCAUUAUGUUGUCCUCUUGGCCUGCAUGUUUAACGUACAAGCAGAGUACAAACAAGGGACUUUUAGAAAAGUUAACCCUUUCUUUAGCACAUUAAGGCCUUGUUUAAUUUGAUGGCAUAUUGGAUUGGACCAAAUAAACCACUAAAAAUUCAGUAUAUGUUGAUUCAAAACGCAGCAGUCAACUUUUCGAACCUUGUUCAAGUUGAAAGUUCUGUAUUAAAGUUUCUUACUUGUUCAUAAUUUUACAGUCAACAUUUUUAGAGUGAUGAUGCGUGUGUUUUCCAAAUUGUCUGACUGCUAACUCUGCAUCUUGAAUCCAAGUUUUGACUUGCGUUCUUAUUCCGGCAUUCGGACUUUUAUUUUUCUUAUUGUACAUAGUUUAUUAUUUUAUGUUGAUGUUCAAAUUGCUUGUUUGUGAUUCUAAACAUAGAAUUUAAACUUUAAUUCCCUGAAUCUGGUCAUUUGCUCUUUUUGUUGUCAUUUUAUAACUGAAAAGUAAUAUCAUACAUGCAGAGGCUUGAUUUUUUAUCGGAGAGGAUUCUUUCAUUAGCUUUUGAUGUGAUUUCAUCUCUGUUGAAACAGGGCCUGUAAGUUUUCUGAUUAGUAAGUUUUACUGAAUAAAGAUCACCAAAAUUCUGCCAACUUCAUUCGUUAGGAAGUGGAACUUUGGAUGUUGCUGGAUCACAAUUUGUUACUUGUUCAAUCCACCCUCUUAAUUGGUUUUUUUUUUCUUCUUAAUCGUAAAUCAGGGAUGGAGAAUAGUUUCUCCACAUUUUUCAUCUCUGUUGGACUCUGCAAUCUUUCAAGCAUUGGUAAUGAAUGAAAAGGUAAAUUUCAUUAUCAGAAAAAAAUGGGAAACAUAUAUAUUUUGAAACCUGAAGUUAUAAGUUGAACUAACUCCUGUUUUUCUGGCAAUUUUUCAAGUAGGAUAUCGUAGUGUGGGAAGAAGAUGCAGAUGAGUACAUACGAAAGAAUCUUCCAUCUGACAUAGUAUGGAAAGUUUAUACCACAUUUAGUGUGUGAUAUGUAAGACAUUUUAUAUAGGUAUGAGGUAUUACUACCAGUUGCAUACUAUGUGUGUAAUAUAUGCGGCGUUGUCUUAUGCUUAAGUGCUCUGCCUAAGAUGUAAAAUUGAUGGGGUCUAUUAGAAUUGAACCAUAUUCGCCUUUUGGAUUGCACGCCUGAGAAUUCUUUCUGUCCAUUUUUUUUAUCUUUCAUGUAAAAUACUUGACUUUUAGUGGAAACGAAUGCAUGCUUAUUUAUCAUGAAUGAAUACGUAAGGUAUGAGCCUUGCUCAUAUUUUGACAUAUAAUUAUCAAACACACAAGAAAAUUUUGGAACAAUGCUACUUUGAAUCAUGUAUGUUUCUUUCAUUGGCAAGAAAUUUUGGUUUUUGUAUUUUUAUUGAGUCUCACUCUCAUCCUAUAUUAUUAAUUUUAAUAAUAUCUGUAAUAAAAAAACAAUUAAAAUAGAACAAUAAUGUAGUUCUAGUCUGAGCAAACACCAAACUGGUGAACAAUAUUGUUUUCAUUAUCCUGCUUCUUAGUCCGACACUGCACCAAACGCUUCACUAAGCUAGUCCAGCUUAGUCUAGUCUAAGCCAGUCCAGCUUAGUCCUUGCAGCUAGUCCAGUCCGAGACAGUCCGGUGCAACAAACGCACCCUCAUUUUUACCUUUUAUAUAUCCCUCUUAGUUUCAAUCAUCGUAUCGAAUGAAUUGAAAAAAAAUAAAUAAACAAAAAAUAACAAGAGUGAAUAUAUUGUUUCAACUUUGCCCUUAUCUAGUGCACAAAAGUCAUAUUUAAAAAAAAAUCAAUUUAUGUCACCACACCUUUCAAGUCCAACAAUUUUGCCCACCCCUUUUAAAAUUCUUGGCUCCACCCUUCAUGUGACCUUAUGAGCAAGUCCACCGAGAGCCAUUAGGCCAGCACCUAGCAGCCUUUUGGGCUCGGCACCCAACCAAUUUGCUCCAUCCCAACCUAAUAGGCUGGCAUCCAGCCCAAGCUAGUUCAUAAGGUGACCCAAAAUGUGCUGAGCUAGAGACCAACUUAUAUGACGCCAGGUUGACAUCAUGAUCUGAAAUCUUUUUUUUUAUGCCAAGUCCCAACAGAGGUCCGUCUACAAAAGAUGGCAGAGAAUGAGAUGUUGGGCUCAACUACGACUGUUUGUCCACGACGAUAGCAGACAAUGGGCUACCGCAAUCUCUGCCACCACCUCCGACUCAUCCUCCAACCUGCUAGAAUUUCCAAUCCGAAGGUGGAGAUAACGGCAAAGGUGAAACUGGAACUAAAGGCAUGAGCUGGUGGUGGUAUAAUGGCAAAGAGGAUGGUGGCGGUGGUAAGGGAGGAGAAAGGUUGUUUCAUCAUAGAAAUUAGUGGGGAUUGGCGGCAUGGGUGGUGGGUUGGCGUGCUCUGGUAUGCUUCAUUGGAGGAGCAUUUUUUGGGAGUUCAGAAACUGUAAAGUCAGAAAUUAAUAAUAUUUUAAUAAAAUUGACUAGGCUAUUUAGUUUUAGGGGUGAAGAUGCAUUUAAUCUAUUAUUGUUCAUUGGGGUCUAUCAAUGUUCAUUGAAUGAAUUAAAUAGGCUGGAUGCUAGCGCAUUUUUUUAGGGGUGGACUUGCUAUGAAUAAAAAUUGAUCUCAAAUACACAAACUUAGAAAAGGCAAAAAAAAAUUUAGCGGAUGGUUUUCUUUUAUGGAAACUAAUGAAAAAAGCUUGAAAACUUUGAGUUUUAACAAUAACGACAAAAUAAAGGGUAAAGUGAAUAGUACCAUGUUUGAUUUUUUAGUAUAAAAAUGUGUUUUUUCGUUAAAGUGAAUAGUUUUUCGUUAAAACUCCAUUUCUUUUAAGUGACAAUAAUGAAUGUGUUGUGUAGGUAACCUACAUUUGUUAUUAAGCGAAAUAUUAAAGUGAUUAGUUAAUGUAAAAAUAAAUUUCGAAAAUAAAAAGGUCGCAUCCUACCCACCACGCAUAGAAACUUGAAUAAAAAUAUUUUCUUAAAAAAUUAGGGGGGGGAGAGAGAGAGAGGAGGAGGAGGGAGGGAGGGAGGAGUCGACAGCAAGGGGAAUCUGUCGUAUCUUUCUUGGUCUGACUGGAAAGGAGGAGACAUUGUUGUGCUGGUGAUGUGCUUCUCUGUCUAACACUACAAUUAUAUAUGCUUUAAUGUGAUUGAAUUUGUAUGCACUAAGUUUGUUUAAUCUAGGGCAUUUGAUUUUUAGGAAAUUAGAUAUUAAUCCUUGAAAAUGAUUUAGUUUAGACAAAUACCAUUUGCAAGAUUAACAAUUGAAUUAAGUCCCUGACCAACGUCAGCCGACAUAAUUCCACAUUAGUUGUCAUUUAUUUCUUUGUUAUUUUUCCAAUUAUACCCUUUUGUCAAUGUUUGUAAUGAUGACUUUUUUUUUUUAGUUAACAAUCAUAGGACGUCAUUUAUUAUAGAUUAUUUUUAGGAUGCAUAUGAUAUUUUGUAGUAGUUUGUUUUGUUCUCGUUCAAAUUUCAAACUGAUUUUAGUUCAUAUUCGAGAAAUUAGUAAUUCAUUCUCUAAAAUUAAGAGGGCUAUGUAUAUAGUAUAUUGUAAUGGCAUCACCCUUUUUUUUUUUUUAUCAUGGCGCCUAAGGUACGAAUAUUUAGGUGCAUUUGACUAUAUACUAUGAUUUAGGUGCAUUCAUGUAGGUACUAUGAUUUAGGUUCAUUUAAAUUGAUACUUUGAUUAUAUAUUUAGGUGCAUUCAACUAGAUAUUGUGAUUUAAGUAUAUUGUGGUAGGUACCAUGGUUUAGGUGCAUUUGACUUGGUAUUAUGAUUUACAUGCAUUCGACUUGGUAUUAUGAUUUACGUGCAUUCGAUUAGGUAUUAUGAUUUAAGCACAUUAGGAUAUUGUUUAAAUGCAUUCGAUUAUCUAUAAUAUAUGAUUUGGGGUAUUUUUAUUUCCUCUAUGCUUUGGAUGGUGAUAAUGAAUAAUUUGAAUUAGGUACUUGUUUAUUUCUUGUAAUGUAUCACUGAUAUUUUUUUGGACGUCUAGAUGAGCGAGGUAUGCUUAUUGUUUAUGGAAGUCAAACAAUAGUCAAUGCCAACAAAUAUGGAGCAAAAUAAAACCAAAUAUUUAAUAUGGGCAUUAUGGGAACAAAAAAAAAGCAUUAAAUAUUUAAAAACAAGAAAAUAUGAACUUUAAUAUUUAUUAUGACAUGGAAAUUUAGUCAAAUGACUAUAAUGAAUAUAUAAUCUAACAUAAGGUUUAUAUUGAAUUUCAAUCUUAAUCGAGGAUUAAAAUGGAGAGAGCCCUUUUACCAAAAAAACAAAAACAAAAACAAAGCUUGAAAGAGAUGGCAAAAGAAAAAGGCUUUGUGUUGAUGAAACAACGUCUCAAAACUUGAAAUUCCUUUUUUUAACACUAAAAUAAAUUACAACAAAGGAUCUUAAUUUCAAACAUGUCAAAUUAUGACUUAUAUAAUAAGCUCCAUCAUGAGUUGGAAUUAUAAAUUUCUAAGACAUCUAUAUAUGGUUCAAGUCAAAAAGCAACUUUUGAAACUGAUGCAAACCAAUAUUGGUUAGGGAUGUGAUAUUCACACAUAUUUUUUUACUUCUCUCACACCCUUUUAAUUUUCGGCCGUUUGAUCGGAUGAAUUGAAGAAUAUCAAAUGAAAUAAAUUAAUAAAGGGUGUGGAAGAAGUAAAAAAAUGGUGUGUGGAUAGCACACCCCUAUUGGUUAAUUGGAAGCAUGAGCCUUGACAUUGAAACUUGAAACUCAAACCCUAAACCAAUGGAUGUACGUGUAUACCUACGGACUUUUAACUAGCUCAUAAAUUAGCGAUAUUUUAUUUUUUAAAUAUUAAAAGAGAUUUCAAAUUCAAAUUAAUCUUAUCGUUGAUCAAAAAAUCAUGAUAAAAAUCAUUUAACAAUUUAGCGUGCAUGUCACGUUGUGAGCUCAUAAAUUCUUAAUAUACGUCGUAAGCACCAACAAUUACGCAUUCAAAUAAGAGAAGGUAAAACAAAAAAAUAAGUUGAAUUGUAUGGCCUAUAACAUUUCAUCUUCAUGUCUUAUCACUUUAUAUUUUGUGGUACAAAAAUCACCAGAUGCAUCAAAAUAUAUUCCAAGCUGAACGUUGAAAAAUCGAGCCCGAACAAACGGUAGCAGACAAAUCACAUGCUGGCAUAUGUUGACAAUUGCAAAACCUCAGUAUAUUGAUUUUCUGGUUAUGUUCGCAUAUUUCUGAUUAUGAUUGCAAAACCUCUACAUAUUGAUUUUCUGAUUAUGUUGGAAAAUUAGUUGCUUAGUUUAUAUUAUUUGUAAUUUUUUUGGGUCAAGAGUGUUUGUUUUAGUAUUUUUCUAUAUACAAGAGUGCUUGAAUUCAUUUUUUUUAUGUAAAAAGGGAUUAACUAGUGGUUUCACCAUGACAAUUUACCAUUUCGAGGGCUGAGAAGAAUGACAAAGAUAUUUCAACAUUAUCCUGACCACCAUCAUGUUCACAAGCGCUAGGAAUCGAACCCUGGAUGUGCUGUGUGAAAUACGAACAUGAAAUUCAUCCUCAAUCAUUGCGUCACCCCUGUGAUGGUUGUAUUUGUUGUUUUAACAAGUCAUUCUCAAUGCAGUCUUAUGAGUUAUGUACCGUUUCGAUCAGUUAAUAUUUUUCUCUUUCAUUUAAUGUAGCAUUAUUAAUAAUUUAAUAUUUUAUUAUUUCAUAGCAUAUUUUGAUUUUUUAAUAUAUACGUGUGUGUAUAUAUAUAUGUGUGUGUGUGAGGUAAUUAGAAUAAUUCGUCUUCUUUUACCGGAUGAUCCAUGGUCGUUGUGGAUGUGAUUGCCAAUCAUAACAAUUUGAAAUAUUAAUAAAUUAUGUCUCUUUUAAAUUGAAACAUACAUCACAAAAAAUACAACACAUACUUUUCAAAUGCAUGCUACGAUUUGAGUUCUUGACUUUGAAGUCGAGCACCCUUCAAUUUCUAAGAUCCUGGCAUUGGGUGGCUAGCGACCUUUAAUUCAAUAUCAAUAAUGACCACAAAAGAAUUAAGAUAAAUUAAGGAAAUAGUCUAAUGUUCAUUAUAUAUAUUUUGUGUAAGUAAUUUAUAGCUUUUCAAUAUCUUAGUAGAUAAAAUGUUGAGUUUUUAUCCAUCCGUUUCGAGUCCAAUACUCUUAUCUGCUCUAAAUUAUCAAUUAGAAUUGUUUCUAAUACUCCGACCUUCUCCCCUUAAUAAUAAUGAUUUAAAAUAUAAAAAUAUCCAAUAUAAUGUGUAUUUGAUUAGAUCGUGAUAUAUAUAUAUAUAUAUAUAUAUAUAUGUGUGUGUGUGUGUGUGUGUGUCACACAUCACCUUAGUCAAUCUUAAAAAAAAAAAGGCUUUAUAGCCAAAAUUGUCUAUGAGAUUUGUAUCACACAUCAUUUUAGUCCGUAAAAUUUGAAAUUAAUAGAAGUGGUAUCUGAGAUUGUCCACCAUUAAUCAUUUUGGUCAUUCUGUACAAAAUUAUGUUAAAUACGGAUCAAAAUGACAAAUAUACCCUCAAUUUAAUAAAUAAUGGGCCAAAAUGAUUUGACAAAAAUAAGAGUAUUUUGAUCAUUCUAUUUUUAUUUAAUGGAGAUUUUUCAAUGAAUUAUUAAAAUGAUUGAUGGUGGACAAACUCAAAUGGACCAAUUAUAUUGAUUUCAAAUCUUAAUGACCAAAGCGGGGAGUUAUGCAAAUCUCAAUAACCAUUUUAUAUGAAGUUUCAUUUGCACGCCUAAUUGUGAAAAAAUUAUGGUUCCGCGAUUAAAACAUGGACAAAUGGCGAGUUUAAUUACUAGAGCAAAAAGCUUUGCAUUUACAUUUAAAUGAUAAAUUCUUUUGGGAUCCGAUUUCCUUGAUUUCAUACGGAAAUGUAGUAGGUAAAAUAAAAUGUAUAGAUAAAACCAUCCUAUAUGAAAAAUAUAGACUAGUUGCAUUUGCUUGCAUGUGUUAAAAAUGAACGAGGCUAGAAAGAGAGAGAAUGAUUAAUUAUAAAUGGUAUUGCAUGCUGUAAAUUGCUUUAACAUAGGUGGUCGGUCAAGAACUGACAACAAAUUUUGGAAGUGGUUUUUAAUAAAUUAACCCUAAUUAAUUAGUCUAACAAAUCCAUUUCAUCUUAUUUUUUGUUUGUUUACAUAUUCUGAGCUGUUUAAUUAUUCAAAACCAUAUUUCAAGAAAAAAUUAUUUUUUCAGGGAUCAAAACAAAAUCGUUCAAAAUUUAUAUAUAGCAAAAAGGAACAAUGAACUCAUUCAACAUUACUAAAAAGAAAAUCAUUUACAAACUCAUACAAAUACAGUAAAACCUUUGUAAAGUUAUACUGUUGGGACCAAACCAAUUUAAUUGAUGUGUAGUUAAAAAUAUUAUUAAUUGUUUUAUUUAUCCUUGAUGAAUGUUGUAUUUCCUAAAUAAGAUUCCAUGGACGCUAAGUAUUUUCUUUCUUGCAUAUUUUUACACUCAUUAACAAUUAUAACGAUGCAGACGCAUGUUUUUUUAAGAUAGGACCGAGAAAAACUUUAACUUAUUACAAUAUGAAGUUUGUUUCAGUACAUAAAUAAAAUAUUAUUUAUUGACUUAUUUAUUCUUAAUGAAUGUUGUUUUUCCUAAAUAAAAUAUGUUAAACGUGUUUUUUUUAUAACGAAACAAAGAAAAAUUAGGCUAUAUCCACAAUUUGGGGCGCUAGAUUCAGCCUAUGCGCAAUGCAUUAGAUAUGCUUUUAGUAGGAAAAAGAAUUUAGAUGUAUCAAUACUAUGUAAGUUGUUCUAUGUUAUAUGUUUGUAACUUAGGGUUGGUUUGAUAUUGCUGUGCUUUGAAAAAAACUACUUCUGUUAUACUGUGAGAAUAAGCUCAUUUCUGCUGUUUCACAUUUUCAGUUUUUUUUCAUUCAAAACUUUGAAAAUCAGCUGUUUUUAAGUGUUUACCAAACACCUUUUUAAGUUCAGUUUUUUUUUAUACUUACUUUUUAUAAAAGUAUCCCAGUACCGAACCAGAACUUAGUACAAUGGUUGCGAUGUUUCCAUGAAAGGAGGAAAAAAGGAAUAAUGAUGUCAUUGUGUGCAGAGCAAAAUGGAAUAUUGAUGUCAAUUAAUUACCAGACGCAAAUUAUGAGGAGCAAAAAAAUCAGAGAGAGAGAAAAGAGAAGGUUGACAAAAAAAAAAAAAAAAAAGAGAGGGAAAAAAGAAAAUGGUCGCUUUCAAGUUUGAGCAGAAACAGUAAUGGAGAUGGGAACACAAGUACCAGUCUUCAGCUCCGUUUCCGCCCGCCCAUUAAGGUAAACGGAAUACACAAAUCACACCUAAACCUGCAUUUUAAUACCAAGAGGGACGACCACCAAAAGCUUUCUCCUUUUUCAUUUUUUUCCCUUUUGAUAUUAUAAAAGAUUGCAUCUUUUUAUAUAUAUAUUUUUUUAACUGAGAAUUUCAAGCUCUCUCUCGCUCUCCAUGGUUGCUGACAGAAACAGAUGCUAAAGGGCAUCAGGACAUCAAAACUUGAUUGGUAAUCUGCAAAUCCACGAGGUGGGUUUUUUCGAAUAUUCAAAUCUUAUUAGUUUGAACUUUUGGUGUUUGGAGGAAGUUUUUGUGAUUAUUUGGUUGUGAAAUUUAGGAUUUUGGCAACAUGGGUCGGUCCAAAUCUGAUUAGGGAGGGCUCUCUGAUCAAAAGGGAGCUAUUUUUCUGUAAAUUUGAGAGAACACAGGAGGUAGGAUUUGAUUAUUGUGGACAAGUUAAUAUGCGUUGCAGCUGCUUUGGUGCUUCGGUUGCUGAGAAGAGGAAAAGGAAAUCUGGUUCUGGUCAAUUUGGCCAUGAUCUUGAUGGUACGGACAUGGUUAAAUGUUCCCACUUUCUGGUUUUGUUAUUUUUUUUUUACCUCCGUACUGUGGCUUUUUUGUUCAUUGGAUUCUGCGGAUCAUCAUUGUUAUUGUGAUUGAUUGAUUGUUAUGUGUGUUGCAUAGAGAAUGUGCUGGAAAAUAUCAAGGCUUUCUCUUACAAUGAAUUAAGAUCUGCGACGGAUAAUUUCCAUCCGAGUAACAAGAUCGGGCGAGGCGGUUUUGGAACUGUGUACAAGGUACUCAGAUUAUGCAUUUGUCUUGUAAUAGUUAUAAUUGGGAAGUUUGCACCAAUUAUAGAGAAUUCAUGAUAUCUGUGGUUCGAAUUAUGUUAGUUGUUUUCGAUUCCAAAUUUGUUGCAAUGACUAAUGAGUUGGCUCAAAAUAUCAAGCAAUUGGGUUUGCGUUUUAAGAACACUUCAAGUUCUAUCCGUAUGUUUUUCUAACACAUAGAUGCAAUGUUUGGUCUGCUAAAAACUCUCACCUGUAGUUCAAGAUUUGAGAAAAAUAGUGAUUUUGUAUUUUCCUAGUAUUAUGAUUUUAUAGCCGACCCCACUUAGUGGGAAAAGGCUUUGUUGUUGUUGUUGUUGUUGUUAUGAUUUUGCUUUAGAUCAUGCGGUGAUUAAGAAUGUUAGCCACCAAUUUGGAUUGAAUUCUGCGACGUUUCUAGACAGUAAUUUCUAUUUCCUAGUUUCCAAGCUUUCGUUGCUGGUCUUACAUUUCAAAGGACAAACUUUAAUAAUGAUUAUGCAUUAAUCAAAAUAUGUAGAUGGUUUUUGUCCAUGACAUUUCAUAUUGUCUUAGUAGUUUAGCUGCGUUUUGCUAGGGAACCCUGACAAGUGGAAAGCAUGUUGCUGUCAAGACACUUGCUGCUCAGUCGAAGCAGGGAGUCCGUGAAUUCUUAAAUGAGAUUAACACUAUCUCAAAUGUCCGGCAUCCAAACCUUGUUGAGUUGAUUGGGUGCUGUGUUCAGGAAGCUGAUCGAGUUUUGGUCUAUGAAUAUGUUGAGAAUAAAAGCCUUGAUCAUGCAUUAUUAGGUAAAUGGAUAAAUUUUUUAGCAUGUAAAGAAAACUGUAGGUACACAAUACACAAGGAUGGACCAUAAGUCUAAUUUGUUUUCCUUUUGUUUGUAGGUCCAACGAGUAGAACCAUCAAACUGGAUUGGGAAAAAAGAUCAGCCAUUUGCUUGGGUACUGCCAGGGGUCUUACGUAUCUUCAUGAAGAACUGGUGCCACAUAUUGUACAUAGAGAUAUCAAGGCUAGUAAUUUACUUUUAGACAGAGAAUUUAACCCGAAAAUCGGAGACUUUGGGUUGGCUAAACUCUUCCCUGAUGAUAUCACUCAUAUCAGCACAAGGAUUGCGGGCACAACGUACGUUACUUUCAUAUUUCUAGUUGAUUCAGUUUCCUUGAUUGAUUCAGUUAGGAAUUUAUGUUGCAUUGUAUUUUCCAAUUUUUCCUUGCUUAAUUCACUUAGGAGAUUAUAGAGAGAGUUUAUGUAGCUGCUUAUGCUUUAGUUUCAUUUUUUCAGUGGUUAUUUGGCACCAGAAUAUGCAUUGGGAGGUCAGUUAACCCUCAAGGCCGACGUUUACAGUUUUGGGGUUCUCGUUCUUGAAAUAGUAUGUGGAAGAAGCAGUGCCAAGGGAGACUGGGGUGGGGCAGAAAAGUUUCUGCUUGAAUGGGUGCGUUGUUUAUUUCCAUUUUUCGACAAAAUUCUUGGCAUAUCAGAUUCAUUAAUUUUUUCCUUGACCAUACGCGCAAUCUUAUAUUGCGAUUUUGUACACUUUGUAGCUGUUGAGGUCAUAUGGACUUAUUUCAUUUUCCAUUUACGUUCUUUUCCACGAUCAUACUCGCAGUCUUAUUCUGCUUCCUUUUACAAUUCUUUCGUUUCUUCGAUAGGCAUGGCAGCUCCAUGAAGAAGGGAGACUAUUGGAGCUAGCUGACCCGGAGAUGGGGGAAUUUCCGGAGGAAGAAGUCCUUAGGUACAUGAAGGUGGCAUUUUUCUGCACCCAAGCAGCAGCAAACCGAAGACCAAAGAUGAGCCAGGUUCUUGACAUGCUCUCGAGAAACAUAAGACUCAACGAGAAACAACUUACAGCCCCAGGUUUCUUCAACAGUUCAGGGAGCCUGAGCGGACCUUCAGGUAAAAAGUCAUUUUCCGAAACCACUACCAGUCAGAUGAGUUCCGUCCCCGACACUAUAACUCAAGUAACACCUCGCUGAAGAACAAUGUAAUUGUGAGUCAGAGGAAGACGAAGAUGAAAUUAUCUGCAAGUCCGCAACAAAUUAUUCAACAGUUGAUAAUUUUUGUCAACCAUUUUACACGCUUUUUUUCUUCUUUUCUUUUUAGCCAUUUUGAGUAGGGAGAGGGUGGUUUGAGCAGAGUCUAUAAUUUAUUUUCAUUAAAGAAAAUGGUACGAAUACGAUUGUACAAAUAGACCCUAAACUUUAGUCCACCGGUCAUAUGGUUUCAGAUUUGAUGUUUUUUGAUAGACAUGAUUUUUGACGAAAGACUUAAAAGAUAGACAUUUCAGAUCAUUAAAAUAAAUUACUUACCUCACAAAAACAAGUGUCAAAAAUAUUGUCACGGAUCAAUUCCCAUAUAUAUACAUAAUAGAUGCUUUCGACAACAGCAAGAAUGUUGGAUGCAAUAACAAUUGAGUCGGAGGGUAUUUUUAUUUUUAUUUUUCAAAGUUGUGCUUCAUAUGGUUUUUAUCUAAGAAAGUUUUGAGAGGCGUAGUUAUAAAAGAUCCCUGCAAAAUGGAAAAGUUUUCAUGGAGAUUUCAGGGAUUCCGUGAUCACGAUCAUUCAUCGUAUAUUGUGCGAUCAAUUUUUGUUAGGUAUUAUUUACACUUAAUUUUAAAUUUUAAAAUAAUUUCUGAUCGCACGAUGUAUGAUGAAAGGUCCUGAUUACGAGAUCCCUAGGAUCCCUGAAAAAUUUCACACCAUACAGUAUACGUCAUUCAUGAAUAUUUAAACAAAUUUCGAACUUAAAUGCAAAAACGGAAACACAAUUUCUCUAACCAAUUUGGCUAAAUCCGUAAACAUCAAGCAAGAUGAUCGUAUGUAUCAUGGUUGAUGGAAUCUACUCUUUUAAUUCAAAAUUUUGUACUCCUCACAAAAAUAUGGAUGCAGUUCAUCACAACGCGUCUGCUGAUCCAAAAAAGUAAAUAUUCAUAAAAUGUGUGCAAACAACGAAAAUUCCAAAUCUCAAAUCCCAAGCACAACACAUUCAAACACGAAUGUAUAUAAAGGCCUGCACAAUUAAAACCUAAACACUAAUUAAUGGAGGCCAAAUAUUACAAUAUUCGGAUAAUAAGUAGCAAACGAGGCUGGCGAUUUGUAGCCGAUAGUUAAUUACAAUCUCCAAAAAAAAAUAUGGAAGGGUUCGAAUUAAGCAGCGAGUUCCUCGGCAGGUGCAGGAGUGGCUUGUUCGGGAGCGUUUGAAGAACCAUUGGAGGUGGCAUCCUUGGCUUCUGAAGCGGGCACCUCAGCUUCUGCAGACGCAUUAGCUUUUGGUGCUGCAUCCUUGGCCGGAACCUUCCCAUCUUUGGCAUCUUUGGCCGGAGCCUUCCCAUCUUUGGCAUCUUUGGCGUCUUUAGCUGGAGCGGGUGGGGGUGGAAUCAUGUGUGGUGGAGUUUUAUGCUUCAGCCUCACAUGUAUUUGCCGCAGCCUCGAAAGAUCAGUGGGCUUUCCAGGCUUUGGGCCUUGAAUGACUUGGAUCCCUGGUUUCUUUUCCUGAUCCUUCUUGCCUCUCCUCUUCUCAAUGUUGGGAACCUCGUGAGGAAUGAGCUCCGCGAUUGCUUUCCAACUUUGCUUGUCAGCGUUUUUAUGGAAAUUCUCUUGAUUAACCAAGAACAACUGCUCAACAUAUAAACCAACUUUUUAGCAUUAGGAACAAAAAACCACAGCCGGUAGUCAAAAAGCGGGCAUUCCAAUACUUACCUUCUCCUUUUCUCUGUUCUGGACCUUGUUGGUCUCAACGUUAAGCUUCCUUUUCUCGUAGAAUGCACGCUUGAACUCCUCAGCCUCUUCAAUAAUUUGGUUCCUCAGUUCUUUCUCCCUCUUCUCCUUCUCCUCAAGCAGGAUGGCAUUUUGACUGUACCAGAAAAGUCAAGUUAGGUCAUUAAUAUUCUAGCGGAAAAAUAACACCAUUAGCUAACUUGUAACUUUUGUGCAGAUCGACCAAUGCGUGCACAAAUCACUAAAGCAACUUACCGUUGUCAUUUUGAAUGACUACAAUCAACUUACCGUUGUCGUUUUGAACAACAAACAUGACAAAUUUGUUAUUUCAUUAUUAGUUUGUUGUAGUUCAACUGUUAUACCCAAGACUUUUUUCCUAAUGACCAUCCGAUUGGAUUUGAUGGAAAAACUGAACCACCCUUUUUCGUCAUUGAGUUGAUAAAAACUCCGAUGAAGUUUGAUUAACCUCAAAUGAAACUAAAUUUUGCAAAUAACUCACUAGCAAGUCUAGCAAAGAAAGAAAGAACUUAUUCUUCUAUGAUUAAAACAACAAUAAAGCAUUUUCCCACUAAGUGGGGUCGGCUAUAUGAAUCCUAGAACAACAUUGCGCUCGGUUCUGUGAACUCAUUCUUCUCAUUGAAAGCAAAAAAAUUUCCUUCUGGCAAUCAGAUCCAAGAAAAUCAAUAGCAAUCCUCAUUCCGAAACGCUAAAUUUGACUCGAAAAGCACUACAAUUCGGUUUAGAAGCAGCUCCAAACUACACAAACACAAUCAAUCGCUGAUCUAUGUCUUUAAGAACCGCAUAAACUUAACGAUUUGAUCAACCUUUCUCGAAAAAUCGCAACUAAAGAACUAACAACCGUACCUUUUAGUGAUCACAACUACAAGAAAUCACACAGAUCUAACAAUAGUUCAAUACAGACACCUAUAUUUAGCUCAAAAUCUAAGAUCAAACGGAUGCAGAAUUUCACAGAUCUAAAGCAGCAGCUCACAAAGCAAGCAACUAGAUUUCUCAAAAAAAGCGAAUCGGAUCCGGAUCUUACCGCCGCCACUCACGAAGAGCGGAACCUUCCUCGACAAACUCGCUAGGUUCCGGGAGCACGGGACCGUCGGAUGUGAAGACGCCAUCGUCGAUUCCGUUCUCGCCAACGCCGUAACCAUUUCCGUCGCCGUUCUCAACUGGAGCUGAAUCGAAGGGAGUGGAGUGGGAGUAGUUGGAGCCGGGACCGUCGAAUCCGAAAACAUCCGGGGAGUCAGGGGCGGCGGUGGCGGCGCCGUGGUCGGUGUAGGAGCCGUAGUCGGCGUAGCUCUCGACGACGACUUCGUCCUGGUCAAAUUGGCUGUUAGGGGCAUGAAGAUCGUCGCCGUCCACGCUGAAAGCGUCGAAGGAAGCCAUUUUUGGCGGCGGUGAUUUCUGUCUCUCUCUGUCUGAAGAGGAUUUCAGUGGAAAUAUUUUGAAAGGGAAAGAAAGAGGUUUUAAUUGGAAACUAAUGGAAGAAGCUCUAAUUUUUGGUCUUGUCAAAUUUCGCUGUAAAUUUUGACUGACGUUCGGACUACCACUUUUUUACGCUACAUAUAUAUAUAUAUAUAUAUAUAUAUAUAUAUAAUAUAUAUAUAUAUAUAUAUAUUGAUCUAUUGUUUAGUAAUACUUUUAAAAUUAUUAAAUUGCAUUUAAAAUUGACAUAAUUCUUCAUUUUGAUAUUUGACAAUAAAAUUUAACAAAAGUAGUUCUGAGUUUAUCUACCUUAAACCAUUGAGUAAUGAUAUUCAUACCAUAUUUUUGUACCACAUUUUCAUAACACGUAGCAUUUGAUGUAGACAAUCACAUCAUUUGAAUUAAUCAGAUUUUUAAAUUUAGUUCAUUAUUUAAUAAACUAAUAAUUAAGAAAAAACUAGUUAAUUAAAUAAUGAUUGUGGCAUACGAGGAUUCUUUCUCCUUUAUUUCCUUGUGUUUUGCAAAUUUUUCAAAUGAUGUGGCUGUCCACAUCAGAUACAACCUAAUAUGAUACAGAAAUGUAGUAUAAAAAUGUGGUAUGAAUAGUAUUACUCUAAACCAUUAUAUUAUGUGAAAAAUAUGUCAAAAUCUUCGUUAAAUUAUCACAUAAAACGACCAUGACCACCUUUUUAAGACUAUACUUGUCAAACCAACUCUUUCACUUAACGUGAAUAUUAACAUAUUUUUUCAUAAAAUAAUAAAAUGAUUUACAGUGGACAAACUCAGAGACUGAUUCUAUCAAUUUUCAAUAUCAAGAAUGUCAAGAACUACUUUGGCUAAAAAACCUUUUAUUAAUUGUUAACUUUCAUGUCAUAUGUGUAUCUCCCUCUCUUUUUUUCUCUCUCCUCACGUGACGGGGGCAUUUUAUGCUCAUGCCACACCCUGCACUUAUGUGAGGAUGCUACCAGAUUCAUUACAACAUCAACAAACGCGAUCCUUAAUAUUACAAUCUAGUAGUAUUUUUCUUUACUUGUAAGCGAAAGAUCUUAAGUUCGAUUCUCGCCAAAGGUAAAUUUGAACCGCAUUGUGACGCUUAGUCCACUCCCUUACCCCCUCAGAUAAUAUUGUUUGUUAAAAAAAAAUUAUCAACUAACGCAAUACUGGUAACAAAAUUUCCAUUCCGUCGACGGUAAGCGAAAACCAUAUUACAUUUAGCUCAAUUUACAUCAGUAAGCAGUUCCACCUCAAGUAACAUAUCCCAGAAGACUGACAUUUUCUUAUACUCCCAAUCUUUGCAGAGAUGGACACCGAAAGAAAACUGGCAAUCGGACUGAAAUAACCAUCGAUGCUUAGAGCGUGCCGGGACUACAUAGCCGCAACUCUGAGCAUAGCCAAAGGCAGACGUCGAAGCCUCCGUGUCCUGUUUACUUCCGGUAACUAGACAUCAAUACACUGUCAAUCCUACCUAGAUAGGCACUUUCGAAAGUCUUGGAAGAAAUGCAUCAACCACACAAAAAAGGAGUUACACGGCAUUGCCUUCCGAAAACGUGCAAGGAGGCUUAUAAGCAUUUGGUUGUGGGGGGGGAAAUCGUUACAACAAUGACUGAAAACCACAAGAAUGUUAGGACUGUAGUCACCUGACAAGCACCUCCCCGUUCUUUCAGAAGAAUCUGUAACGAAGCUGCAAGCUCAAUCUUGUCCACAAUUAAGCAGCUACGGCUCCAUGGUCCUCGCCCUUCUAUAUAAUAUGUACGGAAGACGUUAUGUCAGUAGCUAUACCAAAAUGGGAUGAAAUGGUGGUAUGAUUUUCAGGGAACUGGUGGAGCAUUUUUCGGAUAUCUAGCAGAAGAGGGCAUCCGUUGAAGAACUUGUGGAAACUCCUGCUUCAUUCGUUUAUUUGGCAUCCCUUGGAAAGACCUUUUUACCAGAAACACCAAAUUAGAAGGGAAGAAUACACAAUAUAUAUGGAGAGGGAGGGAGGGAGAGAGAGAGAGAGAGAGAGAGAGAGAGAGAGAGAGAGAGAGAGAGAGAGAGAGAGAGAGAGUAGCAACUAACAAAAUUUACAAGGAGAAAAAAGGGAAAAGGUCUCAACCUACAUAUUAUUUUGAUAUUCUGCAAAAAGUCAAUACAGAAAGCAAGAAAGUUUUGCUAAAAUUUAAAGCGACGUAUAAUUUUCAAUUAUCCUCAUAAGUUUUAGUUUGUUGGCUGGAGCUGUAAAACUAAUCAAAGCUGCAAGAGCUUUCAUGUCAUGUGCACCAAGAGCUACGAAAUAGAGCCAACUGAAUUAUUGGCUCACUUUGGGCUGCUUGAUCCAACGAAAGUUCAAACUUCAUUAAAAAAUUGGCAAACAUAAUUACACACUCGCAGCUGAUGAAUUCACACACCUUGGAGAACCCUGACGUUUCUGAGCAAAUAAAGUUGAUCUUAGACUUCCGAGCGCCUUUUCAGCGGCCUAAGGAAAAGAUUGUUUAGGUGGACAGAUAUGACAUUUCAAAAAGACUAGGCACCACAAAGGGUACUCCGAAUUGGACCGGUAGAAAAAUUACCUGCAUCUUAGCCUCAUCCCACGUCAACCCAAUCCCCUUUCCCAAGACCUCUCCAUCUAUUUCAACCUGCAACAUUAUAAUGAUAGAGAAUUAUAAAGAAAGGAAGGGGGCAGAAAGAGAAAAGAAAUAUGCUUCAAGACAAAACUCAAAUGUUAUUCAGAAUAAUGAAGCAUGUAAUCAUGGCAAAUACAAACCUGUACGUGCACUUCAUCCUUCUCAACUGAAUUAGCUGAAGGUGGAGGUCGCGGUUGAAAAACUACACCACCAAGGCCCUCUAUCAUACACUGAAAUAGGAAAAAUUAUGGAACGUCAAUAAUCAUAACAUCAUUCAGCACCUGGAAAUAAGAGAGAAAAAAAGAUAGAGAGACUAGCAAACUAUCAUGUAUUGAAUCUUACAAGUUCUUUGAGGGCAGAGACUGAAUUCAUAGAUUUUUGGAAGCCUUCAAGCCUAGGGUCUAGUGGCCUAGAAGGCUCCGAUGAAGUUGAAGAUGACAGGGACUCCUCUUUGGGAAAUGACUGGAUCCCAAAAGAAUUCGCAUUACCCACAAAACCAUUGUUGUUAGCAUUAGAAAACUUGCUCAUUUCCCCAUGAACAGGCACAGAAUCAGGCUUGACGGGAAAGGUAUAUAUCUGCAAAAAUGUUGUCCAGGAUUGUCUCACACACAAAAAAAAAAAAGGAAACUAGAGAGAUACCUCAAUAAUAUUUUCCCAUCUAUGGACAGAACCAAGCUAACACAAUAUUCCCUAGUACAGAUGCAAUAAUUUCAUAAGCAAGUUGACUUUGUUUUAGUGCAGUAGGUCCUCAGUCAGUAGUUUCAUAUUGUUCCAACAGUUAAUUGUUCAGUUAAAAACUUUCAAAAUUGAUUGACUGGCAUCUUUAACCCCUGAUGGAAAGCUGACAAAGUUUAAAAUAACCCCUCGAUCCUCCAUCCAUGGCUUUUGCUACAAAAGCACUUCAUUCAGCAGAAUAAUCAUCUAAGAUCAGCUCCAGUAUGAUUAUAUCAGAGACUUGAGAGUUUAAAAUAUUUAGCGGAAGAUAGAUCUUAAAAAUAUGUCAUAUAUUGACUUAAUUCCACAAUAUCCUUUUCCAUCGAAAGUAAGAGAUUGUAGUGUUUGUGGCUUAACAGUCAAGGACAAUGCUGCCUAGAACAUUUUGCCAUCAUUCAAUUUUUGGAAGAAAAGAAGCAAAUGGAAUAUUAGCCUUGAGGUGGGCUUCACAUGUGUCAAAAAUCAAUUAGUUGUCAAUUUGUUCCAUCACUGCUCUAAUAUCAAAUCAGUUUGUCGAGCAUAAAUUUACCGGUACAAGAACCACUUGAACAGGCAUGAAAAUAAUAUUGAGAAUGACAGAUCGCCCAAGCUAGUGGCAAUAAAUACAGCAAUAAGAAAUCUUACUGGCUAAGUUUUUUAGAGAACCCUCGGCAGCCUGGAAAUGAGCUUCCCUUCUUGUUUUACCAGUUCCUUCACCAAUUUUCUCUCCUGCAAACCAAGCCUACAAAAGGCAAAAUGGAUAAACUAAUUAAAGUGUGGCAUCCCCAACAAAGGAAUAUGCAACAUCAGAAAGUAAUAAAAACAAUUUCUGUGAUAAGUUACAUGGUACAGUUUGACCUACAUGGCAUAUGAAAUUCAUUGAUUCAAAUUAUUGGGCCCAUUUACAACUGAUUACCAACACUAAUUACACCCAUUACCAUCAAUUAGAUAUGCUCCAUUCAAUUGUACCGUAUUGCUAUGGAAUAGGGUGCACACAUAUUUACUAUUUCUGCUUUAAAAAAUUAAAAAAAAUCACCAAAACUUAGUAAGAUACUAAGAUGUGAUCAUAAAAGCAAACCAUCAUUUUAUUAUGAAAUAGAAUACAAACCAAAUGCGAUUUCCUGUCUUAGCUCCCUCUUCACUCGAAACCAAAGUUAUCAACUUGUGGACAUAAAGUCCCUAAAAUAUCAAAAAUUGAAAUUUACAUCAAAUGUCACAAACAAUACGACUUAUUACUGAAUGGUUUAAUUUUUCCAAAGACAAGUUAAGUUAUUUACACAUCCCUAACUCUGGCCAAGAAAACAUUGAACUAUGGUUAGAUACGUUCAAAACGUGAUACCCCAGAAACUAAUGUGGAAUUAUAAGGUAGUAAGCCAAAGAUCAAAAGUACCUCAACAUAAAACUGGAGUUCCGUGCUAGCAACCAAAGCUGGCCUAAACUCCACCUGUGGAACACGAGGUUUUGAUAUAUGCAAAAAAUAAAGAGUAAAUUUUCUACUGCAACACAAACAGCUCAAAAUACCUUGGCUCCACACUUCAUUGCGAUUUCCUGUAAGGCUCCAGCAGGAGUUUCUGCAUUUGAUAUAGCUCGUCCAGACUCAAAGUCCACAUCUCUAUUCAUGGAAGGGGAUCGACUCAAGGGAAUCUCCUCACCUUCAAAUUCAUGUCCCCGUUAUAUUACACCACACUCAUGAUAAUAUACAAUAAUUACAUAUAAAUAAAACAACUGUUAGUUACACAUUUUAAGAAAGACAAGAACCAUUAAAUUCCACUUGGUUAAAAGUUCAAAAAGAAGAUAAGAUAACCCAAUUGCAUAAAUAAUACUCAAUUAAUAACCUUCCAAAAAAGAAUAAUCAUUGCCAUGGUAUAGUCCAAACAUGUGAAACUCUAGGCAAAUUGUGAUAGUACACUGCUGAUGGUAAAAGUACUUUUGGAAAAUGUUCAAGCCUUUAAAGCAGCAUCUAUCAAUGAAUUUGUACCAAAAUAAAAUAAAAUAAACUGAAAAUCAUCGUAAAUUGUGCAUGUCAUAGCUCACCUGACACUGAAUGAUAGCCAGCCGAUGCAUGGUUGAAUCUCAGCCGAUCAUCUCUAUGAAAUGCCUGCAAAACAAUAAUCUUUUAGGACUAGUCUUGUCUACAAUCCAGUCACAAGCAACAUCCAUCACUCAGCAUAACAAAAUAGGAUUAAAGCCAGAUCAACAAAGUGUAAAUACCUCUUUCGGAAAUCUUUGAUUUUCUUGAAGAAUCCUAUCAGAUGGAAUAGAAUUAUCAACCUUUGAGAAAAAAGAUGAAUGAUGAGGUCGAUGCUUCUCAAUCUGCAUUGGAUCUGGAUCCAAUGGAAGUUCUUUGGGUACCGUCCGGCUCAGUUGCCGAGGGCUCAUUUCUUCCUCCACUGGAAACCAGCCUGGACGCGGUUGCACCCGUGGAACAGAGGCUUGUACUGGAGGUCUGACAGCAAAUGGGGGCUCACUCGGUGGUGGUUCUCUUGUAUCUUGGCCAUGCUGCAAAAUCAGUAGCCUCCGCCUUGUAUCAGGGUCUAACUCUGAUUCAGGUACCUCUCCCUCCUCUCUAGCCGGAGAACUAUGCAAGCUUGGUUCUGCAGCGCCAAGAUGACCCAACGGUUUAACCACUGAAGCUCCCUGAGGGAACUGUAUAUUAGGAAAAGUCAUUGGUGAUUGCUGACUUGACGGCAGUGAAGUUGUGCUAGAGGAAGGAGCCAUAGAGUACUGAAGAGAAGCAAGCCUUGGAUCUAUGUUAGUGACUACCGAAGAAGCCGUUAAAGCAGCUGAGGUUGCUUCCUACAUGCCAGAAAUAGGUCAACCAAUAAAUGAACUUUAACAAAUUCGCAUAUGCAGAUGCACAAAAACGUUCAUCCAAAGUGGAAAGUUCGCAUAUCAAUGGAAAUACUGAAUCUUUAUAUACCUUCAGUCUUCUUUCAACCUCAGCAUCUGCCAUGCCAUCAAAAGUGAGCGGGUCUCUGUUUCCAUUUAAAGCAGAAGGAUCAUCCUGAACAACCAAAAUCUAUUAGUGGAAUUAUCAUAUUGUGACAACUGUGGUGUGGAGGAGAUUUUUCGGGAGAAAUUUCAUUAAAAAAUAAAUAAAAGAACAUCAUAAAAUUGUUCCAACUAACCUCUGAAACUAGAUGAUUGCUCACAUCAGGUGAAGGGACAUCUUUAAUAUCAUCUUCAUAAAAAAAUUCAGGAAUCUUUUGUAGAAGACUGUCAUCAAAUUCUCUGUUAUCACACCAAAAGGUGAUGUCAUGCCAACAGAACACCAUUAUUUUGCUCAUAAACAGAGCAUGGCUUUACACGAAAACAGUUUAGAGACAUUAAUUCCUUACUUAAAAAAUCCACCUCUGACAUUGCAAGCAACAUUUCUUGCAACACACAGGACAGGGACUGUGUUAUUUGCCUGUAAUAUUAGGAGGUAUGAUGAGUUCAAGCUAAAGAGGAAAAUAAAUAAAUAUGCAAAAUGUGCAUUUUUGACAAUAGAUCAGUUUAAAAAGUUAAUAUCCAUAUAAAACAAAGCAAAGACUUUUACUUCAGCUUGAGGAGCAUAAUACGGAGCAAAAGCAGGAACAACAUGCACCCGAGGUUGAUCUCUCUCAUCCCACACUUUCAAGCGAUCAUCAAUUACCAAUGCCAUCUUAGGAUGGCAUAAGCUUUCUUGGAAGACAUUGAACAACGACUUUCUUGAACCUAUCAUAAUAUAUGAAAUCCAUUAAUUAAACAGAGAAAUGCAUGUGACUUCCAGUGAAAUUGUAAAACAAAAUUUAUAAACGAAAUAUAACAGUUACCAGACUUCACACAGACAAUACGAUCAAGUAAUUUAUUUGAGUUUAUCAAGUUUGAAUCAGGAUCAAGAAGCCUCCACAUUUCCAAUGCAUAAUCCCUUUCAGCCAUUGUGCAAACAUAAACCUCAAACCGCUUGCGCCCUCUUGCAGUCAGGUAGCUCCGAAGAUCUUCCCAUGCAGGUCUCAACCUCACAAGAACACUUGUAUCACGAAUCUAAGACAGAAAUCCUAUGUUACUUAGGACACCUUAUAACGAUGAGUACGGAGACUUACUACAAACAAAAGACAGAUAAUGCGAAAACAACAAAACCAUCCACACAACCGGAUCAAGCAGAUGUUGACCAAAAUAACCAAAUGAGGAAUGAUGACGAAGAUAAUAAACAAGGUAUUACAUACCUGCGGAUUAAUGCGAGUCAGUAUAAUAUUUUUCUCAUGUAAUCGUAUAAGAGGCCGAAUAAUAGGUUGAUGAUUGUCAGACAAGGCUGGAACAACCUCCGAUUGAGUUUUGACAACUCUCCCAUUAUCAACAACUUGAUCAUUUUCAGCAUAUUGCUUCAAUAUAAACUUGUCAUCUUGAUACCGCUUGAUCUCUGCAAGCAUACCAGAAAUACGUAGUGGGUCCACCUCAGUGCUUAUCUUCCUCUGUAGGGCCUCAAUUCGAUCCUCAAAAGAGCGCAUUGUAUUUGCAACAAUGAGUGUUUCAUCAAGAUCAAAUACAAUGCCCAGACAUCUAAGAUUCAGCAUGACAAGGCAAGAAUUGUAUAGUCCUGAUGCAACAUAGAAUCCCCAGAAACAUGGGAACUGUUUACCACCAUUCCUGGAUUGCAUGGCAACCAAAUGAAGCUCCUCCCCUCCUAGGGGCAUUACUGCAGUCUGAAGAAAAGCAUGACGGCUCAAGGUUUGCACAAAGUACCAUUCAUUCCAGAUAACAUAGGCAGAAAAUAAACUUACUUUUCAAUCAACGUUAACACAUAAAGUUCAAACCAUAAUAAGAAUUAGGCAACUGCAUGUUUCCAUUUUAUAAAGGACUCUACGCUGCAUUCCAACAUAUAACAAAACUGAAAACUUGGUACUGCAGAAUUCUAGAGUUUUUCCUUAAACACUCUAACAUCCAAUUAGAGCACAACAAAAACAGUUCUUCCUUAAACACUCUAACAUCCAAUUAGAGCACAACAAAAACAAAAUCAUCCAAUACUCGUAAAUGAAUAAUUCACGCAAUCAUCAUCUCUACAUGUAACAGCAUCCCGCAAGCACAUAUACAAUAAGAUCAGAAACAAGCCAUCACAAAAAAAAAAAAAACCAUAAGGUAUAUUCUCAACAUCAACGCGUUCUGUCAUUGUACUAAACUCAGUAAGUUGAGGAAUAAAGUUCAUCUUACAAUUCUAUGAAAUCAAGUCCAUAGUUUCAGUUCAAAACAGUUAAAAGUUCAAACAGCUCAUGCAAUUUGGGGCAAAAAUUUUACUGGGUUCAUCCAAAGUUUCAAACUUUACAGUGAAAUUCAAAAUUGGUCCAUGUGAAAUUGUUCAGAGUCCUCUGUAACAACAUUAUAAAGUUAAAAGGGGUUAAAUUAGAAUAUGGGUUUUCAAUUUUUAUCUGUUUUUUUCUGCAAUUUUGUUAUUUUCUUGGAGGUGGGAGUUUAAUUCAAUGGUUGUGCUGCUAUACCUUGUUCUCCUGAGUCAUGGAGGAGUGCAAAAGAAAGAGCGGCGUGUCCGGAGACGACAACGGCGACGUCUUUGACUCCAUCAUUUUGAAGCAAACUCCAUUGGAGGAGUUUAUGGUAUGAAGCACUGCCACUGGUGGACAUCUUUCACUUGGUUGAGAAAAAUAGCUUAUUCUGAUUUCCUUCAACACAUCCUGAACAUUCUUGUUGUUCUCGUUCACUGUUGGAUAUAUCUCUACUUCCCCAAGUAAAUCUUCGCCUUUAUACACGAACUUAUACAUUUUCUCACUUGCCAAACACCAAUUUUCUCAAUGCCCAAACACCAUCCAAGAAGAGAAAAAAAAAAAGAAACUCAGAAAUUUUAUUCCCUCCUUUGAUCUCUCAUCAAAGUUUCAUUCAAUAAAAACAUCAAUUUCGUUGAUUUCUUUCAACAUCGUCGUCAUCUCCAAAAAAAAUCCCAAUUUUGGUUUUAAAUCACAAAAAUUCGUAGGAAAAAAAAAAGAAAAAAAAUUAGGGUUUUAUUUUCGAGUGAAGAUCUUAGAUCCUUGAUUGAUGAUGCAGCGUUUACGAAAUGGAAUCGGAUUUUUGUUCUGAAUUGUGGUGCUAAAAGCUAGGGUAUGGUGACGAUGGAGAAGAACAAGGGAGCCGUCGCGAGGAGAAACCCUAGAUCCAGAUAGCGAAAGGUCAAAUUAGCAGUGCAAUUCAUAUGUCAGAAAAUAAUAUUAUAAAACAAAAUUAAAUAUAAUAAAACGAUACCUCCACUCUUGGGUCAUUUUCCUAAUUUAUACUUCUUUCAUGCUAUUUUUAUAAAUUUCCAAAAUUCUGCUGUAAUUCACUGAACCAAAGAUUCAAAAUCCGUUCAAAUGAAAGUUUUUAUCGUAUAAUUAUUAACAAGUCGCUUACGUUGAAUGAAAAUAUUCAUGGAUCAAGAAAGCCAGAAACAGAAAAGGAGAAUGAACGGGUCAUUAUUCUCGUGAUUGAUUUAACUUUAAGUUUUUUUUAGUUUUGAAUUCUUAAUAUAGCUCUAACAACCAUGUAAUACAGUCGAUAUCAGUUCGUAAACGCAUAAAAAUGAGAAUAAAAAAUAAUUAUGUUAUAUUCGUGCAUAACAGUUCAAAAUAACGCUGAUACUCAUUUAAGUAAACAUGUCAUAAAUUAUUUCCUACCACUUAUACUGUUACACAAUGUUGAGGUAAAUGUGACGGUGUUUAAAAGCGGGGGCUCAGGUGAAAAGUGGGUUAAUAAAGCUGGGGAAGAUAAGCAAUAUGGAAAGUUUAUGGGUGACGGGUUGACAGGUUAGAUUUUGGGUCAUAACACGUGGCAGAUGGCGGCUGGUUGACGUUAUGUACGGCUGUGGUUUAUAAGAUUCUGAAAUUUUGACUUAUCUGUAAUAUUACACAUUUGCCCUCGUGUCGUUGUGUCUGCAAAACUUUCAUUUCGAUAAACGUUUGCUUUUUCAUUACCAUGGAAGAAAAUGCUAUCGUCGAUAUUAUCGGUUUUUCGGGGGAUGGAUAUUUUAAGUGGUAUCCGAAUGGUUUUCGUCCAAAUAUCGCGAAAUUAUCGAUAAUAUCGCGAUAUUUUGGAAAUAUCGCGAAAUUUUUUUGAACGGUGCAAUCGGACUCCGAGCCGAACGUCGGAGAUGGUGUGCCUAUUCCCGAGCCGAUUUCGUCCCAAAAACCUUGCAAAAACACGAUUUUUAACAUCAAUUUCACAUAUAAACUUCAGAUUUCACGCAUGCAAGAGGUAAUCAACAUAGGGUUUAGUCGGAUCUCACUUGAAAACUUGGGUGUGCCUGAGUGUGGGUGUGAUCGGGGAAGCCGAGCUUCCUCUGCUCGUCUCCGUGCUUCCCAGAGACGGAGGAGAGGGAGGGAGAGUUCAGGAGGGUGGUGGAGAUGCUGCGCUGGCAUCGGGGUGGACGGAUUUGGGUGUGCCUGGGUAUGGGUGCGAUCGGGGAAGCCGAGCUUCCUCUGCGCGUUGCCGUGCUUCCCAGAGACGGAGGAGAGGGAGGGAGAGUUCAGGAGGAUGGUGGAGAUGCUACGCAGGCAUCGUGGUGGACGGAUUUGGGUGUGCCUGGGUGUGGGUGCGAUCGGGGAAAUAGAGUGAGAGAACGAGAGUUCGAGAGAAAGAUAGAGUUGAGAACUCUGAGAGAGUGAGGGGUCCGAGAGGGACUCGGGAAAAGAGAGAGAGAUAGGGGUGAUGGUUAGUGGGCUGCCACGUGGCAGCGUGACAGAGAGUGAAAAUCAAGAUGGAGGUCCAGAUUAGAUUAGGAUAAAGGACUCAAUUGCACAAUUUAUAUAAUUUCAGAAAAAGAGUGAAAAUAUAAAUUAAUCUGGGGGUCUAUAUUAGAUUAGGAUAAAUGACUCAAUUUCAGGGAAAAAGUGAAAAUAUAUAAUUUUAGGGAAAUAGUAGAAGUUAUUUAUUGGUUAGGCAUAUGGAAAUGCAAAAAAUUGUUUUUCUAAUGAUUCUAAUCAAUUUCAAGAAAAAUAAUGAAUUUAUAAGGGUAAGAUGAGUCUAUAAAAGUGAUAUAAUGAGUCUAUCAGAGUGUCGGUCAGUUAGACAAUUUAGAUUUUUUUAAUCAUUUUUGCCAAUUGGCUUGUUAUCGCCUUUUUUUAUUAUCAAAUUGGAUUAUUAUUCAUUAAAUUAGAUUAUUAUCAAAUUGGAUUAUUCAUUAAAUUAGAUUAUUAUCAAAUUGGAUUAUUAUUCAUCACCAUGUUUUAUAUUAGGAUUAUUUUUUUAUGAAAUUGGAUUAUUAUUCAUUAAAUUGGAUUAUUAUGAAAUUGGAUUAUUAUUCAUUAAAUUGGAUAACUACUCUUCACAAUACACUCACUCUACACAUAGAGAUGAUGAAGAUAGUGAAAAUUUUGAACCUCAUAGGAACUCUAUGUGGUACUAAGUCACUUAUGUAUCUUACCAUGCAAUGUAUAAAGUGUAAAAUAUUGUACUAAUUCAUUAUAUAUAAAUGAUUAUGGUGUGUUUAGACUUCUUUCAUUAAUUACUACAUAUUUUCUACACUCACAAUGUUUGUCAGCUCGCUAUAUAAUCAACUUGAUAAUAUUAAAUCCAUCAUGCAAUGCAUUUCUUUCCAAUUUUUUGUGAUAAACUAAUAGAUAAUUGACUAAAUAAACAUCCUACAAAGUUUCAAUAAAAAUUUCUAAGUUUUUCUUACAAUUUCCGUGGUUUCCAUGUAAUUUUUAUCGAUAUCGAUAUUUACCGAUAUUUCCAUUGAUAUUUCCGUAUUUUCGGACUACCGAUAUUUCCGAUAUUACCGAUAUUUUCUUCCUUGUUCAUUACAACCAUUUUCUAUAUACGUGUACAUACAAAACGUUUCAUGGAGUUACAAAUUUGUGACAAAUAAAAUGCACAUUAUUCAAUGUGUUAAGUUAUUGCAAAUCAAAGAAUUUAGACUUUUCAAAGAGGUUUUUUUUUUCUUUGUCACUUAAUACUACGUUCUAAUAGUAUUUCUUUUUAUUUAUAAGUGAGAGGUAUUAAGUUCGAUUCUCGGCAAAAGCAAACUUAAAUUACAUUAUUGUUAAUCCAUUGUGAGAUUAAGCCCACCCCUCCCGCUUAGUAUCGAUAAUAUUAUUUGUUAAAAAAAUCCUCUAAAAAAAAAAUCAGUUGGUGGCGAAGCCAUGAAUUUUUUAAUUUUUUUUAAGGUCAUAAAGACUUAUAAAGACAUUUUAAUCUCAACUAGCAACAUUGUGUGAUUCACCAACAUUAUAAAUCAAACUUAGGAUCAACCGUAUAAAAUACAGGUUUAGAAUUCAGCCUAAUCACGAGACCACUCCAUGAUGAUUUAAGAGUUCGAACUUUAAAGGAGAAUAAAUUGAUCUUGAUACAUUCUCUAGGAAAAAUGUGUCACGUAUUAACGUACAAUCCACAUGUACAAAAAAGUGCGUCGGUAAUGAAAUUAAUUUUGUGUAUCUAAAAAAACAUUAAUCUUUAAGUGAAAAAGUAUGAAACUCACUUUGGUUUAAAAAAAAAAAAAAAAAAAGAUUUACCAUUAGAACGCGUCGGGUUUCUUAUUGCUUUUUUAUUUCUUCCAACUUCCUGCAUAAUUGAGUUGAAGAGUUUUCUCUCCAACUUACGUUGUGCUAGGUUUUGCAAGGUUUCGUUGUUCCCGUGAUAGUUUUAUGUUAAGGAUUUUGGUGUAAUCAGACAAUGAACCAAUAAUACCAAGUAUCGUUUUACUUAUAAAAUUAAUUGUUAUUUUAAAAAAUUUAGUUGUUUGUACGGAUUUUGUAACUCUCGUUUUGCCUUUAUGGCCAUGUUGGUUUCUUUUUAAGCAUCGAAUUGAGUACUUUGAGUCUUGCUUGACCAUUUUAGAGGAGAAUUUGUUGGUGUGCCAAAAACACAGUUUAGUACACUAAAUGUAAUAAUACAAUUUGUUGAAAUUUUAUUUUUUUAAGUUUCAAACCAAUUUUAUUAUUAAACUUACUGUACAAGACCGUGUUAUCGAUACACUAAAAAACCUCUCGUACUAAAGGAUAUCCAAUGAAAUUUACCAACUUAGGUUGAAAAAUAAGUAUAAAUACUGGUAUUUUGCAAUCAAAGAAAACAUGAACGUAUUAGGUUCCACCUAAUCUGAACCCCACUCCCACCUACUGGAGGAGAUGGCAUCGCUCACUUUUUGCUGAUGAUAUGUUUAAUUAAUUCGUUGAACUACAAUUAUCACAACCUUGAUUUCAUAUGUAUGUACAAAGAGCUUUCAAAGUAGGUUAUAAGUAACUAAUACAAUGCAAAUUGAGAAAGAGUAAGGCUAUAAAAGUAGUCCGAAUAUUAAGCCUUUAUGUCGUUUGUCUCGCUUAAGCCUUUAAUUUAGGCUUGAUAAUUUCUUGCACAAUCUGUUAACACUAAAAUAAACGACAAGAAAAUAAUAGAUUUUAAGUCAACCAUUAACAAAUCAGAGUCAUUAUCAGGUUACCCAAUAAGAUAUUGUUUGCCAUAUAUCAGCAUUAUAAAUGAUAAUUUUUUGCAUGACCUGAUAAUGAGUUUGACAUGAUAUGACCCGUUAAGAUAAUGAGUAUAACACAAAAAUGAUACGAACACGACAAAUACAAUUCGUUUGUCAAGACUAUUUCAACCUAACCUGAAUCUUUAAGAUUUCACUUCAUUGUACUCGUUCUAUGUUUAACACAAAUUGAGAAUCUAGACAAGGAAACUAAUAUAGAGUACAUUUGGUUGAUGUAGUUAUAAAAUGACAGAGGCAUGUCGCACCAAUGGCAUUCAAAUGUGUAAACAAAUAUAUAUGUAGGCAUUAAUGUUUGAAUUUGAUGAUCCAUCCAUACCAUCCAUCUUCCACUAGUACUAUUUAUCAAAUUUGGUUUUAUAUUUAUGGUUGAAUUCAACGAAUAUGACAUCACACGUUAUUUUUAUUAACUUUUGGAUAGAUUUUUCAGUGUGUCGAGAAUGCGACUCGAUACACUAAAUAUCAUAAUACAAUUGGUUGAAAUAUUUUUUUUUCAAGUGUCCAACUAACUGUAUUACUACACUUAAUGUGUUAGGUGUACUAAAAAAUCUCUCUAGCUUUUGGAAUAUAAAAGAAAGACAUGUUAAAUGUUGUGGUGAAACAUGGUUUUUUAUUUGACCAAAUUGAAAGUGUCGACAAGAUUUUAAUGAGCAUAAUUUAUAAGAAACUUUAACGAAAAACUCUCAGUAUUGUUCAUUUUAAGGAAAAAUCAUAUUUUUAAACUAAAAAGUCAAUCCGGGUACUAUUCACUUUAUCCUUUAUUUUGUCAUUAUUGUUAAAACUCAAAGUUUUCAAUUUUUUUUAUUAAUUUUCCUUAUUUUAUACUCUAUCCUCUUUAGACGAAUUCGCAUUAAAAUUAAUAAGUAUCGUACUUCUCUUAAAACAUGAUAAAUGUUAAACUAGUUGGUCAACCUUACCCAAAGCUUUUAUAGUAAUUAACAACCACAACAAUUCCCCACUAAAAUAAAAAAUAAAAAAUAAAAACAAACAAAAACACAAUGCAGUUGGUUCAUAUGGGCUGGGCCUGAUUUCAUUGUACAUAGGCCGAGGCCUAUCUGAGACUGAAAAGGGCUUGGCCUCCAAAAAUAUGCCCUGCAACCAAAAAGAAACUUAAUUUGAAGACGUCGUUUCAUUUCCAAGACAUGACAUGACUACUUUGGUGAUGUCCUGAAAAGGUUGAAGCUGUGCAACUAGGAAAGUAUUUGUUGGUUGAUUAUCCAUCACGUCUUGUAUUUUUGGAUUAGUUACUUGGUUUUCAAGUUAUUAACAAAAUAUGACCAACUAUCUAAUUUUCUAUGACACAUUAAGUUACUAAACUUGGCAUGAUUAAAGCAAGGACAACCAUGAUGAAACCUUUGUAUCAUUGUGUUAAGGACAUGCCGAUCAAGAUGUAUAAUUUCCUAUAGACAGUUUCUAUAGAACGUAGGAGAAGUCAAUUGAUUCUUCUGAAUAACUAUGCCACAUCGAGGCGGAGAGGCGAGAAAUAAAUGGGAAGAAAGAAAUUGAAGUUAUCAAUACAUUUCGAAUUUAAAACUCCUCAAUUAUCUAAUUUUUAUAAUAGUUUAAACCCUUCAUUCUCUACUUAUCUAUUCUAUUAAGAGAAUAGGGCUAGUCAACUUUUAUCCCUUUUUUCCAAUUUUGCCCUCACUUUUGAAUACACAAUAUUGACACGAAGAGGGCAAAAUAGUAAUUUUGUAUAUUUUGACAAAAUGACAAUUAUAUACUUAUUUUUCCAAUUUUACCCUCACUUUUGAUACACAAUAUUUACAUAAGGAGGACAAAACAAUAAUUAUGUAAUAUUAAGAGAAAUUGUUUACACACAUAGUAUGUGCUAUCUGAUAGUAAGUGGUAAGGAAUUAGAAAGAGGAUAAUUCAAUCUUAACCCUAAAAUAUGUUAAAUGACCAAAGUACCCUUAGUUCGAUAUGAUCAAGAAGAAUGUGAUUGGGCGAAAGAGAGGAAAAGGGCACAGAAUUUCACAAACAAGGGCAGCCCAAGGAAUUCAAAACCAAACCAAAUCAAAUCGAAACCCGAACCAAAAACCCCUAUCUCUCUCUAUCUCUCCUCCUCGACCCAAUUUUUCUCUCUCUCUCUCUUUCUCUCUCCUCAAAUUGGACACAAGACUUCCUUCUCCUCCACCUGAAGUACCAGUCUUCCAGACCUACAAUUUUCCAAUUUCGCCCUUCGGUUUCAAAUCGUGAUUCCCCCAAAACGAAAAGCCUUGUCUUUUCUAUUCAGACAUGCCCGUCCCGAACCGAUAACGCAGAGGAAGGAACCCAGCCACACCCAAAACGCCGCCGUUUGCCCAAGAUGAUCGUGAGAACGUACGGCCGUCGCAAGGGAGGGGACAUUACCAGAACGUAUUCCGACACAGAGCUAAACGACGCCGUUCACGACGACGACGACGUCAGUAGCGACCCCUUCGGAUUUUCCCUAUCGCAGCCUCAAGAAAGCAGCGGUGACCCUUUCAAUUUCUCGUCUCAGGAGGACUCGUCUUCCGGGUGGGCCCACUUCGAUUCGGACCCUUACGUCACCAAGGACUCCUCCUUGAAGCGCUUUCCCCUGGACGGCGUCGUCUCGGGGAGGUCCAAGAAAGCUAAGACUCGGAAGGAGGCGGUGGGGAAGAACUCCUACAGGCCGCCGCCGACGCCGUCUAUUCUUGCGACGUCGACCUUGAUGGAGGCGCAGGAGUUUGGGGAGAUGAUGGAGCACGUGGACGAGGUCAAUUUCGCGCUGGAUGGACUCCGGAGGGGUCAGCCGGUUCGGAUCAGAAGGGCUAGCUUGCUGUCGUUGCUGUCUAUUUGCGGCACGGCGCAGCAGAGACGGCUUCUCAGGACUCAGGGGUAGGUUAGGCUGACUUUAACUACUUUUUUGAUGGGUUCCUGGAUGUAAAUAUCCGAUUUUUUGAAGUGGGGUUUUGUGAAAUGUCAAGAAUUUCUUGGUGGAUAAUUGGAAAUGUUAGUUUUAAGUCGUUCUUGGUGGAUAUUUGAUUUUUGGGUAUGUGGGGUUUUCGAAUUAUAAGUAGUUUUUGAUAGGUAUGUGAAUUUGGAGAGUGUGGGUGGGUGUAUUUUAAGUAAAUCUUGAUUGUAUGUUGAGUUUAAAUUGAGGUUUUGGAGAUGUGCUGUUAGAGAUUCGAAAUUUUCUUACGGGUAUGUGGAUGCCUUACUAUGUUGAAUGUAUCUGAGGUCAUAUGAUAGUGCUAUUGAAAAUUUGAUUUGAUCUCUAAUUUUUCAUUUCAAAAUUUGCUUACUCCUUCUUUCUACCAAAAUUGUUGUGUGGUUUUUUCUGGGUUAUAAAUUGAUCGGUAGUGCCUUCUUUUCAGGAUGGCAAAAACUAUAAUCGAGGCUAUAUUGGGUCUCAGCUUUGAUGAUUCACCCAGCAAUCUGGCUGCUGCAACUAUUUUCUAUGUUUUGACAAGUGAUGUAAGUCAUUUAGUAUUCGAAAAGUGAUCAUUCUAAUUUGAAGUUUUUAUUUUCAUAGGCACCUUUCAUGAAGUUUUCUUGUGUACUGCUCAUGUCUGCUGUGACUCUUCAAGAGUACAUACAAUUAAUUUUAUUUUAUUUUUUAUUUGACUAAUAAACCUAAGGGGAUUGUCAUCUUUCAAUAUUGCAGGGUCAGGAUGAUCAUCUCCUGGAAUCACCGAACUGUAUUAAUUUUUUGAUUAGGUUUUGCAAACCAAUUGUCUCAAACACCACAGAAGAUAAAGUACCAAAAGUUGGACGUAAGCUUCUAGCAUUGCGGAUUGGUGCUGACAUCUCGCAGUGUACGGCAAAAAGAUUGGACUCCAGCUCUGCCGCUAUUUUUUCCAAAGUUCAAGAAAUUCUUGUAGGUUGCAAGGAAUUGAAACCGAGUUGUGCGGAUGAAGGAGAAAUGGAAAAUCCGGAGUUAUGCCCAAAAUGGAUAGCUUUGCUGACUAUGGAGAAAGCUUGCUUAUCUACCAUCUCUCUUGAAGGUCUGAGUCUGUGUUGAAGCCUAUGGUUUUCUGGUUAUGAUACACAUUUUUAUGCAUUAUUUACUCAGGAUCUCAAGCUUUUGGUCUGUACUUUCAGAAACCACUGGUGCAGUAAGGAAGUCGGGGGGCAACUUUAAGGAAAAAUUACGAGAGCUUGGAGGUCUUGAUGCUGUAUUUGAGGUGACCAUGGGUUGCCAUUCCAAUAUGGAGGUGUGAACCUGUAUGUUUGUUUGAUCUCACUGUGCGUUUCAUUAAAUGUUAAAGAAUACCAAGGGACCUUAAUGCUUUAAAUAGUUAUGAGAGAAAUUUACUUCACUAUCCUACUUCAACAAUAAUUUCUUGGUUCACUAUGUAAAUAAUAAAUUUCUAUGAAAAAAUAAUGCAUGAGAUGGUAAAGAACCAAAAUGAUGGUGUGCAGCCUUAGUUGUAUCUAGAUUCACAAGUUUCUUCUGUUCUGUAACCUAUACAUUUCUUCAGUUUAUGAGCAACACUGUAUACAUUGGUAGUUUUAUAGUAACAAAUGGGCAGUUAUCUAUUUGCCUUUGGAUAGCGUUAUCUUCUUUCUUGUUCAUUGUAGUUCCUGAUUUUCUUCUUGGAGUAACAUGAGUGGUUUUGCAUGCUAACAAUAUCACUUCUCAGUCAUUGAUUUGUUUUCUUUCCUUUCCUUAUUAUGUGCACAUCAUACACAUUGAGUUACGAUAACCAAAAUUCCUUGGACAUAAUAUAACUUUUUCAUUUAUAUACUUACUUUUUUCAUUUUAAUCCUGGGGUCCAUGUGGUACUCAAUUGUUAUUGGGGAAAUUGCUUUACUAAGCACCAGUAAUUAAUAUGCAGGGUUGGCUAAAAGAUAGCUCGCAUACUAUUUGGGAAAAUGAAAACGACAUGGUGCGGAGCCUGGUUCUGCUUUUGAAAUGUUUGAAGAUCAUGGAAAAUGCCACAUUCCUAAGUAAAGAGAAUCAGGUAUUUAAAUGUGGUUUAGCCUCCCUCUCUAAUCCUUCCCUCCUCAGUCCGCUGGUCUGCUCUUUCUCUCUCUCUUACACUUUUCUUCUCCUUUUUAGUUUGUAAAACUCAGACUGCAUUAUGAUGUUUGAUUAUUGUUAACUAUUGAAAGGUGUAAUAAAUCUCCACAUCCAUGUUUUCUGAACAGAGCCAUUUGCUAGGAAUGAAAAGGAAGUUGGAUCCCAUGGCAAAUCCUUUGUCUUUUACAGAACUAGUUAUAAGUGCCAUCAAUAUUCUGUCAGGUAACUUAGUUUUUGGAGUAACUUUUGGUUCCUAAUCUUUUUGGCUUUCUGAUAAUUGAUCGCUUUGUUUUCUAGGUCUUUGUCUACAUAAAAGUUCCUCUUCUGCCUCCAAUGACAGAAAGUCUUAUUGUCUAUCUAAUGGGAGUGAACAUUUUUCUGAGAAGAGCUCCAAUAGAUGUCAGAGCAGUCAGUUAAUGUCAACACGUCGCUCAGUAUAUACUAUAUCCAGUUCGGAAACUACCAGCACCUCCAUGACUGAUACUUAUUCAUUGAACACAAGACUCAAUUCUUCUAGAAAUGGUUCUUCCAAUGGUGCAUCAAGACAUGUCAGCGGUGGAACCAGUAAUUUUAGCAAUCUUUCCCUGAAGAAUGCUGGUCUCAGUCAGCGAUCCUAUAACUUUGAAGACUCCAAAAUUGAUCUUUCAGAGGAGAGUCAAGAUCCUUUUGCAUUUAUUGAUGGUUCCAGGAUGGAUGCUGAUCUCAGUCAGAGAUCCUAUAUUUUUGAAGACACCAAAAUUGAUCUUUCACGGGAGCGUCAAGAUCCUUUUGCAUUUGAUGAAGAUGAUUAUAAACCUUCUAAGUGGGACAUGUUAUCUGGCAAGACAAAUAUGUCUCUAUCACAACAGAAUGCGGCAGCAUACAGAGAAAUUGAUGACAUUUGUCAGUUGCAGCAUAUUAUGAGCCAAGAAGCAUCAAGUAAUGGAGAAAACCAUCAGACACAAGAGACAUCCUGUUCAGGUGCUGUUAGCCGAGAAGGUUCCAGUCUUGUAGCUGACUGCCUUCUUACUGCUGUCAAGGUAAUCCUGAACCCCACUAUAUUAAACUUUUUCCAUAUUGCCUUAAACUUUUGUGGUUCUCCAUGUCAACAUCUAUGCAAUUGUGGGUGGGGCGGUGGUGUUACUGGUGUGCACAAUCUAGUUGUUUUUUGGUCCCUUGGUCAAGUGAAGGGUUUAUUUCUAGAUUCAUGUGACUGUUUACUGUUCUCAUCGUCUACUAUCAUCUCUCAACUAUGAUUUGCUCAACUAUGAUUUAUUCAGUUCUUUGAUACUCAUUAGCUGUUUGAUUAAUUUGGUUACUCAUUAAUAGAAUAGUGCCUUUUUGAUUAAUUGAUAUCCCAUUAUGCAUGCACUGUGUUAGAACACAUAAGAAACAGUUGAACUAUGUGAACUCAUAACAGUCUUCUUGGCAGGUUCUGAUGAACUUAGCAAAUGAUAAUCCUGUUGGGUGUCAGCAAAUUGCUGCAUAUGGAGGACUGGAAACCUUGUCUUCUUUGAUUGCCAACCACUUUCCUUGUUUCAACUCAUCAUCAUCUCCCUUCAGCGAGAGAAGUGAGAAUAUUUCCAGCAUUGAACUUGACCAUCCGAAUAAUAGACAUCUUACUGAUCAAGAGCUGGACUUUCUUGUAGCUAUUUUGGGUCUGCUUGUGAACUUGGUGGAGAAAGAUGGCCAAAACAGGUUACCUUGAUUUGUCAGUUUUUCUCCAUCUGUUUAUGCAUUUUCAUUUUAACAACCGACAUCAUAUUUGGGCUCUGUUUAUAGUUCAACCAAGAGAACAAAUUACCACAGUUGGUUCCAAUGAAGUGGUUACGUUGAGAGUGGAAAAAUUUCUUCCACAUUCUAUGUGGAGGUAAUGGCAGGGUUAUGUGGAUGACUGCUCCCAUUAGACAACUUGUGUCUCAAAAAGAUUUAGACAACAAAAGAUGCUAUAAUUAGAACCGUAGUGCUUGUGCUGCAGAUUAACUAGUCUUAGUUUCUAGUUUUUAAUAAAUCAUUCUUGCAUUAGAAUUUUCAUGCUCAUAAUUUAUCAAACUUGCUUUUCAUCCAGAUCACGGCUUGCAGCAGCUAGCGUUCAAGUAGCUAGUUCGGAAGGGUUUGGAGAGGAGAGUCGCAAGGAUCUAAUUCUGCUAAUUUGCUCUAUCUUUCUUGCGAACCAAGGUGCAGGCGAGGGAGGUGGAGAAGAAAUGGUUUUGCCAGUGAGUGACAUGUUCUCAUUGACUGGAAAAUGCGGUUUGUUGUUUAAGUUGUGAUGUCUUAAAAACACAAGGGCCUGCCUUCUGAUGUCUAGCCAAACAAAAACGAGAAAUUGAAAAUUUAUUUUCCAUAAAUUGGUCUUGUUCUGGUUAAUUGUUUUCAUCUUGUAUCUGAUCCUUGUCGAUGUCUUCUAACUUUGAUUUUGUUGUAUCGGUACAGACGGAUGAGGCAGCUGUCUUACAAGGAGAACAGGAAGCGGAGAAAAUGAUAAUAGAAGCUUAUUCUGCCCUGCUUCUAGCAUUUCUUUCAACCGAAAGGUUUGGCGUGUUUUCUCUCCUUCCUGUGUAUAAAGCAUUAUCGUCGUGCAUAUUCUCAUGCAAAAUUUGUUUGCCGUCCUCAGUAAGAGCAUACGCGAUGCAAUUUCUGACUGUCUUCCAGACCGCAACCUGGCUAUUCUAGUACCUGUGUUGGACAGAUUCGUGGUAUGCGUCUUAACUUCUAAACCGUGAUAUACUUCAGAGCUCGUUGUUAUCAACUGACGGAAAGUUAUAUUGCUCUCAUGUGAUUAUAUGUAUCUUUUAUUUCUUCCUCAGGCCUUUCAUUUGACGCUUAACAUGAUAUCGCCGGAGACUCAUAAAGCUGUGAGUGAAGUAAUCGAAUCAUGUAGGAUACGGUGAGAGCUUCGGAGAUGGACGAGAAUCCUGUACAGAUUUGGGUUUCCUUUUAGAAAAAAAAUUGUUGUUUACCCGACUCCGCGACUCUCGACGGGUCGGGAUUCAGCUGCUCGCCGUAUGCAACUGACUGCAGGCCUGGUUGCUCUGUAUUUUUUUAGGUUUCUUUUUUCCUUCCCUCCCCUCGCGCUAUUCUUUUGUAUCUUUGUUUUUUGUUUUCCCACCAUUUUUGAGCAGGUCAGAGACCAUACUUUGUAUACCAAGAAUUAUAGCUUAAUGGAAAUGUCUUGCUUUCCUUGUAAUUAACAUUUCUUCUUGUCCUUCUAUUAUUUUCUGUUUUUGUCGUAAUAUAAGAGUUAUGUUCGCUUAAGAGUUAUGUUCAAGAAAAUUGUGAUCAAUCAGCGUUCUACGUCACUUAGUAUACAUCAUUAUUUUUUUUUAUUCAAUAGAAAAAGAAUGAAAGAGUUUGCUAUUUUUUGUUUUAUCACCGGAAUAGCAGAUUUGUUCUACUGAAAAGAGAUUUUUCUUUAGAAAGAAACAUAUAAGAUAUUGAUUUUGAAUACCGUCACCUUACUAGAUAGAGCCGAUAACUAUGUGUGUAUAAUGAUAAAAAAAAAACUAAAACUAAAAAAACACUACUUUUUUUUUAAUAUAUAUAUAAAAAAAGUCGGUUUAAAUAGAUGGAGAAAAAGUAGGAGAGAGAUUUGAUUGUUUUAGUUGUUAUAAUUACCAUAUCAUCCUUCAUUUUUAUGUUUUAUUAUUUUAACUUACUAAGAUUAAAAAGGGCGAAAAGGAAAUUUCACCCUCUUUAGUAUUAGAUUAAUUCCCAAACGCUAAUGUCGUUUCCAUGAGGUUAGUAUGGGGUUACAAGAUCCCCGGUGCUUUUGCACAAGGGACAGCUAGCCCAUGACGUCACAUUGUCAUAGUGUGGUUUGGGUCUCCGAGUUGACUCAGCGAGUUUAUAUAUCUAUACAUACACGCAUCUUUUAGGGUUUAUAGCUUUCCUAUAAAAAGGCAGGAUUUCUCGAAUUCUGCAAGAGAAAAAUUAUGGAAUAUUUUGGAUGCGGUCUCUAAUCCUUAACAUUCUUUGAUUAAAAUCUUAAUAGUAUUCAAAGUUUGAUCAAGGUCCUUUGACUUUGUACUCCUCAUUAUAUUACUAUUAAUAUUUAUAGUUUUGACAUUAAUUGUUUGAUAUUUUAUGAGAUUUAUAAUCCUAUAAAUUUAAAAUCCAUCAUUAUAAUACUAUUAGAAACGGUUACAAUAAAAAAAUUCAAACAUUUUAACAUUUUGAUUGAAUAAAUGGAUAAAAACUAUGCAAAAAUAAGAAAUAAUAAAUGGCAAAAGAAUGUAUCCAUAGUGUUAAAAAAAAUUGGUACAUUUUACAAAACAAUCGGUACAUUUCACAUAUAACAAAGUGGUACAUUAAUAAAUAAAAUUGGGUACAUUAGAAAUAAAUUAGGGUAUAGAUAAAAUAUUAAAAAUUAUGAAUACAAAUGAAUUUUUAAAAAUAUAGGCGCUAAAAGAAAUUAAUACAUGGGUACAAAAUAAAACUAAAAAGAAAAUACUAUAAAUUAAAAAAAUGUUGCAAAUUAAAAGUGGGUACAAACUAAAAAUAUAAAUAUAUGAUACAAAGUUUAGGCAUAAAACAUAAUUAUAUCAUAUGUAAUUUUUCUAUCAUUGAUUAAAUAUACAAUGUCACGUGAGGGUAUAUACAUGGGUACAAACACAAAUAAAACUUUAAAAAAUAUGGGCACAAAAAGAAACUAAUAUAUGAGUACAAAUUAAAAAAAAUAUUUGCAAAUUAAAAAUAGGUACAAACUAAAAAUAAAAAUAUAUGAUAAAAAAUUUAGCCAUAAAUAUAAAUAUACUAAUUGUAACAUUUUUAACAUUAAAGGAAUAUAUUUAAAAAUAAAAAUAUUUUAUUAUUCAAAUAAUUAAUGAUGUUAUUAAUACCCAAGGACCUUGAUCAAAAAUUGAAAAUGAAUAGGAUUUUAAUCAAUGGAGUAACAAAAACAAGGAUGCGAACCUAAUUUACCCGAAAAAUUAUCUUCACAGUUCGACGAAUUGGAGCUCCAAAAAUUGAUAUUGAUUGGUAGGUCAAAAUACAAAACCUUAAAUUCAGAUCUUUUCUAAUUCUAUUUUUUUCAUCAAUUUAAGUCAUAUUUAAUCAUUUGUUUACUGAAUACCUAAAUAAAUAUGAUAUGAAGGCUGUAUUUCAUUAACUGCCUUUCUUCCCUUACAAUGUACCAUUUAUGCUAAUGUACAACUCUAACUGUCAUCACAAGAUGAAGCCGUGGGGUAAAAUAUCUUUCAAGGACUCUUCCAACGUCAAGCCCUUUUUGCGAGGGAUAGAACGGGGAUAUGAAAUAUUCCACUCAACUUCGGCUAAAAUAUCUUUCAAGGCCUCUUUGUAAGGGAUAGAACGGGAAUCUGUAACUUGCCAAAAAUCCCUGUCGGCAAUCAUAGCUUUGUCGCAUAGUAAACGUACCCCUAUUUUCUUCACCUCAGUAGAUUUACGAAUUGCAAUAACAUGGACCAAAUCGCCUUCUUCCAAAUUGAACUCAGUUUCCGGAAACGGAAAAUUUCCCAGCCAAAUGUUAUCUCUGUUCUCAACAUCCAACAUAACGUUAACAAAACUAGUACGCUUGGUGUGAUUAAUAACAUAAAUAUAGAACUGAAAAGAAGAACCACGAGGCCUGUCUUUAUCAAAAGGACAAGAAGCCAGGCACACAGCCAACGCUUUUGCAUUACAACCAAUUUCCUUAGGCACUUCAAAACGGACUUGGGUACUCUCGUUGACAUGAUUGAACCAAGUGGGAAUUUGUCUUCCUACAGGCUUCAUCAUUGCACAUUCUGUCCAUCCCUAUACCAUUUUGAACAAGUUUUUGUGAGUAAUGCAUACAUAACACACAUUUGCGAGGGAGGAGAGGGGGGUGGUGUGGAAGAGAGAGAGUACCUGUAGCGUGCUAUCCUUAAGAAUGAAAUCUAUGACAUUGUUGUGUGUUGACAUACGAAGUCUGAGGCCCGAGUUUAACGCGCUAUACAAGCCUGGAAAUUCAACGAGUUUCGGGGAACUGAGAUACACAUCUGGCGACAUGCCUGAUAAAUCUGGCAUUCUUUCAAAUGCAGAGCAGUCGUCCAUGCAUAGCAAAAACAAACUUUUUGGUAAAUCUGUGAUCUCGACAAGGUUUAUGCAACCAUUUAACAAUAGAUCUUGAAGCUUAGAGAGGCCCCUGAGGCUUGGAAGGCUCCGAAAAUUAUUGUUACUUAGAGAUAAGAGCUGUAAACAAGGUAGACUACUCCCAAAAUCAUUAGGCACUUCCUCUAAUUUGCUGUCCGCCAAAUUUAAUUCUGUUAAAGAGCGUAAGCCUCGUAAGGAAGGUAGCUGCAAAGAACACUUCAAGUUCCUCAAAGAUAAGUACAUAAGCGUCUCCAGUCGUCCGAUGGAAGGUGGUACUUUUUCUAUGGCCGUCCCAUCUGCAGAAAGAUUGACCAAUGAUGUCAUAUUUCCCAAGUUAUCAGGCAAGCUUCGCAAUCUUGAACAACCAUCGAGAACAAGAGUUAUGACAGAUUUCAACUUGUCCAAACUCCCCGGGAG
rnacentral:lncRNA from 1 species